GCCACUUCUUUCAUCAUUUGAAAAUGCCAAUAAAAUUUCCAAGGUGACUCUUCACUCUAACUUGAUGAAGCAUGCUGACCUACAAAUCUUCGCUAAAAGACCAAGCGUAUGCUGUCUAAUUCUCUUGGGCAAUUCUUAUGAUGAUAGCCUAUUUACCUUCAACAAAGGUGAGUUUCCCAAGCUCGUCCUUCUUAUUGUUGAGUAUGCUGUCUAAUUCUCUUGGGCAAUUCUUAUGAUGAUAGCCUGCUUACCUUCAACAAAGGUGAGUUUCCCAAGGUCGACCUUCUUAUUGUUGAGUGCCCUACCAUCACCGAGAUCAGCUUCACCGAAGGAGCAGCUCCUAUGCUAGAGAAGAUCAUCUGGUCCUUCACCAAGAUGAAUUCUCUCUCAGGCAUCAACAAUCUCUCCAAACUGAAGGAGCUCGAGUUCAUUGGUGACCUUGUCCCUGACCAGGUGAGGAUAGAUAUUAACACACAUAGAAAGCAUCCUGUUCUUAACCACAAGCCGCCACAGCACCAAGACCAAGAAAAUGGUAGUGAACAAGGAGAAGAGGAGGUUCGAAAGUUUCCAGCAUGCUCCUGGUUGUCGUUGAAGAACAAAGUAUUGGUCCAGUAACUGACGAAACAAAAUGUUUCCAUGCCAGCAUCCUCCAUCCUUCCAUCUAAUUUGUGAUCGCCUGCUCCUGGAAUCACUUGCAUGCUAGCAUGUGUUGUCCUUCUGUAAAUCUGUAAUACUUGUGUGUGUGUGUGUCUGUUUAUUCAUCAAUUAAUUGCCAAGAAACAACACAUUGUGGAGACAUGUCUGUCACGUCAUUUGGCUCCGCCAUUUCUCAAUUUUCAAUGACAUCCGACUCCAUGGCUCUGAUAGAAUAGACAAGUUCUUGAGAAAGCUCCCUGAAACAUCUCAAAUGUCAAUGCUUAAGGUGUUAGAUCUAGAAGGUUGUCAAUGCUUCCAGAGGAACCAGCACUACCUCAAGGACAUUUGCAACAAUAUUUUACUACUCAAGUAUUUGAGCCUAAGGAGAACAGAUGUUACACAGCUACCUAGUGAAAUCAACAACCUCUAUGAGCUGGAGGUAUUGGAUAUUUGGCAAACUAAGGUGCCUGAGUAUACAACAAAACAUAUCCUGCUCCUGAAGCUAAAGCGUCUGCUAGCUGGCUGUAUUGAUUCAAACAGUUCGAGUAAUGCUAAAAACAACAUUUCAUUCAGGAAUGAGGCACCAUCAUCCUCCAGCGUCCAAAUUCCUCUCAAGAUAAAAAAAAUGUCUAUCAUGGAGGUACUUUCCAAUGUCAAGGCUUCAUGGAUUAGCAGAGAGUUGAAAGACAUUGGGUAGCUAUGGCAGCUGAGGAAGCUCGGUGUGGUUAUCGACGAUAAGGACAGCAUACUCAAGAAUUUGCGUACAGCAAUCAGCGACCUAUGUGAGUGCCUCCGGUCUCUGUCUAUCACUAUUUUUUCCCAGUACAAAAGGAGAGGGCACUCCAUCCAAUGGAGACUUACCAGAGUAUAUUUCUCCGAGCAGAGGUAAGAGCUAGUCCUGACGAUUACAUCGUCGGGGCUGAUGUAUCGCUUUAGGCACGUUAGCCUCGUCGAUAUGAUCGUCGUCUAUCAUAUGCCUUAGUCUAUCUGCUGUCAGUAGAUCGAUUUGUUGUUAACAACUUAGAGCUCGUUUUAGGGUUCAUGUUUGUUAACUCUUAAAUCUUUGUGCUGCAGUAGAUUGGUUAAGGUAUCCAUCAUCCCCAAAAGUGGGUAACGGCUUGAUUUUCUUUGCUUUAGUCUUCUUGCUAUACUUUGUGUUGCGAUCAACCCUAGUCGUACUAUGAAAACUAAAACAAAGCAUGUUUUUAAUUAUAAUUAAGGAUAGCAUCGGGGUUUCAACCGAUCUUGCCUAAUAUACACGAUUACAACUGUUUUUGUGUGUAUUUGCCAAUUGCAUGAACAGAUCGAUAUAUAUAAAUGUAUCAAACUCAGAUCAAUCUCAGAAUGGUUUAUGAUUGAUAUAUUUAUAUCUGAUGAUUUGUCCAUGUAAGUCUGUGUUUGAGUAUUAGCUAACACAUUAUCUUUCUUACUUAAAAUAUUUCGUCAUCGGCUGAUUUUACAAUAUUAAUCAAGAUAAUCAUAAAAUCCAUAAAGUAACGGCCAAUGAGACAUUAUUUAGGGUUUAUAUCACUUCACAUCUACAAUAGUUACAUUAGCCGAUAUUCUCUUGCCCUAUCGGCUGGGCACAUGCGAUACACCAUCGACCGAUCGGCCGAUCGGUUGUCGUUUAACUAACAGUAUUCACUACUACAAAAACCUCCAUAGGUACCAGUCACAUAGGUGCCGGAUUUGCUAGAACCAACACCUAAAAGACAAUUCCCGCCCAUUUUUUCACGAAUCGGCACCUAUAAGGUCUUAUAGGUGCCGGUUGGUUGGGAGAAGCUCAUUGGUGCCGGUUUGUAAGAAAAACCGGCACCUAUGAGCCCAAAAAAGGUGACGGCCUUCUUUACAAACCGGCACCUAUGUGAUAGGUGCCGGUUCGUAAUAAGAACCGACACCUAUCUUACGGCUACAUAGGUGCCGUUUUAUCCUAAUAAACCGGCACCUAUGUGAUUUUUAAUAGGAACUGGCACCUAUGUGGUGGCUUCCGUCGGAAGGAAACUAAAUAGGUGCCGGUUCAUAACAUGAACCGACACCUAUAUCCCCCAAGUCUAUAUAUACCCUUUGUUCACUGCAUUCUCACGAUUUUGAGGCUUCUCUUCAGCUCAUCCAAACGGGGGGAGGAGGUUUUGCCCAAAAAUUUAAAAAAUAUCGAGAGAUCUAUGUGUUUGCAUGCGUAAAAGUUAGUAUAUGUUGAUUCGAUAUGUAAUUCGCACUAAUAUUUGUCAAGUUAUUUUUUGCAAUUUGUUUUGUUGAAUGAGAAGCAUGAGAAAGUAUGAUGACUUAUUAAUAUUGGAGUAAUUUAGAGAUUAAUCAUCAAUGAGUAAUGUAAUUGUUAUUAACAUAUAUCAGAAUUUCAAUAGAUAUAGAGAAUGAUAUAUGUAUGUUAGUGGUUAAUUUAAGAAUUUUCUUAGGAGCGAUGGAUGAAGGAGGGAUGAACGUUCCGGAGCGCGGUACCUUGGAAUAUGCCAGGAGAGUAAUCAACUUCGUGAUCGCAGCCACGAGAUCCAGAUCAUUGAACACAACGGAACACUUGCGUUGUCCAUGCGCUGAUUGCAGGAAUGAGAGACAGUUUUGUGCAAAACAAGUUCAUGAGCAUCUCCUAACAAGGGGUUUUAUGCCUAAUUACACAUGUCAGGACAAUCAUGGUGAAGAUGAGAAUCCAGAUGUAAUGGAUGGAGACAAUGUGGAGUUGCCUGCUGACGGAGGUGGAUAUGCUAGUGACGAAUCAGAUGAUUUAGAUCAGAUGUUACGCGACGGGGAGACAGCCUACGACGAUGAUAGGCAAUACGAGAAGUUCAAGGGCAUGGUGGAGGACUCAAAAACCCCGCUUUAUCCAAGAUGCAAUGAGCAGCACACCAAGUUACAUGUCAUCCUCUCGUUGCUGCAGAUGAAAUCAACCAACGGUUGGAGUGACAAGAGCUUCACAGAGCUUCUACAGCUGAUUGGAGACCUCCUUCCAGCUAGUCAUGUGCUGCCAGAAACAACAUACCGACCGAAGAAGGUUGUCUGCCCACUCGGACUGGAAGUGCAGAAAAUUCACGCAUGUCGAAAUGACUGUAUCCUAUAUCGAGGUGACUAUGCAGACUUGGAUACAUGUCUAGUUUGCGGAGCACCGCGGUAUAAGGGUGGAGUUAACGAUGAUGACGAUGUUGAUGAUGACAGUGGUGGCCCAAUCCUUAAGAAGAGGAAAGUGCCCGUUAAAGUUGCGUGGUAUUUUCCUAUAAUCCCUCGGAUUGAACGCAUGUAUGCAAACAAAAAACAUGCAGAAUUGAUGCGUUGGCACCACGAAAAGCGUAAGAAGGAUGGAAUGAUAAGACACCCUGCCGAUGGAUCUCAAUGGAGAAAGAUAGAUAGAAAGUACAAAAAGCAUUUUGCGCAGGAGAUUAGGAAUAUAAGGUAUGGGCUAAGCACGGACGGGAUGAAUCCAUUCGGUGACAUGAGUAGUCGGCAUAGCACGUGGCCAGUGGCACUUAUUAUCUACAACCUUCCUUCAUGGUUGUGCAUGAAGCGUAAGUAUAUUAUGAUGCCACUCCUAAUCCAAGGGCCCAAGCAACCUGGCAACGAUAUCGAUGUCUACUUCAGGCCAUUAAUGGAUGAUCUUAAGUUUCUGUGGGACCGGGGUGUGCAGAUGUGGGAUGCGUACAAAAGAGAGUACUUCACCUUAAGGGCAAUGUUGUUCGUUACCAUCCAAGAUUACCCUACAGCUGGUAACACAUCCGGGCAAACAGUGAAAGGUGGUUGUGCAUGUGUGCAGUGCAUGCGAGAUACAGCGAGCAGGUGGUUGAAGUACUCCGGAAAGACUGUGUACAUGCACCAUCGAAGGUUUCUUCCAGCCGGCCACCAGUACCAUAGCAAUACAAGAGAUUUCGAUGGCACGGUGGAGGAGGGUACAGCUCCAACACAUCGUACCGGUAGAGAGAUUCAUGGGGAGGUACAAGAUAUUGAAUGUAUAUUUGGUAAGGGGCAAGGCAAUCGAGGCACAACGAGCAAGAGUGGUGAGAAACCUCUUUGGAAGAAGAAAUCUAUCUUUUGGGAACUACCAUAUUGGAAAGAUUUGGAUGUCUGUCAUGCAAUUGACGUGAUGCAUGUUGAGAAGAAUGUGUACGAGAGUUUGAUGGGACUCCUGCUAAACAUACCCGGCAUGACAAAGGACACGUUGAAAGCCCGGAGAGACCUCGCAGACAUGAACAUCAGGCCCGAGCUACAUCCUCAAGAACGUCCCAAUGGUCGCCAGUACCUCCCUCCCACGUGCUACACCCUUAGUGCCGCAGAGAAAAUAAGCCUGUUGGAGUGCCUGCAGGGUGUCCGAGUCCCUUCUGGUUACUCUGUGAACACUAAAAGACUUGUCAACAUGAAAGAGAAGAAAUUGGUGGGCAUGAAGUCAGAUGAUUGCCAUGUGCUGAUGACAUAACUUCUUCCUAUUGCUAUUAGAGGCAUUUUGCUAGAUAAGGUUCGAAACCCAAUCAUAAAGCUGUGCUCGUUCUUCAACGCUAUAUAUCAGAAGGUGAUCGAUCCAAGCACGCUAGACAAGCUCCAAGCAGAUGCAAUCAUUACCCUUUGCCAGCUCGAGAUGUGUUUUCCACUAUCAUUUUUUGAUAUAAUGGUGCACCUCGUGUCACAUCUUGUGAAAGAGAUAAAGAUUCUCGGCCCAGUGUAUCUGCAUAACAUGUGGGCUUUCGAGCGGUUCAUAGGGAUCAUAAAAAAGUAUGUGCAUAAUAGAGCUCGACCAGAAGGCAGUAUCGUAGAGGGUUAUGCAACAGAGGAGGUGGUUGAGUUCUGUAUCGACUAUAUAGAUUUGCAUCCCAUUGGUGUGCCGAUGUCUCGACACGAGGGCGGGCUACUAGGGAAAGGGACACUAGGGCAUAAGGCAAUUUUCGCUCCUAACCUAACUUUACGGCAAGCACAUUUCGCAGUGCUCCAGCAGUCGGCCUUGGUGGCUCCAUUUGUCGACAUGCAUUAUAACACACUCCGCAGCGAGAACCCAAGCAAAUCAGAGGCAUGGAUAGCUAAGCAGCAUAGGUUGAAUUUUGGCGAUUGGUUACGAAAGCAUAUCAUGGCUAUGAAUACUGAUAGUGACUAGCUGUAUGUUUUGUCUCGGGGACCUACGAGCACAAUUCAUUCAUUCCAAGGGUAUGACAUUAAUGGUUAUACAUUUUACAUGAGAACCCAGGAUGCCAAGAGCUUGUAUCAAAACAGUGGUGUCCGCAUAGACGCCUUCGACAGUAAUGGUGUAGAACAAACGUACCAUGGUUAUAUAGAGGCAAUCUGGGAGCUUGAAUAUGGACCUGAAGGUACCACUUUUCCAGUGUCAAAUGGGUCAAAAUUCCAAGUGGUUUGAGGAUUGACAAGUACGGAAUGUUCAUCGUGGACUUAAACAAUGUGGGUUAUCAAGAUGAACCAUUUGUGCUUGCAAAAUCCGUAACACAAGUUUUCUAUGUCAAAGACCCUUCUUCGUUGACCGAUCGCCACGUGGUUCUCCAUGGAAAGCGAAGCAUUGUCGGAGUUGAGAAUAUCGUUGAUGAGGAAGGCUACGAUCAAAUCGACGAGCUACCACCGUUUGCAACAGAUGUAGAAGGAGGUGAAGAAAGUCAGGAAGACGAAGACAAGGAAUAAGCACCAUAUGUUCACAGCGACCAUGAAGAAGGAGUAAUUGUGAUAGACCUGCAUGUUUAAAUUUUAUUGUAACAAACAUGAAUGUGUAAUUAGUGCCGACCAAUUGGUGCCGGCCCAGAAACCGGCACCUAUCCGGCUUUCCAAACCGGCACCUAUUGUCUGCCAACAUUGUUCUCGUGCUCAGCGUUGGUCCAGCAUUGGUCCAGCCUUAGUGGAGGCUAUUGGUGUGUGUCUCUAUCUAUCUAUCUAUCUAUAUAUAUAUAUAUAUAUAUAUAUUACGAGAUUUAGAUUAAUUGAAUUCAGUAUAAGUUCAAGGCAUAUUAGAGCUCUAACCAUGUUUUGGCUUGUGAUCAAACCAUAGAUACCAAUCAAAAAUAAAUGGGCACUCAAAAAAGUACAUGCUCAAACAUCAUUAACUAACUCUUUACUAGCUCAAAAUUGUGGCUCUUUACUGAUUUAUUUUAGAUUUGGAAUUCUUAUAAUUUUAUAUAUAUAUAUAUAUAUAUGUAUAUAUGAAUGAUGCCCCAAACAACAGCUCACUUGCAUGGAUCUCUGUAGUUAGAGCCUUUGCUAUGUGUGCAAAAGGCCUAAUGCACGUGUAGUUCCUAUAAGAUUUCAAGAUAAUCCUGGCUGUGAAGAUCUCAUCGAAAAAAGUACUACAUUUGGAACUCCAAAUAUGUAAUUGUGUUAAAGGUACUUGUAUACCCCCCAGAAUUGUCCAUAGGUACCAGUUCAUACUUACAACCGGUACCUAUGUGGCUUGUAUAUAUGCUGCCAUUGCCAUUUCCCAAGACAGCCUACCGACACCAUUUCCCCCAAACCAGCCUGCCGACGCCAUCGCACUACCGGCCGCCGCCCGCCGUCGCCGUCCAUCGCCGUCCCCGUCCUGCACCACCGUCGGUCCUUCCCCUACCUGGAUCUACCGCCGUCGCUGUCCACCGUCGUCCUCCUUCCGGAUCCGCGAUCCCCUUACCCGCUCGUUUGCGCCCUCCAUCCCUGUCCUCCUCCAUCGCCGCCACUGCCCUCCUCCAGCGUCGGUGUCCUCCAUCGUCGCCGCUGCUCUCCUCCAGCGCCGUCCACCUCCUCCGCCGUCGCCGUCCACCGCCGUCCACCGCCGCCGCCUUCCUCACGAAUUAUUAAAGGUAAGAAUCUGAAUUGCAGAAUCGUAUGUCUGUAAUAAUCAAUGUUUUUAUUUACAUGUUUGGUUCUAAUUUCUAAGAAUGUAUUGUAUCAUUACGAGUUUGGUACCAACUUUUCAGAUAUAAUCCACUGCUUAUGCAUUUUUUCCUCAAACAUCACAAUGGAUCGUAGGAGGUCACAGAGUAAAAUAAUGAGACCGAUGUCUAUGCUCAUGUAUACUGCAUGCUGAUAAAUAAUUAAUUUAAAUUGUCGUGGUAGUUUUUAUUCCUAGAUACCUUUCCUAUUUAAAGCUCAGAUGCAUAGAAAGUGGUUUUGAUGGAUGGGUCGGUUGCGCCAAAAUGCCUACAUGACAAUGAUGUAACACAUCUGUUCGGGAAGUUGGGGGUAUGUUCCUAUCGGUUGAGGUGCGUGUGCAGGUACCCAAAAAGAAAUUUUGCUUACAAAAAAUGUAAAAGGGGAACAAUCUUCAACUGUCGUGUGAGCAAUCAUCAUCAAUAAACCUCUGGUUGAAUUAAUCAUGACAUUUUUGAAUAACAUGUCUAUUGGAGCCAGCCAUGUAAAUUCUAGCGAGUUCAAAUCAAUUAAAUCAAUGCCAGAGAAUAAAUAGUAUUUGGUUUCUUCAUUUUCCUGACAGAGAAUAAAUUCUUAGGUGAUUUGUAUUUGCUCUUUCAAGGCCUGGCCACCGAACCUAUCAACCACUGCAAGCUGCAAGGGCGCCGCUAUGCUGCUCAGGAUCGCCGCCGACUGGGACUGGUUCGUCACGCUCAGCUCCUCCGACUACCCGCUCGUCACGCAGGACGGUAACAAAUCAAAAAACCAACUAAAUUAACUAGUACUUUUCUCUAUUACUUUCUUGCCAUGUUAGAUUCCUCAUCAAGUUCUUGGAGCUAGAUGAUAUAUAGCGAGAGAUCACACAAUUAACUGCUGCUCUGCUCUGGAGGCCUAGGAAAUAUAAGUAGAACACCAUAUAUCCAUAGCAUAUAGGCCAAAUUUUCACAACUCAUGUGAUCUGUCCACAACAAGGCUAGGUCUCCCUAAUCAUUAACCUAAGUGUGACAUUAAUUAAAGAGGCAGUUCAUAAUCUACUGACCUUUUUGCGAAGCUACUGCCUGAUAUCUUAGAUUUAGAAAUAUUAUGCAGCUUUUAUUGUUUAUCACAUCAUCUGUUUUUCCAUUGCAUAUGUCUUAAUCUGUAUGUACUAUUAUUCAAAUGCUAGAUUUGUAAAGUACCAUAUUUACAUAUGAGCCUUUGCUCCUGAUUUAGGGAUUAUUUGACAAUGCAGCAACCUGUUAGCUAUUAUCUGUAAAUUGUGUGUUUAGUUAUGAAUCUAUACCUUUGAGGGAUUGGUACACCAUUGAGCUAGCAGAAAAUAAAAGAUAAGAAUAUUUGGAACAAACAUGACAAAAUUAUAGUAAUUUAGUUUGCAUCUGAAAUCAUGUCCAUGCAGUAUGUACACAUCUAAAACUUAUAUUAAAAAUGAUUAAAACACUAGGAAUAUGAUUUAUAGUAAUUGCAAUUAUUAAAACACAUGCAGUAACCAUUAUUUCCUUCUGCUAUUUUUUCCUUCUGAAGAUUAGAUGCAAUGAGGUAGAUAAGUCUAGCUAUUUAUUGUCAAAUCCAUUUCUCCACCAAAUACAAUUUACAGUCCUCCCAAAUAGUUAGUAGCAAAAGAUAGGUUAAGCUAGCUAUGUGUAUAAUUGAACCAUAAUCAAGGGUACUGCAGAAAUUCAACUACUGCCAACACAGUUGCCAAAAUUCAUGUUAAGCUGUCUAAACCUUAAUGUCAGCUAUAGAGACGAGAUGGAGAUGCAUAAGUUAUACACAUCACUAAUUCACUGUAUUUGGGAGAGGAAAUGAUGCUUAGGCUUCUCUUCCUCUUUUCCAAUCCAGCCUCUGCUCCCAUGCUACUGCCAGCCUCCAUACCCCACACAUCAGCAACAAGAUCAUUCAAAACCAGUGAAUGUUAUUUUUCUUUUCUCUGAUCAUGUUAGUUGGAAUGCUUUGCCGUAUGUUCAGAUUGGUUCUUUUGGAUUUUGUGUUGAUAAUCGAUCCCGAGUAUCAUUCCAUGUUACAUUAUACUGCAUAUACUUGUAUUUGGUUAUCUUGUUAGGAUUCUUUGUGACAUGUGGGCUAUUUUUAGUACCUUGGAUGUGACAUAUUAAUUUUUAUGCCAUUGAUUUAUUCAGGUUUCUACUGCACCUAGAGGAAUCAUAGCUAUUUUAGUGUCAACCUGCAACCUGUUUGCUUGCCCACUCCCUGCUGCCAACUAGCUUUAACAAUUAUUUUUAAAGAGGUAAUUUCUAAACAUAUGGCAAAUCAUCUAUAUUUACUUGCUUGUACAGAUUGUUAAAAGCUGGAUGAAAAUACUAUAUAGUUUAAGUUUUGAAGCUGUACUGUUGCUAGCAUUUUAAAUCAACAUGUCAUGGCACUAUUCCUUUGUUUCUUUUCGAGCUCCAAAAUACUGUAUAGUUUAAGUUUUGAAGCUGAUGCACUAAAUAUAACAUUGUAUAUGAGUUGUAGUAGAAAAUUGUAGAACAGAUAGUUACACACGUAGCUAUCGAAGAACGUGAUCUUUUUCUCACUUUGCGGCCGACUUGCAUAUUUGCUAGCUCCAUCAUAUCGAUCGUCACGCGUAUAAUUGAACAGGAAUCACGAUUAAUGGUAUAUCCAUUAAUUAGGACUAAGUACAGAAAUUAUUAAUGCUAGUUCAUUUACUGUUGUCUAAAAAGGAUGGUGCCAGUAAUGCUUUUGUGUUGUAGACCACAGAAGGAAUAUUCUGGCAAUUCCUUCUGUGACUGGAUAUUCUGGCAAGAAACAAGGGGAUUUUGACUCCAUACCUAAGCUAGUAGUUGAUAACAAUUCACAAGUUCAUGUGAUAUAUGAUAUAUCACAUCCCUGAGACAUCCUUCCGCAUGAAAUGGCCAGCAGUUCCCACUAGAGCACAUAAUUAGCAUUGCAAGACAUAUAGUGCUAGAAUAAGAUACACAAAUAAGAUUGCAUAUUUUUUUCAAGACCAGAACAUUAGGCCUACUAGCUUAAUUGAUGUAUGCAAGCUGCUGGGUUAGCUACUACCUCGUGCAAAUACAUUAAAUUAGAUCCUACUGGUCCAGUCAAGUUACGUAUGGAAUUAGAUGGCAUUACUUUACUUUUGGUAUAUUUAGAAGAAUAUUAUCAAGAGGACAAUAAGUUCUUACACUAAUUUCUUGUAUCUAUCUAGCAAUAAUUCUAGCCUAGGUCUACAAAAGGAAAUGUCAGGGGAACAAGAUAACAGUAGGCUUGCAAAUUCUGGAGAAAUCGAUGGUGGUAAUAGUAGCCCAAGUGGCUUUCUAAACUUGAAUCAGCCCGGUGAUAACUCGCACAAUAUGGAGGUAAAUUAACCCAUCUGGAACAAAUAAGACCUUAAAAGUACAUAUAUCGUCAGAUCUGAAUGACUAAUUUAUACUGAUGUUUGAAGGAGGUUGAUCCUUCGGCCACUACGCACUCUACGAAUACUUCAACCUCAUCGGGAAGAAGAAAAGCUAGAGGUCCAACUAGGAUGCCCUCAGGUCUAUACACUAUCAUGGAGUUAGCUGCAGAUGGGACCCCUAUAGCUCCAGAAUCGGCACUCACCACAUAUGGCAAUGCUAUAGGUGUCAUCGUGAAGGAUGGCAUCCCCAUCAAGUACCGGCACUAGAAGAGCAGUGAUAGAGAUGAAUUGGAGUGGACGGUACCAGACAGAGACAAGGAACUUGCUUCGGAAAAGUUAAAGCGGACAUUCCAGUUUCUCGAGGGUUCAGAAGAACUCGCAAAGUCCGGGGCUCUUAAGAAGAUGUCCAUCAGCUUCAAGAAGUGGAAGACGGACCUUAACAGGAAGUUUGUCAAGAAGGGCCUGACACCAAAUUUUGAAGAUGCCAAUUAUCGAAGGUGUCAUCUUUUCUGGGAUGACUUUGUGGCCUACAGAACAUCAGAUGAGGCAAAGGAGAUUAGCGAAAGGAACCAGGCCAAUGCGGCCAAAAACCGAUACCCUCACCGUCUCGGCCCUAGCGGAUAUGCUAAGAACAUAGUCAAAUGGCAAUUCCGGGAAGAUGAGCUGCUGCAAAAGGGAAUCGAGAUCGAGACGAAAGACUGGUGUCAACGAGGAAAGAAUUACCAAUACGCCCGAGGUUCAACACUCUCGGAUACAGGCGAGUUGGUACACAAGGGUCCUUGAGAGCAAGAAGUGUCCCAAAGGCUCCACGAUGCCCAUCUAAAGUCCUCAGAAGGUUCUUUUCUUGCGAGCAGGGAGAAAGAUGAGCUUACACUUGCAUUGCAGAACCCUGAGCAUCCGGGACGCACAAGAGGAAUAGGCCUAGUUCCAUGGAGGGAGGGUUUUCCUGAAGAUAGACAUAGGUACCGGUCUCGGAUCAAUAAAAAUUCCAGAGACCAAUCGGAAGAGAUAAGGCAAUUGAAAGAACAAAUGGCACUGGUAAUGGCGAGGCUUGAAAGUCAGGAUGGAGCUGGCCGUGUAACCAGUCCAGGUGGGAAGAAAAGCAGUUGCGCUUCAACUGAGGUUCCUCAAGAACCGGACACGGUUCAUUACCCCAUGGACGACAUCACUAUACGUACUGUAUGCAGGCUGCAUGUGCCACUUCAAAACAUCACUCAAGAGGUGGCACGCACUAUGGCACAUCCCGUAACGGAGGGAGGAAGGAUACACAGUAAGCCGAUACCAAGUGGCUAUUCAAGGGUUGAAGUGGAGGACGUGCCGAGGAGAUACAGGGCAGUGCAGCUUGAUUUUGCUCCUGAGGAGGGGGUGAACACUCUUGGAGAAGCCGUCCACAACAUAAUCCUGUGGCGCAAGCGUUUCAUUAUCUUCCCUUCAGGAGGUGGUGAUGGCGAGCCAAGCGAUGGCGGGUCUAGCUCUGAAGGACUUCCUCCCUCCCCUCAAAGGAUGCCAACUCCACCACCAUUGCCACAUAAGAGCCCGUCUCCUCCACUGGCACAACGUAAGAGCCCAUCUCCUCAAGAGGCAGCACAUCAGAGCCUAGCUUCUUCAGACCCACCAAAAAAGAGGAGGCGCCUUUGUAAAGCUUCCCAUAUGUCUGAACCACCACCUCUGAAGAAGACCAAGAAGACGCCAUUGCCUAACAGGUCGGAGCCAUCUUUGAAAGUGCCAGUUGAAGUACAGGAUCACUUCAUUCGCAAUGCAAGGCCACCUGCCCGAAAGCAACCUAUUACGGACUUCAGACGCAUGAUCAGGAAAAGGGAUUGCAAGAAUUUUCCAAGAAAGAAUUCGAGAAAGAUGAGGCCAGCGACUAUGCAAGACUUUCUAAAAGAGGCAGGGCUGAAAAGUAUGGAUGAUGUGGAUAAUAUUGAGAUGGCCCCAUUGGCAGCUCAAUUCAAGCUUGGUCAUUCUUUGACUACCGACGAAUAUCGCCACGUCGUUGGCAAAUGUACUCAAAUGAGAAGGGUAGAAGAGUGGUACUUACAGAUGGCUAAGGAGGGUAAAGAGAUGUUCCCCGUCUUUUACAGGGACGAGGACUUUCAUCACUGUGAUGGUAUAGUUUGGGUCCCGUUUAAAGAACUAUUUCAUCUAUACAAUCUGAGGGAGCUAGACUUAUCGGUAAUUCAGUUAUGGGCAUUGUAAGUAUACUCGACCUCUCGCCAUUUUUCUAAGUAAAUAUCCUCGUUGCGUGUCUAAUUUUUGUCCUUAUGCAGAAUGGGGGUGCUUGAAUGUAGAGCGUCCCAUAACAAGCUAGGAUUCCUUGAUCCACAAAUAGUCAAUUCACUUAAUAUUGAGGCAGGCGAAUGGUCCUCCGAAGAAGUGCUGAACUACCUUUACACAUCCUUUGUCAAGCUGCAGGACAUGAAUACCAUCCUUUUGCCCUACCACUUUAAGUAAGUGUGGCAUUAUCGUUGUACCUCCCAUCGUUGUACUUUAAGAUGUUAAUUGUUCUCUUCCCUUGUAUGUAGGCCUCACUGGAUUCUUAUUGCGAUCCAUUUAAACGAUUCCAAGAUUGUCGUCAUGGAUGGAAUGAGGAAACCGCAAGCCAACUACCAAUCCCUCAUUGACAUCCUAGAUAAGGCACUUGUGAAGUAUAAGAAGAAGUCUAUUCGACACGCUCCGUGUGAAAAUAAAUUCCAAGUUUGGUGCCACCCUUAUUGCUCACGUCAGGAUCCGGGCACGAGCACAUGUGGGUUCUACGUGAUGAGAUUUAUGUGGGUUUUCAUGGAGGACGGCAACUGGAACAUUACGGAUGCUGAGGUUCGCCAUGUCUCUUAAGACACAAAUCCAAUUUUCUAAACACAUAGUACCUUUCCACAUCUUUAAUCCUUCCAUUUGCAGAAAUUAAAGCUCCCGACAAGUAAAUUGCUGCCACAUGUUUGCUUGGGCCUCGCUGAACAGCUAUGUGGAUUCAUUUUCAACCAUAUCAUCUGGUCAAACGGCGCAUACAACAUUUCAAAGGCUCCUGCUGGGCUAGUGGGUUUCAUUGAGGCUGGUGGCCCUAGUGAUGGCAUAGAUAGCCGAUCAACGACAAAGCAUACAAAGACCUAGAAUUAGUGGGCCAUACCUUUCAAACAUUUUCUAAGUAUCUUGUAGAUUAGUUAUUUGGAUUGAUGUGGUUUUCUUAAUGUCUUGAACAUGCAUUAAGUUUCUCUAUUUGUUAAUGUUUAUCUAUUAUUUUUUGACACAUAUAUCUAACCAUGUAUUAAAUUUUCUCUAUUUAAUAUUUUUAUCCCUAACAGCAAUAGGUGAUCUCACUGACUGGAUGUGGCAUGGAUGAGGGAGGCAUCAUCAUUGUUGUCUCUGUAAGCAACUGGUGAGCAUGUGUAACUAAAAUUUUGAUAUGAGUACAAGUUUAGAGCAUUUGAGAUAUUGUAGAGCUCAAGCGAAUUUUUGUCAAGUCUCCUGAGAUGUGUAACACAUCUGGUCGCCGCCUUCGUGUGGUUUGACGGGCAUGUCUUAGGCUGAAGUUGACUGGCACGCUGAGUCCCAGCAAUAUCUUCUAUGCUCUCUACUCGAGGCUUCGGGUUUUAUAUUAUGGUCCUAGUCCCAGCAAUAUCAUAUGAUUUGUGGAACACUACUUCUAUUUGUUUUGUGCACUGCAUGCAUAUGCCAUGCCAGUAUACAUCUCUCCAACCGCACUGCACCUUCCUGGUCGGGAACAGUAAUAGCCGCCGAGCGCAACAGCAAAUCACAUGAGAUAGGAUUCCUGAUACGGCUUUUGACCUAAAUUUUAAUGAACGUUUAAUUGUACGUUAAAAUUAAUCAUGGAGAAGAAACAAAUACUUGGACAAAAAAAUGUGGAAAUCUGCAUCUUUUCUAUAUAUUAAUGCAACCGUUUUGUAGCAUAAUCUUGCAAUUAUUCAUUGCUUGGAUAUAUAUAAAGAAAACUGAUUAUAUGCAUAUGGCCCUAAUUAACAGAAUGCGUAAUAUAUAUACAUCCAAGUCAGCAGCGACCAUGAAUACAUUUGGUGAAAAAAAAUUGACAUCUGUUAGGAUGGUAGUUGGGAUUUGGUGUACACUGAAACCUUUGGGUUUGUAUAUAUCUUGAAAAAUAACCAAUCAAGUAGAGUGUUGACAUGCUUUAAUUAAUUAUAUAUAUAUCGGUGCGUGACUAACUCUCAUGGAGUAUUAAGAUUUUUAAAUUAAUUUAUAUAUAGUGAUCAGCAAAACAAAUGGGCUAUUUUUUCUUUUGCUAUUAUUAAAGUGCUAAAUAUCUAAUUAGUUAUGGACUAGAAUGCAGAUCAAGGAGUGUUAGAAAAACCUUAUUUUUGGCUACAAAUUAAAAAUCUUAUUUCGGAAAAAGAAAUACUGGCUAGUUGUGUGUUGAUGAAGGCAAAGUAUUUUACUUGUGUGGAAACAUGAUGGUCCAUGAUGCAAACUUUAUAUGUUGUAGUGAGUAGAUAGGGAUGAACAUAUAUGAACUUAACAAUAAUGUUUAUUGACUCCUAAUUAAGUCUUAAUCAGCCCCUACAGAAACAGAUUUAAAGCUGACCAAACUAUAUGUGGCAAAGACAUUACUAGUUCAUCCUCGCAGACAAAUAGACAUUUUCUGUUGAGAGAGGGGAGGCAUACAAACUCUUCCAACUCACUAAAUUCAGUAAUAACUAUUUUUUAUCAAAUAUGUUCCAGCUGAUCAUUUUUUAUCAAAUAUGUGUUUGAGUUCUCCCUCAAAUAUGUUGUUGGAUCUGGACUAGCUCCCAGAUCGUUGCAUGUACUACCUGUCUGCAUGCGUAUAAAUCUGUCAUCUGAAGAAAUUGUGUAUGUACCUUUUGAAAAUAGUUCUGUUUUUUUGUUAAAUGAAGAACAAUACAAAUUUGCACACGAGUGUCACGCCCCAAACUAGCCCCGAGCGGAGGCCAGGAUAGGGCGGUUCAGAUUGACCUGUAUACCUGUACCAGUCCCAGGAAAUAGCGCUGGUACAACAGGAAGACAGAAUAUCACAACAACAGCGGUCUCUUUAUUAAGAGUAGGAUUACAACCAGGGUUGGAACUGCGGACAGAACCCGAGUUCGCAACAACAUUACAAAAAGGCGGAAGCGGAAAGCGGCGACUAGCCCUAAGCCACAAGCAAAGCCUUGGGGAAAGGCCGAAACCCUACUACUGCUCGAAGUCUGCUUGCUCCUGGAAGAACUCUUCAUCAGCAGGGUCCACCUCUUCGUCUUCGAGAACUGGGGGGGGGGGGUUUAAUUAUAUAGAGCAAGGGUGAGUACGGGAGUACUCAGCAAGUUAGGGGAAUUAAGUGUUUAAUGCAAGCUUCAAGGGAAGCCAGUUGUUUUUCACAAUUGAUUUUAGUUUAAGACUUUGGAAACAUCUAAGUAAGUGCUUCUCAACGACACGGAUGAGAAAGUGCGUCUCAUCCGGUCGGAGCAGUGAAAAUUGUAUCGAUUGAUUCUUGUCGGCACGAGAGGCUCCCUGCCAAUCGUUUACCGACCCGGCUGCUCCAACAGCCACACGCGAGAGGCUCCCUGCCAAUCGCUCACCACACCGGCUGCACCAACAGCCACAAACCAAGCACGUCGGAACGAGUGGCUCCCUGCCAAUCGUUCACCGACACCGGCUGCUCCAACAGCCUUAAACCAAGCACAGAAGGGAAAACCUCACACACCAACAGUAGUUUACAAAGUGUUCAUUAAAACUACGCUAAGGAAUCACCUCACAUCCGCCCAUGACCGUGGGCACGGCUGUUCGAACAGUUAUUAACCUCUGCAGAGGGGGUACACUUUACCCACCCGACGUUACUAACCCCAAAUCACCCAGCCCGCGACUCUCAGUCACGUCUGGCGACCUUGAGGCUUUCACGACAAGGCAUUUCGAAAGCCGACUCAGGGUCAUCUUAUGCCAACGGGAGGGGUCCCACGGACCAACACCAGGUUAGGUCCCAGACCAUACUGUGCCAGGAAGCCCAGGGGUCCUCCCCGACACCACCCCGGCGAAUCUACUUGUCCCUUGGCAUCAAGAUUUCUCUGGCCUAGCUAAUUACUCAGCCAGGGGCAUCCCAUAUCACCCAUGUGGUCGUACUUGACAUAUGCUCGGAUGUAAUUCCCAAGGAAUCGGUCCUUAGAGCGAGAACAGGCAGACCGUACCUCCAGUACGUCUCCCAUACCGCGAGUUUUAGAAACUCACUUUAUUUUCAAGGCACCGACCCAAGUGUCGGGUUUUCUAAGCAUUUUGUAAACUCAAGUUUUACCUAGGUGAUCAUUUUAAAUUUUGAGGGGAGUCUCGAUAUUCGUACGCGAGGUACGGAUACCGAGGCUUCACCUGAGGGGUGACAAGGGUGUUAGGUUAUUCAAUAAUCAUGGAAGGUAAAUGCAACAAUUGGGUAGGGCCUAACGGUUAUCUUGCAAACCGAGACCAAGUGCCAAGUGUAACCUAAAUAAUGCAUAGUUUGCGGAAAUCAAAAUACUUAAUUUAAAUUAUAGGUUCAAUUGAUCAAAGGUGACUUGCCUUGCUCAAGAUCUUGAGCUUCUUCCUCGAAAUCCGCGCACUGCGGGUCUUCGGGCUCCGAGACUACACGUGAAACGAGACGACUCAACAAAGCGAUAAAAAGAAGCCCUAUUAAAGACCACUAAGCAUGCCAUUGGAUAGAUCUCGAUUUUUGAGAAAUUUUGGAAGUGGAACGGGGUUAAUCGGACGAACGGUUGAAAAGAUAUGAAUUUCCAAAGAUUAAAGGAUUUUCUGGAAUAAGAAAAGGAAUUAUUAAUUCCCUGGAAAAGAAAAGAAGGAGCGAUGCAAUUUAGACUUUAUUUUGGGCGGCUAAGGACAGCCCAAAAGAAUAGAACGGGCGCGGCCGAAAUAAUUGGGCCAACGGCCCGAAGGGAUUGGCCAAUGGCCGAUCGGCGCGCGAGAGGGGGAUAGGCCGAUGGGCCGGGGCAGGCCGCGGCCUACGCGGUCGGCCGAUUCGCGAGAGGGAGGCCGUUGGCCGAGUGGGCCAAGCGGGAAAGAGGCCGAGUGGCUGAGUGGGGAGAGAGGGGGCCGAUGGGCCAAGGGGGAGCGAGGCCGACGCGGGCGGCCGAUCCGGUGGACCGUGCCCGCCGUGCGGCGCUAGGGCGGGGCCCGCCCGUCGGCGGUGCGAUCUACGCGGACCGAGCGCAUGGAGGGGAAGGAGGGAGUGCGCCGGCUGGCGCUCGCGUGGCGCCUGCGUGGCGGCCACGUAGACCAGCCGGGCGAAAGAGAGGGGAAGACGCCGGGCGACGGCGGCGACGGCGGAGGGGUUCGGGCGGUGCGGUGCGAGGCCGGCGACGGGGAGUGGCGCCGGAGCAAGAGGGGAGAGAGAGGAAUCGAGCCGUCGGCUCGGAUCGGGCCGCGGUGAGCGACGGCGGCUGGCAACGGCGCGGUGCAAUGGCGGCCACGGCGGCUCGGGGAGAGGGCGGAGGAGAAGGCGACGGCCACGGCGGUGGUCGGAGGGGGGGUUCCUACGGGUUACCUAGCUCCUAGACCGGGGGGAGAAAGAGGAGGUGGAAAAAAAAAAGGGGGGGAAAGAAAUUACCGCGGCGGGAGGAGCUCGCCGGGGACGGGGGUGACGGCGCGGGGCGGCGGUGUGGCGCGGUCCCGGGCCGGGGAAGAAGAGGGCGCCGGGUUCCACUCCUCGCGGCGGCAGGCAGCAAGAGGGGUGGUGGCGCGGCGUGGCGGGACGACUCGGUGGCGGCGGCAGCGGGGAGGGGCGAGCUCGGGGAGGCGGUGAUGGCGACCGGGAGAGGGGAUUUUGAGGGGCGCGCUAGGUCGGUUUGGGGGGGGGGUCAGAUAGGUGGUGCGAGGGCGUGGAGAGGGGACCGGCGCACUCCGGCGCUAGCGGCCAAGCGCGGCAGCGGUGACGCCGGCCGGUCGGGAAAAAGGGGAAAAAAGGGGGGAUAAAGGAGGCUUGCCUCCUAGCCGAUUCGGGUAAGGGCGCGCGCGUGGGGAGAGAGAGGGGAAGGCACGCGCUCGGCCCCUUGGCGGCACGCGCGCGCAGCGCAGCGGCGGGGCCGAACGGGGGUAGCACGGAACGGGGCCGGCGGGGGCCGUUGGGGAAGAGAGAGAAAGGGGAGAACGACGAGCGGAGGAGGAGACCGGGAAAGAGGGAGCUGGUGCUCCCGGCUCGGGCGCGCGCGGGCCGAGCAGCCUGGCGCGACCCAGCGGGGGGGGGGGGGAGGUGGCCGAGCGGGAGGGACUGGGCCGAGGCGGCCCGCAAAGGAAGAGAGAGAGAAAGGGAGGCCGAAGGCUGGGGGACUGGGCCGGCAGCGGCCCAGGAGGGAAGGGGGAGAGAGAAAAGAAGGCCGAAGGGGGAAAUCGGCCCGAGGGCAAGGGGGGAUAAAGUGGGCUUUACCUGAGAAAGAAAGAGAGGGAGUUUUAGGGCUCGGAUUCGAAAUCCGAUUUCGCGGUUUUCUCCGGGAUUGAACUGAGAGGGGAAACACGAGACCUUGGCACACGACAGGACUCAACCGAAGAGCAACUUUCGCAAAUAGAGUUUUUAGUAAAUUAGUUUUCCCGCUAUCGCCGCGACAAAACGGGCGUUACAAACCAACCCCCCUAACAAGAAUCUCGUCCCCGAGAUUCAGCACCUAAGGGAGCAGCUCCGAGAACUGGGCACGGAGAAGAUCUUCGCGUUCCCAAGUUGCUUCAUCCUCCGAGUGGUUGCUCCACUGCACCUUGUAGAACUUAACGGUCUUUCUUCGUGUCUGACGUUCAGCCUCUUCAAGAACUCUGAUGGGUCUCUCUUUAUAGGUCAGGUUCUUCUCCAAUUCUAUGCUUCCCAAGGGAACUUGUUCCUCUGGAACACGAAGACAUUUCUUUAACUGGGACACAUGGAACACAUUGUGCACAUCUGUCAGUCCUUCUGGUAGGUCGAACUGGUAGGCAACUUCGCCGCGUCUGGCGGUGAUGAGGCAGGGGCCGAUAUAGCGAGGAGCUAACUUGCCGGACAUUCCAAACCUCUUUAGACCACAGAGUGGAGAUACUCGCAGGUACACGUGAUCUCCCACUGCAAACUCGAGAUCACGUCUCCGAUUAUCUGCAUAGCUUUUCUGACGGUCCUGAGCUAUCUUCAAACGGUCUCGAAUCAGCUUGACUUGCUGUUCAGCUUCCUUCAGCACGUCAGGUCCAAACACUUGCGCUUUGCCUACCUCAUUCCAACACAACGGGGUGCGACACUUUCGUCCAAACAGGGCUUCAUUAGGGGACAUCUGAAUACAGGAUUGAUAACUGUUGUUGUAGGAGAACUCAGCGUAGGGGAGACAACGAUCCCAUGUGCCUUCGAAGUCCAGGGCACACGCCCGUAGCAUGUCCUCCAGGAUCUGGUUAACUCGUUCUGUCUGCCCAUCUGUCUGCGGGUGGUAGGCAGUACUGAAAUUUAAGUUGGUACCCAUUGCCUCGUGCAACUAUUGCCAGAAUCUUGAGGUAAACUGAGUGCCUCGAUCCGACACAAUCUUCUUUGGGCAACCAUAUCGGCAAACCACGUGGGUCAUGUACAGGUCUGCCAGCUUUUUCCCAUCGUAGGUGGUUUUCACUGGUACAAAGUGAGCUGCCUUGGUUAGGCGGUCCACGAUCACCCAGAUGGAGUCAUACCCACUAGGGGUCCUUGGUAAACCGGUAAUGAAAUCCAUACCGAUCUCCCAUUUCCAUUCGGGAAUUCGGAGGGGUUGUAACAAACCGGCGGGUUUCUGAUGUUCGGCCUUUACUCUUUGACAGAUGUCACAUAAGGCUACAUACUCUGCGACAUCUCGCUUCAUUCCAGCCCACCAAAAGUAUCCCUUGAUGUCUUGGUACAUUUUGGUACUUCCGGGAUGGAUGGAGUAAGCAGACUCAUGAGCUUCUCUCAGAAUGAGGUCCUUUAAUUCCUUUUUGGCUGGCACGCAGAUGCGGGAUCCGAACCAAACAGUAUCCUGGUUGUCGAUGGUGAAACCUUUGAGUCUUUUCUUACGGAUCUUAUCCUUCAUUUCUUUCAUAAUUCCGUCAUCUGAUUGUGCCUCUCGAAUUUGAGCUUCUAGGGUCGGUUGCACUGCAAGACUGGCAAGGUUUCCGGUAGGGACCACGGUCAAUUUCAACUUCUCGACUUCUCGACAUAGGUCAUCCUGGGUUGGCCAAACUAGGGCGGUAGCACAGUAGGGCUUGCGACUUAACGCGUCGGCGACCACAUUCGCUUUUCCAGGGUGGUAGUGUAUACCAAAAUUAUAAUCCUUGAUUAAUUCCAACCAUCUUCUCUGUCUCAUGUUCAGUUCACUCUGAGUAAAGAUGUACUUGAGGCUUUUGUGAUUGGUGUAAAUCUCACAUCUGUUUCCAAUCAGGUAAUGACGCCAAAUCUUCAGAGCAUGAAUCACAGCUGCCAAUUCCAGGUCAUGCGUAGGGUAGUUGACCUCAUGGGGCCUGAGUUGUCUUGAAGCAUAGGCCACCACCUUUCGGUCUUGCAUCAGGACACAUCCUAGACCUUGUCUCGAUGCAUCACAGAAGAUCUCGAAAUCCUUUCGGAUGUCAGGCAGGGUGAGGACGGGAGCAGUCGUCAAUCUUUUCUUGAGUUCUUGAAAACUGCGUUCACAUGCUUCCGACCAUUCAAACUUCUUUUUCUUCUUUAGCAGUUCCGUCAUUGGUCGGGCUAGUUUGGAGAAUCCUUCGAUGAACCUCCGGUAGUAACCCGCUAAACCGAGGAAACUACGGAUCUCAGACACCGUCUUGGGUGCGUUCCAGGCGAGGACGGUCUCAACCUUCCUGGGGUCUACUUCAACACCUUUGGUGGAGAUGACAUGGCCAAGGAAGGCUACUUUAUCCAACCAAAACUCACACUUUGAGUACUUGGCAAAGAGUCAGUGUUCACGCAACCUUUCCAUUACCUUCCGUAGAUGAUUUGCAUGAUCUUGUUCAUUCCCGGAGUAAAUCAGAAUGUCGUCGAUGAAGACCACUACGAACUUAUCCAAGUAGUCCAUGAAAACUUUAUUCAUCAUGUUCAUGAAGAAUGCCGGAGCAUUGGUGAGCCCGAAGGACAUCACGGUGAACUCAUACAGGCCAUACCGCGUUGAGAAAGCGGUCUUGGGGAUAUCUUCUGAUCUGAUUUUGAGCUGGUGAUACCCAGAUCGUAGGUCGAUCUUGGAGAAUACUCUGGCUCCUUCCAAUUGGUCGAACAAAUCGUCAAUCCGUGGCAGAGGAUACUUAUUCUUGAUGGUUACUUCAUUCAGGGCUCUAUAGUCUAUCACCAUUCUCUCAGAGCCAUCUUUCUUCUUUACUAAGAGCACAGGGGCUCCCCAAGGGGACGAGCUGGGUCGCACGUAACCCUUGUUCUGAAGUUCUUCGAUCUGUUUCUUAAUUUCUGCCAGUUCGUUGGCUGCCAUUCUGUAGGGUCUCUUGGCAAUGGGAGCGGUGCCUGGGGCAAGCUCUAUGGAGAACUCAAUUUCUCGAUCCGGUGGCAUUCCGGGUAGUUCUUCUGGGAACACCUCGGGAUACUCGUUAACUAUAGGUACCAUUUCCAAAGGAGUGGCUUGCAAACUAUUCAGGAUUGACCGGUUUCCGGGAAGGAGAGGAGUGAAGCGCACUUGUUUUCCUCCGGGUCCUUGCAGAGUGAUGGUCCUCUCAGCACAAUCUAUUUGUCCUUUGUGCUUAACCAACCAAUCCAUCCCUAGGAUGACAUCCAGGCCUUGGGAGUCUAGGACUAUGGGUUUGGCUGCGAAGCUAACCCCUUCUAUCACUAGAUCAACCUUGGGGCAUAGUUUAUCUGCCCUUAUAUCCCUUCCAGGGGAAUGUAUUACCAUAGGUACUUGUAAAUUUUGGGUUUUCCAACCAUUUCUUUUCACAAAAGCUUGCGAUAUGAACGAAUGAGAAGCUCCUGAAUCAAAUAGAACGAGUGCGGGUAUGGAGUUGACAGAGAACAUACCCAUCACCACGUCGGGGGCCUCUUGGGCGGUUUCAGCUUGAAUGUGGUUCACUCGACCUUGUCCAAAGUUGUUGGAGGCGCGAGAACCUUGUCCACUUGUCUGAGUGACUGGACGGGACUGUGCAGGUGCUGGGGUCCUAGGGAAGCUAACAUCAGAGCGUCCGGGGUUAGAGUUUCCCUGAUUUCGAGGGCACUGCCUAGCGUAAUGUCCCAUUUGUUUGCACGUGAAGCACUACACAUGUGCCAUUCCUGUUGGCGAAUUGAAGGAGGAAACACUGUUCCUUGCGGUGUUGCCACUAGGGGCAUGCUGCUGGGGCGACGGAGUAGGGCGAGGCAUCGGCGGACGAGGAGUAAAGCCAGGUUGGCGACUGACUUGAUGGGCAGGUUGGUGGUACUGCAUGGGAUGUCCAACACGAGGGCGUGGCGCACCUCGAAAUAGGGGCGCUUGGUGGGUAGACUUGCGCUUCUUGUAUUCCUCAGUUGCCUCUUUUCUGGCAUCCUCCAGAAGCAAGGCCUUGUUGACCAUGUGCUGAAAAGUGGGGAAGUCAUGGGCAAUCAACUGGAUUCUCAACCCUACUGCGAUUCCCUUCAAGAAUUUCCUGAUCUUUUUCUUGUCGAAGUCCACUUCCUCGGGAGCAUACCGAGCCAAUUUGUUGAAGCGGCUUAAGUACUCAUUGACACUUCCUGUACCUUGUUUCAAGCGAUUGAACUCUUCUUUCUUCAUAUCGAUGGUACUUUCGGGUACAUGAGCUGCACGGAAAGCAUCGGCGAACUCUGCCCACUCAAUGUUGACAGCGUCUGGAUGGGCAUUACAGUAAUUCUCCCACCAGUCGGCUGCAGAGCCUCUCAACUGAUGUGCAGCGAAAAGGGUCUUCUCCACUGGAGUGCACUGCACAAGGUUGAGCUUUCUCUCAACAUCCUUUAGCCAAUCGUCGGCCUCGACGGGCUCGACGGUGUGAGAGAAUUCCGGUGGAUGGGAUCUUAGAAAGUCCGUUAGCUUGGAUCUGUGAUUGUUAUUAUGGAAGGGCACUGGGUGCGGAGCCUGCGGCUGCAAAUUCUGCUGGAUACCAGCAAUGGCUUGGGCUAAGCCCUGCAAGAUCUGAGUCUGAACUGCCAUCAUGUGCUGGUAAUCUGCCUGAAGUUGGGGAGGCGGGGGUAAGUCCUGUGCACGGUUUGCUGCAGGAUCUGCCUGAGCUGGAGCAUUAACCGGUUCAUUCCCUGACUCAUUUUCCGAUUCUGGUUCUUCCCUGCGGGUUUCAUAACCCAAACGAGCUGGGGAACGAGCGGCACGACGGGGACAGCCAUCUAAUCUCCCAGAAAGGGGCGGGGUAAGAGAACAGAACAGCACUUAAAAGGGAAGAAGUAAAGUAAACGAGCUCAGAAAGCACACACUAGUCAUAAUGCUUUUCUCAACUCGGAAAGCACCUAACACAACGGGUGUGGACAAGUCACAGAGCUGCGCCGAGCUUGACUGUGCGCACACCACCUCAGAGAUCCAGACUACCGGACAACACCCACAACAACACACUCACACACUACCUCGCCACGACUCCAAAAGAGUUGGCGGCGGUACAAAAGGUCUGGCACACGAACUCCACCUGCAGCAGACGAACUCUACUGCUCUCCUGCCUGGCUGGCUCCGGUGGUCGGCUCGUCUGAAGAGGACACGUCGAUCGGCGCACGCGAAGGGACCGGCGGAACCUGUCGAGGGCCGGCAGCAGGGCGGCCUGCUGGCGGGGUAGGAGCUGGGUGGUUGAAACGAAACACAGUGGAGGAGCCCACAACGCGCUUCCGCGCGGUGCGGAUCAGUCGGAGCCCACGGCGGCUGACGACUGGGGUGUGGCCUGGGGUGUAGGAGGGGCUGGCACGAUGGGGGUAGGGAGAGUAAACUGGUGAGUACGGCACACGCGGGCUGGGGGAGCGUGGGCCGCUGGGAGUGCGAGCAGAGCCACGUGAAUUGUAGAAGGACAGGUGGCUGGAGUGGCAAAGGCGGCCAGAGUCCCAGGAGGUAGUGUCCACGGAGGUGACACCCUCCUCAGCAAGGCGGGCCUCCAGCGCGGCAUAGCGGCAAGCCAAGGAGCGAUAAGCCUCAAGGAGAAGGUCGUGCUGAGUGGCCUGAGCGCCAGAAAGCUCCACCAUGCGCGUCAGCGCAGGGUGCGACUCACGAUAAGGGCAAGGGUAGCGGCUGUCUGCACGGCCAGGAGGGAGCUGCGGGAUCAGCCGGAAGGCCGAACCUGCGAGGCGGCGACGGUAGUCGUAGGACAAGCGACGCAGAGCGGUCCAGGAGAGGUCCUGGUACGUGAGCUGGAGCGUGGGGCGAGCCAAGUUGAAGUGGUGAGGGCGAAGGCCAGCGCUGUGUGUACCUCCGCGGGGGUAAAGGUACACGGACAGCUCACAGCGGGGAGGGAAACGGUCCACGGAGUACCCAGCGUACUCGGGACAAGAGAAGCCAAGGAAGCCAGCGAGGUCUCUCAGCUGGUCGACGUGGUGACCCUCACCAACGCCGUGGGAACUGUGGGUGGCGUUGACUGCCGUCUACAAUUUUGAAAAAGAAAGAGAAGUCAGUAACCAGUUUUGUAAACAGAGUAAGAGAAGAAGAAAAGAACCGAGCUUUUUGCAAUUAGCUUUUUCAGAACUUAGCAUCCUUACGGUCAUCUAACGUCGGGUUUCGUCCUAAGGCCAAAGCUGCGCUCUGAUACCAUCUUCUGUCACGCCCCAAACUAGCCCCGAGCGGAGGCCAGGAUAGGGCGGUUCAGAUUGACCUGUAUACCUGUACCAGUCCCAGGAAAUAGCGCUAGUACAACAGGAAGACAGAAUAUCACAACAACAACGGUCUCUUUAUUAAGAGUAGGAUUACAACCAGGGUUGGAACUGCGGACAGAACCCGAGUUCGCAACAACAUUACAAAACGGCGGAAGCGGAAAGCGGCGACUAGCCCUAAGCCACAAGCAAAGCCUUGGGGAAAGGCCGAAAUCCUACUACUGCUCGAAGUCUGCUUGCUCCUGGAAGAACUCUUCAUCAGCAGGGUCCACCUCUUCGUCUUCGAGAACUGGGGGGGGUUUAAUUAUAUAGAGCAAGGGUGAGUACGAGAGUACUCAGCAAGUCAGGGGAAUUAAGUGUUUAAUGCAAGCUUCAAGGGAAGCCAGUUGUUUUUCACAAUUGAUUUUAGUUUAAGACUUUAGAAACAUCUAAGUAAGUGCUUCUCAACGACACGGAUGAGAAAGUGCGUCUCAUCCGGUCGGAGCAGUGAAAAUUGUAUCGAUUGAUUCUUGUCGGCACGAGAGGCUCCCUGCCAAUCGUUUACCGACCCGGCUGCUCCAACAGCCACACGCGAGAGGCUCCCUGCCAAUCGCUCACCACACCGGCUGCACCAACAGCCACAAACCAAGCACGUCGGAACGAGUGGCUCCCUGCCAAUCGUUCACCGACACCGGCUGCUCCAACAGCCUUAAACCAAGCACAGAAGGGAAAACCUCACACACCAACAGCAGUUUACAAAGUGUUCAUUAAAACUAUGCUAAGGAAUCACCUCACAUCCGCCCAUGACCGUGGGCACGGCUGUUCGAACAGUUAUUAACCUCUGCAGAGGGGGUACACUUUACCCACACGACGUUACUAACCCCAAAUCACCCAGCCCGCGACUCUUAGUCAUGUCUGGCGACCUUGAGGCUUUUACGACAAGGCAUUUCGAAAGCCGACUCAGGGUCAUCUUAUGCCAACGGGAGGGGUCCCACGGACCAACACCAGGUUAGGUCCCAGACCAUACUGUGCCAGGAAGCCCAGGGGUCCUCCCCGACACCACCCCGGCGAAUCUACUUGUCCCUUGGCAUCAAGAUUUCUCUGGCCUAGCUAAUUACUCAGCCAGGGGCGUCCCAUAUCACCCAUGUGGUCGUACUUGACAUAUGCUCGGAUGUAAUUCCCAAGGAAUCGGUCCUUAGAGCGAGAACGGGCAGACCGUACCUCCAGUACGUCUCCCAUACCGCGAGUUUUAGAAACUCACUUUAUUUUCAAGGCACCGACCUAAGUGUCGGGUUUUCCAAGCAUUUUGUAAACUCAAGUUUUACCCAGGUGAUCAUUUUAAAUUUUGAGGGGAGUCUCAAUAUUCGUACGCGAGGUACGGAUACCGAGGCUUCACCUGAGGGGUGACAAGGGUGUUAGGUUAUUCAAUAAUCAUGGAAGGUAAAUGCAACAAUUGGGUAGGGCCUAACGGUUAUCUUGCAAACUGAGACCAAGUGCCAAGUGUAACCUAAAUAAUGCAUAGUUUGCGGAAAUCAAAAUACUUAAUUUAAAUUAUAGGUUCAAUUGAUCAAAGGUGACUUGCCUUGCUCAAGAUCUUGAGCUUCUUCCACGAAAUCCGCGCACUGCGGGUCUUCGGGCUCCGAGACUACACGUGAAACGAGACGACUCAACAAAGCGAUAAAAAGAAGCCCUAUUAAAGACCACUAAGCAUGCCAUUGGAUAGAUCUCGAUUUUUGAGAAAUUUUGGAAGUGGAACGGGGUUAAUCGGACGAACGGUUGAAAAGAUAUAAAUUUCCGAAGAUUAAAGGAUUUUCUGGAAUAAGAAAAGGAAUUAUUAAUUCCCUGGAAAAGAAAAGAAGGAGCGAUGCAAUUUAGACUUUAUUUUGGGCGGCUAAGGGCAGCCCAAAAGAAUAGAACGGGCGCGGCCGAAAUAAUUGGGCCGACGGCCCGAAGGGAUUGGCCCAUGGCCGAUCGGCGCGCGAGAGGGGGAUAGGCCGAUGGGCCGGGGCAGGCCGCGGCCUACGCGGUCGGCCGAUUCGCGAGAGGGAGGCCGUUGGCCAAGUGGGCCAAGCGGGAAAGAGGCCGAGUGGCUGAGUGGGGAUAGAGGGGGCCGAUGGGCCAAGGCGGAGCGAGGCCGACGCGGGCGGCCGAUCUGGUGGACCGUGCCCGCCAUGCGGCGCUAGGGCGGGGCCCGCCCGUCGGCGGUGCGGUCUACGCGGACCGAGCGCACGGAGGGGAAGGAGGGAGUGCGCCGGCUGGCGCUCGCGUGGCGCCUGCGUGGCGGCCACGUAGGCCAGCCGGGCGAAAGAGAGGGGAAGACGCCGGGCGACGGCGGCGACGGCGGAGGGGUUCGGGCGGUGCGGUGCGAGGCCGGCGACGGGGAGUGGCGCCGGAGCAAGAGGGGAGAGAGAGGAAUCGAGCCGUCGGCUCGGAUCGGGCCGCGGGGAGCGACGGCGGCUGGCGACGACGCGGUGCAACGGCGGCCACGGCGGCUCGGGGAGAGGGCGGAGGAGAAGGCGACGGCCACGGCGGUGGCUGGAGGGGGGGGGGGUUCCUACGGGCUACCUAGCUCCUAGACCGGGGGAGAAAGAGGAGGUGGAAAAAAAAAGGGGGGAAAGAAAUUACCGCGGCGGGAGGAGCUCGCCGGGGACGGGGGUGACGGCGCGGGGCGGCGGAGUGGCGCGGUCCCGGGCCGGGGAAGAAGAGGGCGCCGGGUUCCACUCCUCGCGGCGGCGGGCAGCAAGAGGGGUGGUGGCGCGGCGUGGCGGGACGACAGGGUGGCGGCGGCAGCGGGGAGGGGCGAGCUCGGGGAGGCGGUGAUGGCGACCGGGAGAGGGGAUUUUGAAGGGGGCGCUAGGUCGGUUUGGGGGGGGUCGGAUAGGCGGUGCGAGGGCGCGGAGAGGGGACCGGCGCACUCCGGCGCUUGCGGCCAAGCGUGGCAGCGGUGACGCCGGCCGGUCGGGAAAAAGGGGAAAAAAGGGGGGAUAAAGGAGGCUUGCCUCCUAGCCGAUUCGGGUAAGGGCGCGCGCGCGGGGAGAGAGAGGGGAAGGCGCGCGCUCGGCCCCUUGGCGGCACGCGCGCGCAGCACAGCGGCGGGGCCGAACGGGGGCAGCACGGAACGGCGCCGGCGGGGGCCGUUGGGGAAGAGAGAGAAAGGGGAGAACGGCGAGCGGAGGAGGAGACCGGGAAAGAGGGAGCUGGUGCUCCCGGCUCGGGCGCGGGCGGGCAGAGCGGCCUGGCGCGGCCCAGCGGGGGGGAGGUGGCCGAGCGGGAGGGACUGGGCCGAGGCGGCCCGCAAAGGGAGAGAGAGAGAAAGGGAGGCCGAAGGCUGGGGGACUGGGCCGGCUGCGGCCCAGGAGGGAAGGGGGAGAGAGAAAAGAAGGCCGAAGGGGGAAAUCGGCCCAAGGGCAGAGGGGGGGUAAAGUGGACUUUACCUGAGAAAGAAAGAGAGGGAGUUUUAGGGCUCGGAUUCGAAAUUCGAUUUCGCGGUUUUCUUUGGGAUUGAACUGAGAGGGGAAACACGAGACCUUGGCACACUGUUAACGACGGAUUUUGGUAAUCGACUUGGAAAGGAAAGAGGAAACCGAAGCAGAGAGGAAGGAUUGAGUUGGAGUCGGACCAGGCUUUGUAUCGGACCCGGUAACCGUAUCGGACUGGGGAGGUGUUGCUAUAAAGAGCGUAUCGGCCGAUACGGAUUUGGUUUGGUUGUGGGCCGAUGCAGGUUGUGAGUUGACAGUGUCAACGUGGGCUUGGUCUGGGCUCGAAGUAAGCUUCAAGGAAGUUGCCAAAUAGAGAUAAAGCUCGGUUUUAGGCAAUUGUAUCUUGUAAAUUAAGUAGUGUAGAUCUAAUCUGUGGCUUAAGUCUGCCGCAAGGACUUGUUUGUUAGUUGUAGAUAAGAUCGUGCCCUACAAGGGUUCUGUUGUAACCUCGGGUAUAAAUAUCCCGAUAGUUUGUACAUGUAAGGUCUCUCAAUCAAUCACACAAUCAAAUCAAUCUACUUCCGGCGCAUCGCCAACCCUCGCAAGAGGUCUUCUUCGACGAGUUCUUGCUUCCUCGGAGCAGAGGUAAGAACUCGUCCCCGAUGAUCUGCAUCGUCGGGGCUAACGUGUCGCUUUAGACACGUUAAGCCUCGAUGAUGUGAUCGUCGAUUAUAAUGUCUUGAAUAGUUUUGACAGGUAUCUUAAUUAAGCCUUGCCAGCGGUUUACUCGCUUUAGGGUUUAUUGCCGACGAUGGUUUAAUUCUUAUGCUUGGCUAGAUUGUUCAAUGCAGCUGCCAUCCCCAAAAGCAAUCGACGACUUGAUUUUCUUUGUGUUAAGUCUCAAUUCACACUUCGAGUUGCCAUCGACCUUAGUCCUGUUUUGAGAUCUAACACAAAGCCUGUUUUCGGUUGUAAUUAAGGAUAGUACCGGGGUUUUAGCCGGUCUUAUCUAACAUAUGUGAUUGCUUUAUGUUUCUUGCAUAUGUUUGCCACUUAUAUGUGCAGAUCGAUAAGUAUAGAUAUGUCGAUCAUGAGGUAAUCUCAGGAUUUCUUUAUGGUUGACGUGUUUAUACUGGUCGAUUGGCUCGUAUAAGGUUGCACUAGAGUACUAGCUGGUGUAGUUACCUUUGUCAUCUUUAUCGGCCGGUAUUAUUAGUUGAGGUCUACAUAUCAAUGAAGGCCGAUAAGAUUAGAUUCAUGUCUUACUUAUUUUCUAAGUGAGCCGAUAUAGCUUUGCCCUACCGGCUGGGCUAUGACAAUGUGUCAUCGGUCUGCUGACCGAUCGGCCAUUGUUCUCUGACUUGGUUCACUUGUUUCUUGUUGAUUGCAGAUCAAAUCAACUGGCACGCUCUACUUACGACUAGGCAAGCCAUUUGGACCUGCACUGGAGUUAAGCAGAUCUCCCAGGCCGCCGUGGUAACGCGGAACCCGUUUGGUUGCUGGACGGGUCGAAAUUCUGCGCCAACACGCUUUUGGCACGCCCAGUGGGACCCCAAGAACACAAGCUUAUCACCAGCAACAAGAACACCUCGAGAUGUCGAAGCAGGCCGAGAUCGUCGAGGAGAACGUCAUUCCCGUGACCGCUGACCAGCUCAGCGCAGAACAAAAAGCUGAGAUGGAUAGUCUGGUCGCACAGUUCCAGAAUAUGUACCUGCAAACGUAUUCUAGGACUCGGCAGGGCACCUUGAUUCAAAAGUCCAAGGUGGUCAUGCCGAGUUCCGGAGAUGGAGCUGGAAUGUCGGCGGCGGCGCACGAUCACGCCGUCAAAACUGAAGACACUGCAGCGCCGACGUUGCAAGACAGGAUUGACUCCGCAGUCCACUCUGUGCUAGUCAACCAAUCAGGGAUUUUGGUGAACACCUUGACUAAUACGGUCAAGUCUAUCUUAGACGGGUCAAUUCACCAGUUCAAGCCUCAGGGGCCGAUUUUCUUGCCAGAAAAUAAGUUCCCUGCAUAUCGGACCCUGAGGAAUGAUCUGAGCACGUCUCAGCCAACACCGCCGAUGCCACCCUCAUCGGCGCAGCCGACAAUAACAUUGCCACUGGUCCUCACCAGGCAGACCGGGGGCAGCCCUCAGCUCAUCACCGAGGAACAAUACGCUCAAUGGGCCAAGGGGAAGCAACCGGUGGUUGAGCCGAUGCAGCAAGUUCCUGUCAACCAGCCAUCGGCCGGACAACCGCAAGCCUCAGUGUUCAAUAGUCCUCCACUUCAAGUUGCAUACAACAUGCCGCAAGGCUAUCAGCAGUACCCUGCAGGACAGUAUGGCGUACCGAACUCGGAUCAUCAUUACCAGCCAUACUCCCCUAGGCAGUAUCAAGCAGAGGGUCUGCAACAAUCGUUUCAGCCAGACCUCCCACAUCGGCCCGCAGGAUAUUGGGCCGAUAUGAUAGCCGAAGUGAUGCGGGAUCAAUUCGGCUUGAAGCCCAAGGAGAACUCUACGGUGUAUCGGCACCCGUAUCCCGAGGAAUUUGACAGGGUACCGUUGCCAGGCCGAUAUAAGAUCCCGGAUUUCUCCAAGUUUUCGGGACAGGACAACGUCUUGACAUAUGAGCAUGUCAGCCGAUUCUUAGCACAGUGCGGGGAGGCAUCGGCUAUCGAGGCGUUGAGGGUGAGGUUUUUCCCUCUGUCCUUAUCAGGGUCUGCAUUCACGUGGUUCUCUUCCUUGCCCUGCAAUUCCAUCAGAGGAUGGAUAGAUCUGGAGAAACACUUUCAUAGAUACUUCUACAAUGGCGUACAAGAGAUGAAACAGUCAGAUCUGACUGCCAUCAGGCAACGAGUGGAUGAAUCGGUCCCUGAAUACAUACAAAGGUUCAGAGACAUACGGAACAGAUGUUAUAGCCUCAGUCUGACCGAUUCCCAGUUGGCCGAUUUGGCAUUUCAGGGAUUGCUAGGGCCGAUACGCGAGAGGUUCUCCUCGCAGGAAUUUGACAGCCUCGCUCAGCUGGCACAACGAGUAUCGGCCCACGAGCAGCGAUUCCAGGAGGCAAAGAAGUUCGCGAAAAAGAUUAACACUGUUUAUCAGUACGCCUCCGACGAUGACGACGAUGAAGAUGGUGAUGUCGACCUAGCCGAGUGGGCCCGGAUGAGGAAAUCAACAACUUGCCAGUGGGCCAAGAAAGGAGAUAAAGAAGAUAAAUAUGAUUUCGACAUCAAAAAGGCCGAUAAGAUAUUUGACCUGCUGUUGCAAGAAAAGCAGAUUCAACUGCCAGUAGGUCACGUAUUGCCAUCGGCCGAAGACAUCAAGAAAAGGAGAUAUUGCAAGUGGCACAAUUCCUAUUCACACCAUACAAAUGAAUGCAAGAUCUUCCGGCAACAAAUUCAAUCGGCCAUCGAGCAGGGCAGAAUUAAAAUCGACGAUGCCAAGCGGCCGAUGAAGAUUGAAGGCCACCCGUUCCCAGUCAACAUGGUGCGGGCGGACAGGGCCGAUGGCGGUGGUCAUCGGACUGGCAAGCGGCCUCAUCAGACCUCUGAGGGUCUGAUCAGAAAAUAUCGGCGGAGGCGGGAGGAUCAAGCUCAAGACCAAGCCGAUCAAGACAACUCCUACGACCCACACUGGGAGUGCGAGUUUUUUCGCUUCUGCUGGAAUGAAGGGAUGAGGUUGCCAUCUAUCCAGGAGUGCCCUGCAUGCAGUGGUGUAGAAAAUUCUUAUCAGGGCAGCUCAAGCAGACAAACGCAUCGGCCGGCCAAGCAACGGAAAUCCGUGCAUGAAAGGCUGGGGCCGAUGCACCAAGAUCAACACGAUGAAGAUGAGGAACAAGUCCAGAACCCCCAAUGGUGCCCAAGCGAUGUAUUCAGCAAGACACAGAAGCGGCGGGUUCAGAGGUUAAGGAGGAAAGAGCAAAUCCAAGAGCAACAAGCUGAAAUACCCCAUCGGCCCACCAAGACCAAAAAAGAGUGGAGGAUAAAAUCCACGGUGGCCAGGGCCGAUGAGGGCACCUCCAAUAUAGCUCAGGGCUACUCAGCUUCAAAAGGUAAAAAAAUGACAUCGGCGCCUGUUAACAUGGUGUUUGUAUUGCCAGCAGAAUACUGUGUGCAGGCGGCCGAUGAAGCGAUGGCCGAUGAUGAACAAGGUUCAGCCAGGCUACGCUUGUCACCAGACCAAGCUAUCUUCGACAAGCCAGUUGACGCCAGCCACAGACAUCUACGGCCGUUGUACAUCAAAGGAUUCAACAACGGGCGGCCGAUGACGAAGAUGCUGGUCGAUGGUGGCGCAGCAGUCAAUUUAAUGCCAUACACAACCUUCAGGAAGCUUGGAAAAGUACCUGAGGAUCUUAUCAAGACAAAUAUGGUAUUAAAGGACUUCGGUGGCAACGCAUCCGAGGCGAAGGGGGUCCUGAACGUGGAGCUCACCGUGGGCAGCAAAACAAUUCCCACCACCUUCUUCGUCUUCGAUGGAAAGGGUUCCUACAGCUUGUUGUUGGGACGAGAUUGGAUCCAUGCAAAUUGCUGUGUCCCUUCAACAAUGCACCAAUGCCUCAUGCAAUGGCAAGGGGACCAAGUCGAGAUCGUGCAGGCCGAUCGGUCAGUACAUGUCGCCAAUGCCGAUCUCGCAGUUUGGGAGAUGGAGGGAAUCGACUGCUUGUCCGGGCGAGUCUGGGACGCCGAUUUCCUCAAGGUAACCGACUGCGACAUCGAGGCAAUUGAAGACCAAGACAAGCGGUUACUUUAGCGAAGAUGCACCAUCCGCCGUUGACAAUGACCCCUACACAGAUGACGCGGUGGAUGAGUUAGACGGCAAGUUGGGACAAGGUUUUACGUCGGCCGAUGAAUUGGAAGAAAUUGAUAUAGGAAUAGGUGAUAGGCCUAGGCCGACGUAUGUAAGCGCUAAUUUGCCAAAGGAAUACAAGAAUAAUUUGAUAGAUCUUUUGAAAGAAUUCAGAGAUUGUUUUGCAUGGGAAUACCAUGAGAUGCCAGGAUUAAGCCGAUCGAUUGUAGAACAUCGGCUACCAAUCAAACAAGGCUAUCGGCCUUUUAAGCAAGCUCCUUGGAGGUUUAAGGCCGAUAUGCACGAAGCCAUAAAAGCAGAGAUCACAAGACUUUACGACGCCAACUUUAUCAGGCCCUGCCGAUACGCGGAGUGGGUCCCCAACAUAGUUCCGGUAUUGAAAAAGAACGGCAAGCUAAGGGUAUGCGUCGAUUUCAGAGAUCUAAAUAAGGCGACGCCCAAAGACGAGUACCCUAUGCCGUUGGUCGAUUUGCUAGUCGACGCUGCUUCUGGGCAUAAGAUCAUUAGUUUCAUGGACGGAAACGCGGGUUACAACCAGAUCUUUAUGGCUAAAGAGGACAUUCAUAAGACAGCCUUCAGGUGCCCAGGGGCAAUCGGCCUAUAUGAAUGGGUCGUCAUGACAUUUGGUUUGAAGAAUGCUGGAGCUACGUAUCAGAGGGCUAUGAAUUACAUUUUUCAUGAUCUUAUUGGCUCUCUGAUUGAAGUUUAUAUAGACGAUGUUGUUGUAAAGUCAAGAGAACAUGAUAUGCACUUGGCCGACUUACGCAAGGUACUAGAAAGGGCAAGGAAAUAUGGUUUGAAGUUGAACCCUAACAAAUGUGCCUUUGGCGUAUCGGCCGGUCAGUUUUUGGGUUUCUUGGUCCAUGAAAGGGGGAUUGAAAUCACACAGAAGAACAUCGAUGCCAUCAAGAAAAUCAAGCCUCCAGAAAACAAGACCAAGUUACAGUCUCUGCUUGGCAAGAUCAACUUCGUCCGGCGUUUUAUAUCAAAUUUGUCAGGCCGUAUAGAGCCAUUCACUCCACUGUUGAAAAUAAAGGACGACGAAGAAUUCAUAUGGGGUGACAAGCAACAAAAAGCGCUAGACGAUAUCAAAGAAUAUUUAACUUUUCCGCCGGUCUUAAUUCCUCCACAAAAAGGAGUCCCAUUCAAAUUGUACUUGUCAGCCGAUGAGAAAUCCAUCGGCUCAGUCUUGGUUCAAGAUGUUAACGGCAAGGAAAGAGCUAUUUUUUAUCUCAGCAGGAGAAUGUUAGACGCUGAGACAAGGUACACGCCGGUGGAGAAAUUAUGCCUUUGUUUAUAUUUUUCAUGUACUAAAUUGAGGCAUUACCUGCUUUCCAACGAGUGCAUCGUAGUGAGCAAUGCCGAUGUGAUGAAAUACAUGUUAUCGGCCCCUGUGUUGAAAGGACGAGUCGGGAAGUGGAUCUUUGCUUUAACAGAGUUUGAUCUUCGAUAUGAAUCGGCCAAAGCGAUCAAAGGACAAGCCUUGGCCGAUUUCAUCGUUCAACAUAGAGAUGACUCAGUCGCAUAUGCAGACAUUGUGCCAUGGACAUUAUAUUUUGAUGGAUCCGUCUGCAGACACGGUUGCUGUAUCGGCCUAGUCAUCAUAUCCCCUCGGGGGGCAAGUUUUGAGUUCGCUUUCACUAUCAAGCCUUACUAUACCAACAAUCAAGCAGAAUAUGAAGCGGUGCUUAAAGGCUUUCAGUUAUUACAAGAAGUCGAGGCCGAUGCCGUGGAAAUCAUUGGUGAUUCACAGCUAGUAAUUAGUCAACUUUCUGGGGAGUAUGAGUGCAGAGACGAUAUUCUCAAAGUCUAUAAUGAGGAGUGCAAAGAGUUAUUACACGGUUUCCGGAUCGUAAUGAUGAGGCAUAUACCCAGGAAGCAGAAUUUCGAAGCCAAUGAUUUAGCUCAGGGGGCAUCGGGAUACAGGCCGAUGGCUAAAGACGUUCCAAUUCAGAUUGCUCUCGUGCACGCCGAUGACUGGAGGUUUGAUAUCAUUGAGUAUUUGAGAAACCCUUCCCAAUCGGCGUCACGCAGAAUGAAAUAUAAAGUUUUACACUAUGUCUUAUUGGACGAUAACCUAUAUUAUCGGACGGUUGAUGGUGUCCUACUCAAAUGCCUAGGUCCUGAGGAGGCUAAAACCGUUAUGAGCGAAGUACAUGAAGGGAUUUGUGGCACCCAUCAAUCGGCCCAUAAAAUGAAAUGGCUGAUGAAGCGCGUCGGAUAUUUUUGGCCAACCAUGCUAGAAGAUUGCUUCAAGUAUUAUAAAGGAUGUCAGGAUUGUCAGAAAUUUGGAGCAAUUCAGAGAGCACCGGCAUCGGUUAUGCAUCCAAUCAUAAAGCCGUGGCCGUUUCGUGGAUGGGGAAUAGAUAUGAUCGGCCAGAUUAACCCACCAUCAAGUAAGGGACACAAGUAUAUAUUAGUGGCUACAGAUUACAUCACAAAGUGGGUUGAGGCCGUUCCUCUCAAGAAGGUUGAUUCCAAAGACGCUAUUCAGUUCGUCAAGGAGCAUAUCAUAUAUCGGUUUGGGUUACCUCAGACAAUAACUACAGAUCAGGGAUCAAUCUUCGUGUCCGACGAGUUCGUUCGAUUUGCUGACAGCAUGGGCAUCAGAUUACUCAAUUCUUCUCCUUACUAUGCGCAGGCCAAUGGGCAGGCAGAGGCUUCUAACAAGUCUUUAAUCAAAUUAAUCAAGAGGAAAAUUGACGAACAGCCGAGGCAAUGGCAUACAACGCUGGCCGAUGCCCUUUGGGCGUAUCGGAUGGCUUGCCAUGGUGCAAUCCAAGUGCCUCCCUAUCAACUGGUCUACGGGCAUGAAGCUGUACUACCGUGGGAAACCGCCAUCGGCUCAAGAAGGAUUGCUUUGCAAGACGACUUGACAGCCGACGAGUACCAUAAUCUUAUGGUUGAUGAAUUGGAUGAUUUGGCACAUGUUCGAUUACGGGCCUUAGAGAAAAUCAAGCGUGAUAAAGAUAGAGUGGCCCGUCAUUAUAAUAAAAAGGUCGUUGCCAAAUCGUUUGAGGAAGGAGACCUUGUGUGGAAAUUAAUAAUGCCGAUUGGCUCCAGAGAUAAUAAAUUCGGCAAAUGGUCACCUAAUUGGGAAGGCCCCUUUCGAAUUCAUCGACGUGUUCCUCACAAUGCCUAUCUGCUCAAGGGAUUAGAUGGCGAGAUUUAUGGACGAGCUCUCAAUGGCAAAUACUUGAAACAAUAUUAUCCCAGUGUCUGGAUUGACUCAUGAUCGGCCCUCUAGCCGAUUUAUGAUUACAGCCGAUGUAGUCAAGCAUCGUCUUUAGAUGGCCGGUAAAUACUAUCGCCCUUAGUUCAAAAUUUCAGAAUAUGAGCCCUCAUCUUCCAAAAUUUGGGGGGCAUAUAUAUAUACAGGAAUUUUCCAGGAAUUUUCAAGGAUUUUUCAGUUUGGCGAUUGACUUCGGCUCUCUGGCCGAUGAGAUUGUUUAUAAUGAGAAUUUUCAAAGAUUUUUCAGUUUGGCGAUUGACUUCGGCUCUCUGGCCGAUGAGAUUGUUUAUAAUGAGAUUGUUCGUAUUAAAGAUAUAUGUGUCUGGAAUUUUCAAAACAAAUUCGGCUGCACGGCCGAUAAGGUGUGAGAGGAUUUUAAUUCGGCUGCACGGCCGAUAAGGUGUGAGAGGAUUUCAGAAGCAAUAAAUUAGGCUGGAAUUUUCAAAAGAAUUUUCAAAACAAAUUCGGCUGCAUGGCCGAUAAGGUGUAUGUUUAUAUAUUAUAAAAAUAACAUAUGCUACAUCACCCUAUGAAGUCCGCAAUAGCAGCAAUGGCUUUACAGCGAAUCUGCUAGACGUCUUCAAUAGCCUGGGCGUCAUCGGCCAUCGUCCCUGGGAUCGGUUUCAGUGAUUUGCUUAGGGUCGCGAGGUACUUGGCCGAUGCCUUGAGCUUUGCCAUCUGAUCUUCUAUGGCUUUAGGGGAUGCAGCUAUUCCGGCUUCGGCUUCUUGGAUUUCUCGACGUGUCGAUUCCAGCUUCGAUACCAGCUCUGCCUCGAGGCGACGGAGCUCUUCAAGUUUGUGCUUCAAGACAAUCGGCUCUACCGCUAACUCGUCCAGCUUGGUUUUGUCAGCGUUAACUUGGGCCUUGCUGGCGGAUAAAGCCGAUUCCAGUUGGUCACGCUCUCGUCGCUCUGCGAGUCUUUCUUUGGCUUUGUUGAGCUUGAAUCGGUAUUGCUCCAAGAAGAUGGCCGGUGUUAGGACCUCCAUUAGGUCUUCAGGCAGUUCGUCUUGAAUUUCUUGUACCCUGACCCUGAUGGAGGUGCAAUCUUCCACCAAGUACUCCAGCGAGGACUCCAGCCGAUUGGCGAUAUCGGUCAGCCGGUUCUUCAGAUCAUCAGAGAUUGGUGCCCUGGCUGUGCUGGGUAGUUCCUUGUCCUCAUCAUCAAGAAACUGGCCGAUAUCAAAGGAGAACAUAUCGGCUAGGUUCUGUAAAUAUCAACAUGGGUUGAGGUUAGCAUUGUUAAUCAGGAAUCGACAGAAAGGGGAUCAGGGUAAUCGUGGUUACCUGUGUUGGAGCAUCGGUGGUGCUUGCAUCGGCCUUCCUUUGCUUUGUCGACAUAGUAGGCGAGGGGGUUGGCCGAUGUGGUGAACGUGAUGGAGCCCUAGGCUGAAAAAGCAGGAAAUUGGUGAAUAGGGUUAUGUGAUUACAAAAAUAAUGCAAAAAAUCAACUCUUACCGAGACAGUCGGAGAGGGUGGUGGAGAAGGAGAAGGGGUCCUCAAUCGUGCCUUGGCUCGUUCGCGCCGUUGCAAAGUUGUUUUCUUGGUUCUUGGCAAAGGGACCGAUUGAGUUCUCUCCUUCAACGCAGACGACACCGCAGCCUAAAAAGGAUAUGAAGUUAAAGUGUGACAGUACAAGGAGAUUAUGUAAACACAAAGAAGAAAUUAUAUUGACCUUGCGAACUGCGUGUCUGGUCCUUUUUGGUUGCGGGGCAUCAUCUUGGUCAUCGGCCGGUGGGAUCUCCGCAGCUUCGGCCGAUGGCUCCUGGGUGGUUUCACCCGACGGGUUUUCUUCUUCGUGUGCAUCGGCCGCUGCUGCAUCGAUUUCCUCCUCCAUCACUUGUUCUUCGAGGAAUUCUUCCAAGGAGGGGUCUAGCUCUUCGGCAUCGGCCUGGUCAUCGGUUUUAGCCUUCUUGCUGGCUUUCUGCGAUUUGCCUUUGGCCGGCGCUUUCCUCUUGGGGUUUUCUUUAGGCAUCGGACCUUGGAGAAGCGUCGCUACUUUUGGGGCAGUGAGGCCGAUGAUGGAUUCCAGGAUGGUUGACCCCGAUGGAGCUAUGGCUUGAGCGUAGAAGAUCUUCCGUCCACUGUUGCUCACAGAGGGAAUCGGCUCGUCUGGGACUUGAGGGCUGAUGCCUUGGAUAAGUUCUGUCACAUAGAACCUGGCCGAUCGAUGAAAGAUGUGAGCGGCCCACUCUUGCCACCAAGUUUGGAAGUUAAUGUGCACGAAGGCAUUCAGAUGCAGCCGAUCGCAGUCACCAAGAUUUGGGAGCUCGAUUUCCAUUGCUUUGUUCAUAACCAGGGCCGAUGGGACUGUGCCUCUGCUCUCUAGGAGCUUAUGAAGAUGCAAGCUAAUGGGAAGUUGUCCGAGCCCGCAUUGUCUAGCAGCUGUCAUUGGGGUGUAAAACUCAUAGGACAAGCUGGUGCUCCUUCCCUGAAAGAUGCCUACUGGGAGCAGGCAUGGAGUGAGGCCGAUCAUGAAUAAUUCCCUUGAUUCCAUGUCAUCAUUUAUUAAGCUCAGUUGCAGAUCAUCUGGAAGCUCAAAGUCUCGGUCCGAUGUAUAGACAAACAUAUCCAUCUUGGCUGAUGGAGGGCCGGUGAAGAAAUGGAUGAACCAUGUAGCCAUGUCAUCGGCCGAUUGAUCUGCGCCGGGGUAGACGGAGGCUGCUUCCCCGUAGGAUAUGCAUCUUCUGUUCCUGGGAUCUUCGUGAUCGGCAUAUUUUGAUGGGAAGCGAGAAUCUGAUAGAGGCGGCCGAUCAGCCAUGGUGUUGGUGUAUAUGGUUAGCCAGAGUUGAAUGAACCACCAUGGUCCUCCAUGUGCCACGGUUUGUUUCAACAUUAAGUCUUGAGUGGCAAUAUGGAGUAGCCGAUAUACAGCUCCCAAGAGGUAUCGGCUGAGAGGGAUUUGCUUCUUGCUGACCAAAGCCUGAGCCAGGUGUUGACAAUUUGUAGUAGGACCACAGGUCGAUCCACAGAAGACGAAUCUUUCCAACCAUAAUGUCAGGAACGCUACAUGUUCUCGCUCUGAGACCGAUCCUUGUUCCAUGUGCUCAGAGAUAUACCCAGACCAGCCUCCAAUUUUCUUGGUUUUCAGUUUGUGGCUGCUGUUUAUCAGGAGGCUGAAAGGAUUAAUCUCAGAGUCGAUGUCUAGUCCUGUCAGUACCUUGAUAUCUAUGAGGGUUGGGGUCAUCGGACCUUGCUUGAACAUAAAGGCGUUCAAGGUACUUGACCAGAAGUAGCUGGCAGCUGACAUUAGUGGCUCAUUCUUUUUGGUAUCGGCCAGGGACAGAGUUAUGCAUUGGCCGAUUCCAAUAUCGUCCCAGUGGACUUGUUUGACGGCAGCAAUCCUUUUGUGCCAGGUCCUGUAUCCGUUUAGUUUUGAUGGCCAUGACCUGAAGGUGUGCUUCCACGCCGAGACAGUGGGCUUGGCUUGCCUGAAAGGAAUUCUGUCUGUUUCGGCGUUGAUUAGCCAGGUUGGGUCGCAGUCGCCCAUGGGGCCCAGGAGAAAGCGAUGGGAUUUAUCGUCGGUGGGAAUCAAGAUUUGGUUUUUGAAGACCUAAAUCGUGAGAACAACGAUGAAAAUAUAAGGCUUGAGGGGGACAGAGAGUAAAACCCUAACUUGGAGAAAUCGACGGGGAAAGCGAUAAUGCAGGAUUGAACAAGUCGACUUACCGCGGGGAUCUCAGAGGUGUAGAAUGGGGCGGAAGCCAUUGUUGUUGAAGAAGGGAUCGUUGCGGAAGGGGUCGAUGUCGAUGGAGUAUCGAGCGGUCGCCGGAGUUGAAGAACACGAGGAGUUUGUUGAAUCGGCGGCGAAAGGGUUCGAAUCUGGAUCUGUGCGGUUUUCAGGUUAGACCUAGCAAAAAGUCGAUGAGUUCCCUGGAGCUAAUUCCGCCACAUUAUAUAAUGAAGCGGAAUUGGGGGGCAUGUGUUAACGACGGAUUUUGGUAAUCGACUUGGAAAGGAAAGAGGAAACCGAAGCAGACAGGAAGGAUUGAGUUGGAGUCGGACCAGGCUUUGUAUCGGACCCGGUAACCGUAUCGGACUGGGGAGGUGUUGCUAUAAAGAGCGUAUCGGCCGAUACGGAUUUGGUUUGGUUGUGGGCCGAUGCGGGUUGUGAGUUGACAGUGUCAACGUGGGCUUGGUCUGGGCUCGAAGUAAGCUUCAAGGAAGUUGCCAAAUAGAGAUAAAGCUCGGUUUUAGGCAAUUGUAUCUUGUAAAUUAAGUAGUGUAGAUCUAAUCUGUGGCUUAAGUCUGCCGCAAGGACUUGUUUGUUAGUUGUAGAUAAGAUCGUGCCCUACAAGGGUUCUGUUGUAACCUCGGGUAUAAAUAUCCCGAUAGUUUGUACAUGUAAGGUCUCUCAAUCAAUCACACAAUCAAAUCAAUCUACUUCCGGCGCAUCGCCAACCCUCGCAAGAGGUCUUCUUCGACGAGUUCUUGCUUCCUCGGAGCAGAGGUAAGAACUCGUCCCCGAUGAUCUGCAUCGUCGGGGCUAACGUGUCGCUUUAGACACGUUAAGCCUCGAUGAUGUGAUCGUCGAUUAUAAUGUCUUGAAUAGUUUUGACAGGUAUCUUAAUUAAGCCUUGCCAGCGGUUUACUCGCUUUAGGGUUUAUUGCCGACGAUGGUUUAAUUCUUAUGCUUGGCUAGAUUGUUCAAUGCAGCUGCCAUCCCCAAAAGCAAUCGACGACUUGAUUUUCUUUGUGUUAAGUCUCAAUUCACACUUUGAGUUGCCAUCGACCUUAGUCCUGUUUUGAGAUCUAACACAAAGCCUGUUUUCGGUUGUAAUUAAGGAUAGUACCGGGGUUUUAGCCGGUCUUAUCUAACAUAUGUGAUUGCUUUAUGUUUCUUGCAUAUGUUUGCCACUUAUAUGUGCAGAUCGAUAAGUAUAGAUAUGUCGAUCAUGAGGUAAUCUCAAGAUUUCUUUAUGGUUGACGUGUUUAUACUGGUCGAUUGGCUCGUAUAAGGUUGCACUAGAGUACUAGCUGGUGUAGUUACCUUUGUCAUCUUUAUCGGCCGGUAUUAUUAGUUGAGGUCUACAUAUCAAUGAAGGCCGAUAAGAUUAGAUUCAUGUCUUACUUAUUUUCUAAGUGAGCCGAUAUAGCUUUGCCCUACCGGCUGGGCUAUGACAAUGUGUCAUCGGUCUGCUGACCGAUCGGCCAUUGUUCUCUGACUUGGUUCACUUGUUUCUUGUUGAUUGCAGAUCAAAUCAACUGGCACGCUCUACUUACGACUAGGCAAGCCAUUUGGACCUGCACUGGAGUUAAGCAGAUCUCCCAGGCCGCCGUGGUAACGCGGAACCCGUUUGGUUGCUGGACGGGUCGAAAUUCUGCGCCAACACACACGACAAGACUCAACCGAAGAGCAACUUUCGCAAAUAGAGUUUUUAGUAAAUUAGUUUUCCCGCUAACGCCGCGACAAAACGGGCGUUACAACGAGCUUGCCUUAACUUACUGUGAUGGUCAUGGAUGUGGCUGUGCUGGCGUCUAGUUUAUUUGAUUAGACUACAGCAGCUAUGCAUUUUUUUUAGUACAAUGACAGCAGUAGCUAGAUACCAAAGACCAGUACAACAAUAGUUGAACCAAACUGCGAUUAUUAUAUCCGAUUAAACCUGUGUUUAAUAAAAUGCAUUGAAAAACUGAAGAUUUAUGUUGAUUCAUCACAUGUCAAUUGAGUGAUUAUGUCCUACAAUGACUUAAGUGAAAUGUAUAGCUUGAAAGCUUGUGCUAGGAUUUUGUUCCUUGAAAUCCAUUGUCACUUGUGAGUGUAGUUCAUGCUUAAAUUAAUAUUAUAAUAUUCUGUGAUUUCUGUGUUUCAGGAAAUAUUAUACGUGAUCUUGAAAUUAUUUUUUUUUGUGUUUCAGGACUAUAGGUGCCGGUUCUUGUAAAGAACCAGCACCUAUGAGGCAUCAAAGGUGCCAGGUCCUAUCCAUUAUAGGUGCCGGUUAUUUAUAGGAGCCGGCACCUAUAAUACCAUAUAGGUGCCGGUUCGACAUUUACAACUGACACCUAUAGUGUUAUAGAUGCCGGUUGAGGAACCGAUACCAAUAGCUUUGAGCAUUGGUGCCGACCAAUUGGUGCUGGCUUCGAAACCGGUACCUAUGAGGCCUUUGGAACCGGCACCAAUGAGUAUUUGUGUAGUAGUGAUUUUAUUUGUUUCUCUUGUCGAUUGCAUAUCAAAUCAACUGACACGCCCUAAAACACUUAAGCAAGCCAUUGGACCUGCACUGGAGCUAUGCAAAUCUCCUAGGCCGCCGUGCAGCCUAUGAAACCUGUCUUGGGCAUGAGGACAAGAGGGAUUUUGCAGCUACACAAGGCACUGUGAAGUGCAGCGGCGGCCAGGGAAGGAAGCGACGGUUGAAGCCAAAAGAGAAGCUAGAUUUUUGUAUUUAAAUGGAAGUUUUAGAUUUUUUGAAUUGAAUUUUUUUUUGUAUUUUGAUCUGAAAGUUUUGGAUUUGAAUCGAAAGUUUUUUAUUUUGAGAUGAAAGUUUUAAAUCUUUCAACUGAAAGUUUUAGGCUUAUAUUGAAAUUUGUCAAUUUGAGUUGAAAGUGUUUUUGAUUUUGAGAUGAAAGAUUUGGAUUUGAAUCAAAAGUUUUGAAUCUCUCAACUGAAAGUUUUUGAUUUGAGAUGAAAAUUUUAGGUUUAUAUUGAAAGUUUUUUGCAUAAGUAAAGAGUUCUGAAGACCCGAAGCAAUUUCUAAAUUGGAGUCCGAUGACUCAGUGUGAGCGGGAAUGCUAGGAAUUGCGCGGCAUGAAGCCGACUCGCCAUGUGCCGAUGGGCAUGUGGUGUGCGCAACUUGAGCUUGUAGUGUGCGCGAGAUACGUUGUUAGUCCCAAAUAAGGCAGUAGAAAAAACUCCUCUUCCAUAUGUGUACCUCAAGUCCAUAUAGGUAAAGUCACAUGAUUGCAAAUUUCUGCAUUGCCAAGUUCAUGUAGUGAACAAACUUGAACCUUGCGCCAUGUCAGAGGGGACUAGCUAGCAGAGAAAGCCUCUAAGAUGGUUGCAGUGUGCAGGCGGUGUGGAGCAUUAAGUGUCGAUACACCACUCAGAGCGGAAUGAAACGUAACCAAGAGCCAACAUUGGCAAUGAGGCAUAGUGGACCAAGAUGAAGGUAAAGCAAUAGAACUAAUGAUCUUGAACGAUGAUGUUGGUAGGGGUGGCUAGACUGCUGGCCUAGAGCGAUGACAAUGGUAGCAAAAAAGACGUCAUGGUGGUGCUUGAAGUAGGUGACUAAGAAUCCUAGCGAAUGAUGAUGACUUGUGCAGACAAUGAGGGCAUCGAUGCGUAAACAGCGAUAAAGACAACAAUAGCGGCGACACUACAGCCUAACUACCUAAGCGUGGCACAGCUGCUACUCCAAAAUAUGACCAUGAGUAGCAACACCGUGGUUCGAGUGGACUGCACAGUGGCAACCCAAGCUAAAGGUGUAGUACACGUGCUCGAAGACAACCCGUUCCACAAGAGUGGGAUGCAGACAGGCACUCCAUCAGGUGAAUAGGCCGACCGCAAACAAUACAACACAAUGGUGAAUGAUGUUGCACAGACCAGAGUCGAGGACGAUGAUCACGGAUGAUGGGAGCAGUGUAAAGGACAACGAACGACAGUGGGUGAUGCAAACUUGAUCUCUGAUCAGGGUUCAAUAUUUUGAUUUCGGUAUUUGUAUCGGAGGGUGCUGAUAUGGCAAAAUUUCUGAAAUUUUGGUCCGAAAUUUUGAACAAAAUUUAGUCAAAUUUAAACAAAUAUUGCCAAAAUUGUCACACCCUGAAAAUUCAAAAUAUAUAAAUUGUUGUUUAAAUGGAAUUUCUAGAAUUUAUUUUAAAAAAGUCUUGAAGAGAAGAUCUAGUUUUAAUUAAUAAAUUCCAAUAUAAAAAGGGGCCAGAUAAAAUUUCAUUAAAUACUUUGCUUAAUUCUAUAAUUCCUAGAUUUUUCUGGGAUUUAUUUGAGCUAAGGAAGUAUUUUUAAUAAUGGAAUUGCAUUUAAGAAAUAAUUUAAAUUAAAAAGGUUUUAAAAGUCUCUUUUGGCUUUGGGCCGAAAGUCGGCCCAAAACCUCUCUUCUCUCUCCUCGGCCCAGCCGGCCCAGUCAGCCGCCGCGCGCGCGCCCUCGCUGCCGCUGACAGGUGGGGUCCACUUGUCAGGCCCGUCGUCUUCCUCGGGCCGAAACCCUAGCGCGCCGUCGCCGAGCCGCCGCCGCUGUUUCCUUCCGAUCCGGCCGUUCCUUUCCUUCUCCGGCCGAAUCAAUAGAGGGGAAAUGAUCUCCGGGAUCUCCUCUACCUUUUCUCCUUUGGAAUCUUUGGUUAAAUCGCUUUGGAAAGCGUCGGAGACGAGUUCGAUUCGGAUCGGUUUUCCCUCUCUCCAAGCCGAAGGUUUCCUUCGCCGUUGCCGUCGCCGUGGGCCUUCGCCGCCGCCUCCGAGCCCCUUUAAAAGGACCCCCGGUGUCUCCUCUACCCGUCGCAGCCCUCGCCUUCGCCUCUCGUCGCCGGAAGAGCCUUAGCGCCGUGUGCCCUAGCUUCGCCGUCGCCGCCGCCACUUCAGCCGUGCUCCGCCGUCGCUCCAGCUGUCGCCGCCGCUCGGGAAGACCGCCGUCGUCAUCGCCAAGUCGCCGCCGUCCUCGUCCGCCCCUUCGCAGCCGUCGGAACCCGCCGGAGCUUCAUCGCCGUCGACAACCCGGAGGUAGCCGCCGCUUCCUUCUCGUCGCCGUCGCCGUCCGUUGCUUCUCCGCCGUCGUUUUGGUCGUCGGUGUGUUCGCCGUGCCGUCUGCUUCCCGUUGGUGUCCUCCGUUCGUGCCGUAGCGCCGCCGUUCGCCGGUGAGCGUGCGCCGCCCGAGCCGUCCGCUCCGCCGAGCCGCCGCCGCCGUCGGUGACGUCAACGCUGGCGUCAUCAAGGCCGUCCGCCGUGAACCGCCGUGGACCCGAUCGAUCUCGGCCGUCCAUCUUGGAUCGGUUAGAUCUCGGCCGUCCGUUCGCGUGAACCGCCGCCCAUGCGCCGGUCCACCCAAACCCUAGCCCGCUGACGCAAUAAUCCUUCUUUUCCUUUUCAAAAAUAAUUCAUUAUUGCGUCAUAAUUCAAUUUAAACCGAUUUAAGUGUUUAAUCCGAUUUAAUCUUUAAAAAUUCAUAACUAAUUCAUCUUAGCUCCGAUUUAGUUGGUUCAAGUCUCUAAUUUUUUCUAAAAUUGAGAUCUACACAUUAAAAAUAUCCACAUGUACUGUUCAUGCUUGUUUAUGUGCUGUUUUGGUGAUUUUGCUCUUUUCUGCUUAGAUUCCGUCGUUUCCGGAGAGUCCGUUUUCGCAGAAGAAGAGUUUGAAGAGUUCCAAGGCCAGCAAGGCAAGUCACACAGAUCCCAAACAACCCUUUGAGCAUAUUGAUCCUAUUUAAAGCUAUUGUUUCUAUUCAACUAUUGCAUCUAUUUUCGAAUGUCAUUGGGUGGAAUUGACCUAUUCUUUGUUAUGGCCCUUUUGUACAUUGAUUACCUUAUUCCUUGAUACCUUGGGUUAUUACAAUUUGACUAGUUGAGCUUUAUUUAUAUUGGUUCAACUAGAUAUUAGAUAUAAUUGCUUAGCCCUGCUUAGAAACAUUAGUACACAUUCGGGAUAACUAAUGAUUCACUAUUAUUUCAUGAUGGCUUAUUGAUAGUUCACGAUGGUCAAUCGUGAUUAGUUAAUUAAUUAAUGUGCCAACUAAAACCUGGUAAUGGUGGGUUGUGAGCACAUGGUUUUGAUGGUCGUGCUCAUGACAAUUAAGGACCGGUUCACGAGUUUCGGUUGUGAAACAUUAACCGUGCCAACCACAAGCCAGCAUGGGCAACGGCUUUAUCUUUUGUAUAGCAUGGUUCAUUGCGGGGCACCAGACUGAGAAGUGGCGGAGAUAAGCCCACGGGGGUCGCUGGGGAGUCCAUGCCUUGUUUAUAAGGGGGUGAUUAUGAUCCAGGAAGGUGCGCUGCAAUGGAUUGUGUUAUGCGAGGGGUAUUGUCACAACUCCUUUCCGAGAUACCGUGGUGGUAUUGAGGCACAUGGUGACAUGAUGUGGGGUUGUGUCUUGUGGGUACAGUGGUACACCUCUGGCCAGAGUAAAACUAUUCGAAUAGCCGUGCCCGCGGUUAUGGGCGGGUCUAACAAUGUCUUUCGUGAUUAGUCUCACACCUCUCAUCAUUGUAAAAGAUGCUUAAACUGGUAAUAAUCUGAUUAGCUCCUGGUUUGGAAUGGUAUAUUCCUGGUUUGGAGAUAGAACUGUGCAGCCGGGGUGGUUGUUCAGAAUGGUUGGGCCUAUACAACAGGGUAUGUUGUAUAGCGUUGGAUUAAUAUUGUUUAAUUACUUAACUGUUUUAUCAAAUUCUCAAAUGUUUGCUAAAUGCUGCUUUUGCAAAUACAACCAUAUUAUGCCAUCCUUUGUUAUCCUGUGCACUUGCAUAUUUGCUGCGUGGCUUGCUGAGUAUGUCAUAUACUCACCUUGCAAUCAUUCAUCAGAGGAAGAGUUCUACAAUGAGGCUGAUGGUGUGGAGGAUUAGGUGUAGCCUUGGUCAAGCUGCCUGUGGAGUGGAGCCGUCUGCGCCGUUUAUUUAUUUUCCGCUGCUUAGAACUUUAUUGAUUGAGAGGAACUAUCUACCUCUGUAAUGACAUUCUAUUCGCUUAUUAAUUAGAGUAAUAUUUGUACUCUAUUAUCAAUUUGUUAUUGUGUGCCUCAGCUGAUUCCUGGACGAGGGUUCACACACAUGUAAGCGUUUGGAAUUUUGGAUAGAAAUUCCGGGCGUGACAAGUUGGUAUCAGAGCCUCUUUGACCCUAGGUUAUGCCAAAUGGUUACCCAUAGAAGCCCUCUAAAAAUAUUGGAAAAGUAGAACUGUUCUCCUCCCUUUCUCUUUUAAUUAACCAAACUAAUGGCACAUGCACUUCAUAAUUUUUUUUUUAAUGGUUCUCAUUAAAAAUUUAUUCCAGUGUUAUUAGUACUGUACAUCUAUUACUGUACUAAUGGCUCAUUUACCAGCAAAAGUUUUACAAUACUGUUUUAUUUAAUCUUGCUGCAAUAAAAUAAAUUUAGCAUGUUGAUUUUAUAAUUUUCUUUCAUUUCUUUUGAAACCAGUUAUUCAAAAUUACAAAAUUUGUGACCUCGUUUCCAACUGUUUUAACUUAUCUCGCAAAGCUUGGUUUACUUUAUUUACUUACCUUUUUACUCUGAUUUUCUAACUUUAUUCAAAUUAAUCCAAAAACUUGUGCUAUUAAUUGGAUAAAGGUCUUAACUCCCUCCUUUCACUUGUCUUUAGAUGCCGCGUUACAAGCCUGAGUACCUGUUUGGUGUUGAGGGUUUUGUCCAGGAGUUGCGCACGAUGUCCUUUGUCAUUGGAUUUGGGACUGCCCCUUUUUAUGCCCAGAUUCCUCAUGAUCGUCAUGAAGAGAAGUGCCGAGUCAAAGUCACCUUGAACAGCAAUAGUGAAGAGGUCCCCUCAGUGAUGUUUGAAGCUGGAGGAAGAAACUACAUCCAUGCAUGUCAGGAGGUGGCAAGGAUCGCCAUAGGAGAGCUCCGUGAUCGCUACAGUGAUCAAUUGGCCGACACUGAGUAUCGCUACCAUCCUCGCCAACCCCAGGGAAGUGACCGUGGCAGUUACCUUGAGACUGAAGGAAUUGAGAAUGAUGCUACCACGAAACAUUUGGUUGAGAUGUUGUGGGCUAUGGAUGAAAGUCGUGCGGAGACUGUGUUAGCAGCUCAAGAUCGUGAAGAUCGGAAUCGUGGUAAGAUUUGCAAGCUAGAAGACAAGGUGGAUCGUUUGGAGAAGGAAUUAGCCGCAUUGAAGGGAGAAGCACCGCCGCAGAAGGCCAGGAUUCGUCUUACCGCAAGGAAGAGAGCUCUAUUUGUCCCUCGCUAUCAACUGGCGCCAAAGGUUCGUGUGGUGGAGAAAGAAGUUGCCCCAGCUCAAGCGGAUCCUCCGGUCAUCAUCAUAAGUAGUGAUGAAGAAGAAGAAUCUAAGCGCAACAAUUCCAAGAUUGAGUGGGUAGCAACUCAAGAUGAUGAAGACGAGCCUUCAAUCGACCUCCGAUGCUUGGAAGAACUAGGGUGACUUGUUAAGUCGUUGUCUUAGAUCGUUGUGUUAGUUUGCUUGCUUAAAGUUUGCUUGUGUGUGGCUCGCAUGUGAUUUACAUCAGUGGUGGGAUGUAAGUGCAUGCGUUUGUUUGCUUUUGAGUGUUAGGAAGUUGGUGAGUUUAGUGGUGUGAGAGUCUUCAGUUUGUAAUAAUGAAACUCAGUUAAGAUCAAUAAAAAGUUAAAGUAAUUCUCUGUCCUAAGUAGUUUCCCCGGUUUCUCUUCUUGUGCCCUGUCCAUGCCAGAUGGUGAACACUCGCAGCAAUGGGAAUGGUCCCAACAACCCCAAUAACAAUAACAAUGGAGAGAAUCCCACUCUGGCCCAAGUUCUUGCUCAACAGACACAGCUUAUGAACAUGAUGAUGCAGCAAUUUCAGAAUCAGCAAAACCAAGGGAAUAAUCAUGCACCUCCACAGAACAAGUUAGCAGAAUUUCUUCGUGUGAGGCCGCUAGUUUUCUCUAGUACCACUAAUCCUGUUGAAGCUAGUGAUUGGCUGCAUGCCAUAGAGAAGAAGUUGGAUUUACUUCAGUGUAUUGAUCAGGAGAAGGUCUCAUUUGCAUCACAUCAGUUGCAUGGCCCUGCCUCUGAAUGGUGGGAUCACUUCCGCCUUAACAGGACUACUGCUGAACCUAUCACUUGGCUUGAAUUCACCGCUGCUUUCCGGAAGACGCAUAUACCAUCGGGAGUAGUGUCUCUCAAGAAGAAGGAGUUCAGGUCGCUUUCCCAGGGAUCUCGCUCUGUUACGGAGUAUCUGCACGAGUUCAAUCGUCUUGCUCGUUAUGCUCCGGAAGAUGUGCGCAAUGAUGAAGAGCGCCAGGAGAAGUUUUUGGGAGGACUUAAUGAUGAGCUUUCUUACCCACUCAUGGUUGGAGAUUAUCCUGAUUUCCAGAAAUUAGUGGAUAAGGCUAUUCGUCAGGAGGACAAGUACAAUCGCAUGGAGCAGAAGAAACGUCGGAUUGCUCAAUUCAAGACACAACAGGGAAAUAAUCAGAAGCCGCGUCUUACUUUAGGACCCCAGUCUAUGCCACAGGGAGGUUCUUCGUCUGUUGUUCGUCCGCAACGUCAGUUCUUCAACAACAAUGCUGGCAACAACAUCCGUAAUCAAGCUCCACGUCCUGUUGCAGCUCCAGCACAGCAACAACCUGCCAAGAGGGAGCAAGGCAACAAGCCCGUGGUGUGUUUCAACUGUGGAGAUCCAGGACAUUAUGCUGACAAGUGUCUGAAGCCCCGACGCGUGAAGGUUGUCCCUGCCCAGAAUAACUCUGCUGUACCAGCAUCCAAGGCUCGUGUAAAUCAUGUCGCUGCUGCAGAAGCUCAAGAUGCUCCAGAUGUGAUUUUGGGUACGUUCCUUGUUAACUCAGUUCCUGCAACAGUACUUUUCGAUUCUGGUGCUACACAUUCAUUCCUAUCUAUGAGUUUUGCGGGAAAUCAUGGGAUGGAAGUAGAAGAUCUUAGACGUCCUUUGAUGGUUAGUACCCCAAGCAAUCAAGCACUCUCUUUGCAACGUAGCCCCUCUGUCAAAAUAGAAAUUCAAGGAGUACCAUUUCUGGCCAAUCUUAUCUUGUUAGAAUCCAAAGACCUUGAUGUCAUCCUAGGGAUGGACUGGUUAGCCAGACAUAAAGGUGUGAUAGACUGUGCCAACAGAAAAGUAACUCUCAACAGCUAUGAUGGUCGAGUUGUAACUGUUCAUGCAUUGUCAUCUGAGUCUUUAAGGUCAAGACUGAACCAGAUAACUUUGGAAGAGAUUCCUAUAGUCCGGGAAUAUCCUGAUGUGUUCCCAGAUGAUUUACCUGGUAUGCCGCCUAAAAGGGAUAUAGAGUUCAGAAUAGAUUUGGUACCUGGAACAACUCCGAUCCAUAAGAGACCUUAUCGAAUGGCAGCCAAUGAGUUGGCAGAAGUUAAGAGGCAAGUAGAUGAUUUGCUACAGAAAGGAUACAUUAGACCGAGUUCAUCACCAUGGGGAGCUCCGGUUAUUUUUGUGGAAAAGAAAGACCAUACUCAGAGAAUGUGUGUGGACUAUCGUGCACUAAACGAUGUGACUAUCAAGAAUAAGUAUCCACUACCCAGGAUUGAUGAUUUGUUUGAUCAGCUUAAAGGUGCCACUGUUUUCUCCAAGAUAGAUCUUCGAUCAGGGUAUCAUCAGUUGAGAAUCAAAGAGGAAGAUAUACCUAAGACAGCUUUUACCACUAGGUAUGGGUUGUUCGAAUGUACUGUUAUGUCUUUUGGACUUACCAAUGCCCCUGCUUUCUUCAUGAAUUUGAUGAAUAAGGUGUUUAUGGAAUACCUAGACAAGUUCGUGGUGGUCUUUAUUGAUGAUAUUCUUAUCUACUCUCGAACCAAAGAAGAGCAUGAGGAACAUCUUCGCCUUGCAUUGGAGAAGCUACGAGAACAUCAACUGUAUGCUAAGUUUAGCAAGUGUGAAUUUUGGUUGUCUGAAGUGAAAUUCCUUGGUCACGUCAUCUCAGCCGGAGGAGUUGCCGUCGAUCCUAGUAACGUGGAAUCCGUAACCAAUUGGAAGCAACCAAAGACAGUUUCAGAGAUUCGCAGUUUCCUAGGCCUCGCAGGAUAUUAUCGGAGGUUUAUAGAGAAUUUUUCCAAGAUUGCUAAGCCCAUGACACGACUGCUUCAGAAAGAUGUGAAGUACAAGUGGUCGGAAGAAUGUGAACAGAGUUUUCAAGAAUUGAAAAGUCGCUUAAUAUCAGCUCCAAUUUUGAUUUUGCCUGAUCCAAAGAAGGGUUUUCAAGUGUAUUGUGAUGCAUCCAAACUUGGGUUAGGUUGUGUUCUGAUGCAAGAUGGGAAGGUGGUUGCCUAUGCCUCUCGUCAGUUACGUCCGCAUGAGAAGAACUACCCUACUCAUGAUAUUGAGUUAGCUGCAGUCGUUCAUGCAUUGAAGAUUUGGCGUCAUUAUCUUUUCAGUACUCGUACAGAAGUGUACACCGAUCACAAGAGUUUAAAGUAUAUCUUUACUCAGCCGGAUCUGAACAUGAGACAACGGAGAUGGUUGGAAUUAAUUAAGGAUUAUGACAUGGGAAUUCAUUAUCAUCCGGGAAAGGCUAAUGUUGUAGCAGACGCUCUUAGCAGGAAAGGCUAUUGCAAUGCUACGGAAGGACGACAGUUGCCAUUGGAAUUAUGCAAGGAAUUUGAAAGAUUAAAUUUGGGAAUUGUCGGUAGAGGUUUCGUUGCAGCCUUAGAAGCGAAGCCCACUCUAAUUGAUCAAGUUAGAGAAGCCCAAAUUAAUGAUCCUGAUAUUCAAGAGAUCAAGAAGAAUAUGAGAAGAGGAAAAGCUAUCGGUUUCUUGGAGGAUGAGCAUGGAACUGUAUGGUUGGGUGAGAGAAUCUGUGUCCCCGACAACAAAGAUCUAAAAGAUGCAAUUCUGAAAGAAGCUCAUGAUACUUUAUACUCCAUUCACCCUGGUAGUACUAAGAUGUACCAGGAUCUCAAGGAAAGAUUUUGGUGGGCAAGUAUGAAGCGUGAAAUCGCAGAAUACGUAGCAGUAUGUGAUGUUUGUCAGCGAGUCAAGGCAGAACAUCAGAAACCCGCCGGUUUGUUGCAACCUUUGAAGAUUCCUGAAUGGAAAUGGGAAGAAAUUGGUAUGGAUUUUAUUACUGGUUUACCCAGAACGUCAUCAGGCCAUGACUCUAUUUGGGUAAUAGUUGACAGACUUACCAAAGUGGCUCAUUUCAUUCCGGUAAAGACAACUUAUUCCGGAAGUCGCUUGGCAGAAUUGUAUAUGGCAAGGAUUGUGUGUUUGCAUGGUGUCCCUAAGAAAAUAGUGUCUGAUCGAGGCAGUCAAUUUACUUCAAAUUUUUGGAAGAAACUUCAGGAAGAGAUGGGUUCUAAGCUGAACUUUAGUACUGCUUAUCAUCCACAGACAGACGGACAAACCGAAAGGGUGAAUCAGAUUUUGGAAGACAUGUUGAGAGCUUGUGCUUUAGAUUUCGGUGGAAGUUGGGAUAAGAAUUUACCUUAUGCAGAAUUUUCAUACAACAACAGUUAUCAAGCUAGUCUACAGAUGGCUCCUUACGAAGCACUGUAUGGUCGGAAGUGCCGCACUCCGCUUUUGUGGGAUCAAACGGGAGAACGUCAGGUUUUCGGGACGGAUAUCCUAAGGGAAGCAGAAGAAAAGGUAAAGGUCAUUCAAGAAAGAUUGCGAGUGGCUCAGUCUCGACAUAAGAGUUAUGCCGACAAUCGCCGUAGAGAUUUGAGUUUUGAAGAAGGAGACUAUGUGUAUCUUCGUGUCACGCCUCUUUGAGGAGUUCAUCGUUUUCACACCAAGGGAAAAUUGGCACCGCGUUUUGUGGGACCUUAUAAGAUUGUCAGUAGAAGAGGAGAAGUUGCUUAUCAGUUGGAGUUACCUCAAUCUUUGGCAGGAGUCCAUAAUGUGUUCCAUGUGUCGCAAUUGAAGAAAUGUUUAAGGGUACCUACUGAAGAAGCUAAUCUUGAACAAAUAGAAGUCCAAGAGGAUCUGACUUAUGUGGAGAAACCAAUCCGUAUCCUGGAAACAAAUGAGAGAAGAACCCGGAAUCGAGUUAUUCGUUUCUGCAAAGUCCAGUGGAGUAAUCACUCGGAAGAAGAAUCAACUUGGGAACGAGAAGAUGAAUUGAAGUCAGCUCAUCCGCUUCUGUUCGCCAGUUCUUCCGAAUCUCGAGGACGAGAUUCUGUUUAAGGGGGUAGGUUUGUCACACCCUGAAAAUUCAAAAUAUAUAAAUUGUUGUUUAAAUGGAAUUUCUAGAAUUUAUUUUAAAAAAGUCUUGAAGAGAAGAUCUAGUUUUAAUUAAUAAAUUCCAAUAUAAAAAGGGGCCAGAUAAAAUUUCAUUAAAUACUUUGCUUAAUUCUAUAAUUCCUAGAUUUUUCUGGGAUUUAUUUGAGCUAAGGAAGUAUUUUUAAUAAUGGAAUUGCAUUUAAGAAAUAAUUUAAAUUAAAAAGGUUUUAAAAGUCUCUUUUGGCUUUGGGCCGAAAGUCGGCCCAAAACCUCUCUUCUCUCUCCUCGGCCCAGCCGGCCCAGUCAGCCGCCGCGCGCGCGCCCUCGCUGCCGCUGACAGGUGGGGUCCACUUGUCAGGCCCGUCGUCUUCCUCGGGCUGAAACCCUAGCGCGCCGUCGCCGAGCCGCCGCCGCUGUUUCCUUCCGAUCCGGCCGUUCCUUUCCUUCUCCGGCCGAAUCAAUAGAGGGGAAAUGAUCUCCGGGAUCUCCUCUACCUUUUCUCCUUUGGAAUCUUUGGUUAAAUCGCUUUGGAAAGCGUCGGAGACGAGUUCGAUUCGGAUCGGUUUUCCCUCUCUCCAAGCCAAAGGUUUCCUUCGCCGUUGCCGUCGCCGUGGGCCUUCGCCGCCGCCUCCGAGCCCCUUUAAAAGGACCCCCGGUGUCUCCUCUACCCGUCGCAGCCCUCGCCUUCGCCUCUCGUCGCCGGAAGAGCCUUAGCGCCGUGUGCCCUAGCUUCGCCGUCGCCGCCGCCGCUUCAGCCGUGCUCCGCCGUCGCUCCAGCUGUCGCCGCCGCUCGGGAAGACCGCCGUCGUCAUCGCCAAGUCGCCGCCGUCCUCGUCCGCCCCUUCGCAGCCGUCGGAACCCGCCGGAGCUUCAUCGCCGUCGACAACCCGGAGGUAGCCGCCGCUUCCUUCUCGUCGCCGUCGCCGUCCGUUGCUUCUCCGCCGUCGUUUUGGUCGUCGGUGUGUUCGCCGUGCCGUCCGCUUCCCGUUGGUGUCCUCCGUUCGUGCCGUAGCGCCGCCGUUCGCCGGUGAGCGUGCGCCGCCCGAGCCGUCCGCUCCGCCGAGCCGCCGCCGCCGUCGGUGACGUCAUCGCUGGCGUCAUCAAGGCCGUCCGCCGUGAACCGCCAUGGACCCGAUCGAUCUCGGCCGUCCAUCUUGGAUCGGUUAGAUCUCGGCCGUCCGUUCGCGUGAACCGCCGCCCAUGCGCCGGUCCACCCAAACCCUAGCCCGCUGACGCAAUAAUCCUUCUUUUCCUUUUCAAAAAUAAUUUAUUAUUGCGUCAUAAUUCAAUUUAAACCGAUUUAAGUGUUUAAUCCGAUUUAAUCUUUAAAAAUUCAUAACUAAUUCAUCUUAGCUCCGAUUUAGUUGGUUCAAGUCUCUAAUUUUUUCUAAAAUUGAGAUCUAUACAUUAAAAAUAUCCACAUGUACUGUUCAUGCUUGUUUAUGUGCUGUUUUGGUGAUUUUGCUCUUUUCUGCUUAGAUUCCGUCGUUUCCGGAGAGUCCGUUUUCGCAGAAGAAGAGUUUGAAGAGUUCCAAGGCCAGCAAGGCAAGUCACACAGAUCCCAAACAACCCUUUGAGCAUGUUGAUCCUAUUUAAAGCUAUUGUUUCUAUUCAACUAUUGCAUCUAUUUUCGAAUGUCAUUGGGUGGAAUUGACCUAUUCUUUGUUAUGGCCCUUUUGUACAUUGAUUACCUUAUUCCUUGAUACCUUGGGUUAUUACAAUUUGACUAGUUGAGCUUUAUUUAUAUUGGUUCAACUAGAUAUUAGAUAUAAUUGCUUAGCCCUGCUUAGAAACAUUAGUACACAUUCGGGAUAACUAAUGAUUCACUAUUAUUUCAUGAUGGCUUAUUGAUAGUUCACGAUGGUCAAUCGUGAUUAGUUAAUUAAUUAAUGUGCCAACUAAAACCUGGUAAUGGUGGGUUGUGAGCACAUGGUUUUGAUGGUCGUGCUCAUGACAAUUAAGGACCGGUUCACGAGUUUCGGUUGUGAAACAUUAACCGUGCCAACCACAAGCCAGCAUGGGCAACGGCUUUAUCUUUUGUAUAGCAUGGUUCAUUGCGGGGCACCAGACUGAGAAGUGGCGGAGAUAAGCCCACGGGGGUCGCUGGGGAGUCCAUGCCUUGUUUAUAAGGGGGUGAUUAUGAUCCAGGAAGGUGCGCUGCAAUGGAUUGUGUUAUGCGAGGGGUAUUGUCACAACUCCUUUCCGAGAUACCGUGGUGGUAUUGAGGCACAUGGUGACAUGAUGUGGGGUUGUGUCUUGUGGGUACAGUGGUACACCUCUGGCCAGAGUAAAACUAUUCGAAUAGCCGUGCCCGCGGUUAUGGGCGGGUCUAACAAUGUCUUUCGUGAUUAGUCUCACACCUCUCAUCAUUGUAAAAGAUGCUUAAACUGGUAAUAAUCUGAUUAGCUCCUGGUUUGGAAUGGUAUAUUCCUGGUUUGGAGAUAGAACUGUGCAGCCGGGGUGGUUGUUCAGAAUGGUUGGGCCUAUACAACAGGGUAUGUUGUAUAGCGUUGGAUUAAUAUUGUUUAAUUACUUAACUGUUUUAUCAAAUUCUCAAAUGUUUGCUAAAUGCUGCUUUUGCAAAUACAACCAUAUUAUGCCAUCCUUUGUUAUCCUGUGCACUUGCAUAUUUGCUGCGUGGCUUGCUGAGUAUGUCAUAUACUCACCUUGCAAUCAUUCAUCAGAGGAAGAGUUCUACAAUGAGGCUGAUGGUGUGGAGGAUUAGGUGUAGCCUUGGUCAAGCUGCCUGUGGAGUGGAGCCGUCUGCGCCGUUUAUUUAUUUUCCGCUGCUUAGAACUUUAUUGAUUGAGAGGAACUAUCUACCUCUGUAAUGACAUUCUAUUCGCUUAUUAAUUAGAGUAAUAUUUGUACUCUAUUAUCAAUUUGUUAUUGUGUGCCUCGGCUGAUUCCUGGACGAGGGUUCACACACAUGUAAGCGUUUGGAAUUUUGGAUAGAAAUUCCGGGCGUGACAAAAAUUCACAAAAAAUUUAAAAAAAAUAAAAAAUUUUGGCCGAAAUGAUAUCGUAUCGGAGGGGGGUCCGAAAUGACCGAAAUCGGAAAUUUCAGUCCAAAAUUUUGAACCCUGUUUCUGAUAAGGAGAAAAAAGGUUAUAUAUAGCGCCAUAGCAGUCUAGAAAGCCCAACAGCAAAAACAUGGGCCAAGAUGAACUGAUACACCGCACAGCCCAAGCAAACCACUGGACAGCCCAUAUAGUUCCUCCCCUCACGUGCCUGCCGAGAUAGAGGAGCGGAGGUGUCCACUGUCCAGUGGCGAGGAGGGGAACAGCCACACUGACUUAGGGUGUGUUCUUUUGUUGGUGUUGGGAAGAAAUUCUCUCCGCACGAAAAACGGAGCGACUCAUUAGUAUAUAAUUAAUUAAGUAUUUACUAAUUUUUUUUAAAAAAAAUAGAUUAAUAUGAUUUUUCAAAGUAACUUUCGUAUAGAAACUUUUUAAAAAAACAUACUGUUUAGCAGUUUGAAAAACGUGCGCACGAAAAAAGAGAGAUGUAAGUUGGGAAAGUAGAAUGAAGAACUCACCCUUUAAUGGUGGAGAAGGUGACGAUGACACGAGGUGAUCUGGAUCAAGCUAUGGUAGCAAUGAAUCGAUGGAGAGAGCCCGUCUACGACAGCCAGGCGGCUCGACCCGGUAGUAAAUGAAGUUUGGGGUCUCAGGGGCAGUGGCACCAGAACAACCACAGCUAGAGUCGUAGAUUGACGGGAAGAGGAACCGGUGGUUGUGAUGCAAAAACAGUUGGAGGCAAAAUCACAUGAAUUUCUUACUGACCUGUUUCAUGAUCAUGCUCCAUAACCUGGGCAAACGCUUUGCAUGAACGGGCCACCUAAUGCCCACUUCUAUACAUAUUAUGUCCUUUUUUUCACAUGUCAAAUUAGGUAUUCACAAAUUUUUAAUUAUGUUAAUUUGGCAUAACAGUGAGUAUUUUACUAGCUGAUAUAUAUUCCAAAUAUGCACCGCUAGCUUUAUUAUACAAGCUUAUUAUUUGUCUCCAGGCUUUAACAAAUCCGCUUAUUUUCUGAUAUCAUUACUUAUUUGAUAUCUCAAAACAGGCAUGGCCUACCACAUCUUUGAAAAACUUGGCAGUGUUAAAGUUAGCCAACACCUAGAAAGACCAAAGCUAAGGACUGGCAGUACACGAGGCGUUUGCAUGCGAUUCGAUAUGAUCUGUACCGAACACUGUAGCAAGCCAAGUAUAUAUAAUACUUUGAACUCGAUUCCCAUGGCGUUGCGUGGUGUUUUGCGUCAAUUAAAGAAUAAUUGAUGUUGCUUCUUCCAUGAAUAUAUCACCGAUCCCGAUCCAUGCAUGUGUAUAAAUAUGGCCUGUUGGCUCUAGCUAGCUACUCCAUCCACCAAUAAUUAAGCUGAGCGCAAGUCUCUCGCUUACUAGCUAUUUCCAAAGAAGAAGAGCUAAUUGAGCUCUAGAGAUGGACCAGAGCGCGGUGAGCUCGCUGCUGGGGCAGCUUACCGGCCUCCUCGUUGACGAGGCGAAGCUACUCGGCGGCGUCCGGGGCGACGUGCAAUUCAUCAAGGACGAGAUGGAGAGCAUGCAAGGCUUCCUCCUGGAUGCCGCCGAUGCCGCCAACAACAACAGCAGCAGCCAGCAGGUCCUGGCAUGGCAGCGGCAGGUCCGGGAGGUCGCCUACGACUCCCAGAAAUGCAUCGACCACUACGUGCAGACGGUGGGCGCCAGCCGCCCGUCGGCCGGCCUCCUCGGCUCCGUCCAGUGGCUGCCGCAGCUGGUGAUGACGUUGCCAAGCCGCCAGCGCACCGCCAACAAGAUCAAGAAGCUCAAGGCCCGCGCGCGCGAGGUGGGGGAGCGGCGGCAGAGGUACGGCGUCAAAGCUCCGACUCGGAGCGGCGGCGUCAAGGUCAUCACCGCGCCGAUGCUCUCGCCGCAGCAGGAGGCGGCGGAGCACGCGCGGAGGCGCCGUGCCAUAGCUGACGCCACCGACUGGGUGAACACCGACGCGCAGCACGUGAUGGACUGGAUAGCGGCCGGCGGCAAAGGACACAACGACGAUGAUGGUGGCCGGGAGGAGUACAUACAUUGGAUCAAAGGCUUCCUGCACAUGCCCCACUUCACCACCGAGAGCUUCUUGACGGAGCUCAUGAGCAACAAGGCCGAUGCUACCGCCUUCUUGCUGGAGUACACCAAAGAGUUGUUCGGAGGGCCGCUCCACUAUUUGGAAGGGCAUUUGUUGUGGCCACAUAAAGAUGAUGGGCAUGAUAAGAAGGCCACGACGGCAGCGGCAUCAUCCCCUUCUCAAGACCACCACGAUGCUGACAAAAAGAAGCCAGUAGCAGCUGCUGAUCCGUCAGAGAGGGCCAAAGAAGCAGCUGUUGAUCCGUCUGGGAAGGCGAAGGAGCACAAGCGUUGGAUCACCCAAGGGGAGAAGAAAGCGGCGGACACGUCAACCUCUUCAGAAGUCCAUGAUUCUGCUGAGAAGAGGAUGCCUUUAGCAGAUGUUAAUCCGUCGGAGAUGGCGGAAGCAUCAUCAGCUGAUGAUGGACAUAACAAGGCAACGGAAGGCCAUACCAAAGAGUUGUUCGGAGGGCCGCUCCACUAUUUGAAAGGGCAUUUGUUGUGGCCACAUAAAGAUGAUGGGCAUGAUAAGAAGGCCACGACGGCAGCGGCAUCAUCCCCUUCUCAAGACCACCACGAUGCUGACAAAAAGAAGCCAGUAGCAGCUGCUGAUCCGUCAGAGAGGGCCAAAGAGGAGAAGAAGCACCAGAUCAUCAGUUGGGUACAUGGAGCACUUACGAGCGACGGCAUCAACAUAUUUCACACGAAAGAUACCCACGGCCCAAGGCUCCUCGCCAUUGUUACAUCACCGGUUCGUCGCGAGGCCCACGACCUCGAAGACGAAGAACCACAUGGGCUCAGGCCUGCAACAGAGAUCGCACGUAGGGUGUUCAAUAAUUAUUAUUCCCGCCAAGGCGGCCGCUUCGACUUUGCCGUGUGGGUCAACGCCGAGGAACACUCACAUAGCACCGCCAGGCUUCGGAGCAUACUCCAGCAGGUGGAGAAGCAGGCGCAGGUGCAGCCUCAGGAGCAGCGGCAGCAUCCAUCAUCUUCUUCUCGCGAUAAAAAAGACGGUGGUGACGAGACGACAAGAUUGCAACAGGAGAUCCUAAAGCACCUGACAGGGAAGAAGUUCUUGAUUUUUCUUGCUGACCACCAGGACGAAACACCAUGGACACAGAUACUACCUGCUCUGCCGACUGAUAGCACCAAUGAAAGUGCAGUCAUAUUGAGUCCUCUGGUGCAGCAAGCAUACCAGUACGUUGGGUGGUACGUGCUCAGCCUUUUCUUCUUGCUAAAGCACUCCCGCUAUAGAGUCUACUUCUACUCUCAUCUUGUUGCAACACGGAACAAGGCCAAAGAGUUGCUGCGGGUUGGCGCCGAUCAACACAAAGGAGAAGAUUUGCAUGACCUCGUCAAUCAUAUAUUGGAACGUUGUCGCUGGGAUUCAUUUUCCAGCAAGAUGUUUCUUCAUGCUCUUUAUGCUAAUCAUCAAAGGAGCAAGCCAGAGCUGGAGAACUUGUUGCUUUCUCUGAAUGAAUUCAGCACGGUGAGCAAUGCCAGAAACAUGAUCAAAUUUUGCUACGAUGACCUGCACAGUUACAAGGUUUGCUUCCAGUACCUGUCCAUUUUCCCCUUGGGAUUCAAGAUCAGGAGGACAAGCUUGGUCAGGCGAUGGGCUGCAGAAGGCCUUAUCGUGGGAAGAGACGGGCUAGCUGCAACGGAUGAAGCUGAGCGCUGCUUCGAUGCCAUGAUUGAUCGAGGCCUUCUCCUUCCUGCCGACAACACCGACAACCCUUCAGGCAAAGUGAAGAUGUGCACGGUCGAUCCACAUGUUUUCUCCUUCAUUGCCAGGUUGCACAAAGACGAUGGCCGUGCUCCAGCUGCUGAUAGCAUCGACCUGCCGCCCGCCCUGGCUCAUCGCAUCUCCAUUGCCAGAAGAAUUCAACUCUCCAACAAGACACGACAACGAGUCAGCGAGGGUUUGAAGAAGCAGAUGGACGGCGGUGGCGAGCCACAAGACUCUGUCGCACAAGGCAUGGUCUGUGGAAUUCAACUUUCCAACAAGACACGACGACGACAAGCCAGUGAGGGGUUGAAGAAGAAGAUGGACAGCAAUGGGGAGCCACUAGUCCCAGAGCCAAGAUCGCAAGACUCUGCAGUGGAAGACGUGGUAAAGCUUCUUGACUUGUUUCCUACAACUGAAUCAGGAUGGAUCAAAGUGCUAGACCUUGAAGGCUGCCGUGGACUGAAGAAGAAGCACCUCAAGAACAUCUGCAACAGGGUAUUCCAGCUCAAGUAUCUGAGCUUAAGGAACACAGACAUUGCUGAGCUGCCCAAGGAAAUUAACAAGCUCCAAGACCUGGAGACAUUUGACAUGAGGGGAACCAACAUAGAAUCCUUCCCUGCAAAAUCCAUUGUUCUCCCAAAGCUGGCGCGACUGCUUUCUGGUGUUGCUCACACCGACGCUCCAACUCCAAGUAAGGAUGAUAAUCUUACAAGUAGAGGAUCUUCUCAUGAAUCAUUUACUGCAAUCCAUAUUCCCCGUGGAAUCAAGAACAUGACAAGCAUGCAGAUACUAUCCCAUGUCCAAGUUUCUGACCAUCACGACGAGGCUGCAGCACUGGAAGAUUUAGCCCGGCUGCAGCUGCUAUGGAAGCUUGGUGUUGUUAUCCAUGCCAAGCAAGCUUACCUUGUGCUCAAAGUGGUUGGGAUGCUAAAUGAAUGCCUGAGGUCUUUGUCAAUCCGUCUCCAAGAUGGUGGAGAGGAUCCUGAUCUGAACAACACACCACCAAUAUUCUCACCUCCAAGAUCUCUUGCAAGCCUUAGCAUCAGUGGCAGGAUAGGUGGCCUGCCUACUUGGAUCCAAAAUCUGGAACAACUCUCUGACAUAACUCUGUGCGACACCUCCUUGAAAGACUCUGAUAUAAAGAUCUUGUGUGCUAGUAUCAACCUGCGCUUCAUCAGGCUCUUGCGUGAGUCGUACAACCAGAACAAGCUCAGUUUUGAAAAGGGAUUCAGAAACCUUGAGAUUCUCAUCAUUGAGGGAUCAGGCACCAUCUCUGAUGUCCAUUUUGAUCCGAGAGUGGCACCUAAGCUUGAGAAGAUUGUCUGGAGCUCCACCUGCAAGAUGGAAAAUCUUGGGAUCGACAACCUUCAAGGACUGAAAGAGAUUGUGCUCAAAGGCGACUGUGACCUGAAUCGCAUCAGGCUAUCCGUCAAAGCGAAUCCAUGCCAUCCUAACCUUACACACACUCCAACUCUCAACUCUCCAACAAUCCAACCCGGUGAGGACACUGCAGCUGCAACCAGCACUUCGGCAACAAACAAGUAGAUGUUUUUGCGUGCGCUUCUCUUAAUUCCUGGCUUUCGCAUUUGUGUGGUUAUUUGUUCUUUGUUCAGAGUGUGAUUACUUGGUGUUUUUUUGUUAUUCUGCUGUGUGUGAUAUGAUUUGAUUGGCUACUGCAAAUGUAAUUCAGGUGAUGUGAUUAAUGAUACCUGUUAAAUAAGUUGUGUGAUACUAGGCUGAGUAUACAUGUUCUAUGGUUUUAUAGGUAGCUAAUCUUUAAAACAUUUUUUUCUUCAGACUAAAGAUGAGGUGUUACAGCCUGAACCUACUUUGUUUCAUAUAUAUAUACUGUUAGAGUACAGGAUAGUUAGAGUCCCAAGCUUCUUGAGAGCCUAAGUAUCCAUGGUUACACACAUAAGGGUCAGCUUCUUGCAUUGUUGGCCGAAGGUCUUAAUAAACUUGCCAAGGUUACUUUGAGUAGCACCUCAUUGAACCAAGACAAUUUGAAGGUUCUCGGUGAGUUGUCUAGCUUAUGCUAUUUCAGGCUCAGACACAAUGGAUACACAGGUGAAAAACUCACCUUCAAGAAGGAUGAAUUCAAAAAUCUCAAGUCUUUUCUUGUUGAGGACCCCAGCAUGAUCAGCAUCGAAUUUCAGAAGGGAGCAGCUGCAGAGCUCGAGAAGAUUGUAUUCUCCUCCACCAACAUAAAGUCUCUUCAUAGGCUUGGAGGCCUUCCAAAAUUGAAAGAGCCUGAGUUGAAGAGCAACAGGUUCCUUGUUUCAUUCUCUGAAGAGGGAGAAACUCAUAAGAAAUGUUCUCUAGCAAGCUCACCUUCAAGAAGAAUGAAUUCCAACAGCUCAAGUACCUCCUUGUUGAGGGACUGUUGACACCAGAUUUUGGUAAUCUACUUGGAGAAGAAGGAGAAAACCGAUGCGGAGUUGAUGACAAAAUUCGAGUCGGAUUGAUGCUGUUGACUGCGUAUCGGCUGGCGUCGUAUCAGCCAGGCUGCGUAUCGGCUAGAGACGGUAUCGACCGAUAUGGUUUUGAUAGCGAUCGGCCGAUACAGGCAGAGGGCCGAUGAAGGUAAAGUUGGGCUUGAUUUGGGCCUAGAUCAGGAUUCAUUGGAGAUUGCCGAUGAGUUCUCGGAGCUAAUUCCGCCACAUUAUAUAAUGCAGUAGAAUUGGGGGCAUGUGUUGACACCAGAUUUUGGUAAUCUACUCGAAGAAGAAGAAGAAACUGACGCGGAGUUGAUGACAAGAUUUGAGUCGGAUUGAUGCUGUUGACUGUGUAUCGGCUGGCGUCGUGUCGGCCAGGCUGCGUGUAACACCCCAGCCCAAGGCAUAAUAGGAUUGAUAGGAUACUCAUGCUAACAAGUUGCAACUUCUUUUUCGGAAGCUCAUCUCCAAAGAACACUAAAGUUAAGCGUGCUUGACCUAGAGAAAUCUAGGGAUGGGUGACCGACUGGGAAGUCUUUCCCGGGUGCGCACGAGUGAGGACAAAGUGCGCAGAAAAGACUGGUGUUGGUUUGUGAGGGCAGUCUAUGUCCUAUUUAAGCCGCUAGAUGUAAGCGGGCCCGGCCUCGUGGAGGCGGGACGUUACACUGCGUAUCGGUUGGAGACUGUAUCGGCCGAUACGGGCAAAGGGCUGAUAAAGGUAAAGUUGGGCUCGGUUUGGGCCUAGAUCAGGAUUCAUUAGAGAUUGCCGUAUAGGGAUUGUAACGCCCGUUUUGUCGUGGCGUUAACGGGAAAACCUAUUUCUUAAAAACUCUACUUGUAAAAGUUUUGCUCUUCAGUCGUGUCUUGUCGUGUGCCUUGGUCUCGUAUUUCCCUUCCCGUCUCAAUCCCGGAGAAAACCGCGAAAUCGGAAUUCAAAUCCGAACACUAAUCCUUCCAAUCCAAUUCUCAGAGGAAGUCUGCUUUACCUCCUUCCUUCUCGGGCCGUUUCCCUCUCGGCCAGCUUUCCUUCCCCUUUUUUUUAUCCCGGGCCGCUCCCGGCCCAGUCCCCUCUCCCCUCUCCUUCGGCCUGCUCUCCCUUCUUCUCCUCCCUCUCGGGCCGCCGCACGGCCCAGCCGCUCGUGCGGCCUCCUUCCUCCCGCUAGGCCGCGCCGCUCGGCCCGGUCCGCGUGGCCCGAGCGUGAGGCGCGUCGCGCACGUGCGCCGCACGCCCGCGCGAGAGAGCGGACGCUCUCUCUCUCCUCCCCGCGCCGUUUCUCCCUCUUUCUCUCUCCCUCUCCGUUUCGUCGCCGGCGACCGCCUCCACCCGGCCCCGCCGUCCUGCGCGCGUGCCGCCAAGGGAGCACGUGCCCUCUCUUUUCUCCCCCGCGCGCCCCUGCCCGAAGCGGCAAGGAGGCCACCCUCCUUUCCUCCCCCUUUUUCGCCCCUUUCCCCGACCGGCCGACGUCACCGUGCUGCCGCCGUCUUGGCCGCUAGCGCGCCGGUCCCCUCUCCGCACGAACCGCCUCUUGGCCGCACCGACCUCCGCCCCCAAACCGACUUGCUCUCGCCGUCCCCUUUAAAUCCCUCCGCCCGGCUGCCAUUGCCGCCUUCCCCACCGAGCUCCUCUCCCCUCCAACCCGCCGCGCCGCGCCGCCCUUGCUGUCCGCCGCUGCAGCCAAGGAUGCGGGAAGAGGUGUUGAUGCAAGAAACACACACUGGCCUGGGAGAUCUGCUUAGCUCCAGUGCAGGUCCAAAUCUUGGUGAGAUGCGGGUGUGCCAGUCAGUUUGGUCCUGCAACUGACAAGAUAUACAAACGACAGAUCAAAGAACCGAUCGGCCAACAUAGCCGAUGUAGUAAUUCCAGCCGAUCCUGAUAACAGCCGAUAGCGAUAGGGUUUUGAGCCAUCGGCUAUGUGUUCAAUGUAGAUUCUGACACUUGACAAAGAGACAAUCGGCUGAUGAUAAUAUGCAUUAGAUCGGCAAUGACUUGAUAAAGUGAAACGAAAGUUAGACAUACUUGAUCGGCUGUAGAUAUCAAUGAUACAUAAUCUAAAUCUCAAAAUAUAUUUAAACCAAGUGAUUGGGAUAGAUCGAACAGGGCACCGAGACAGUAUAAAUCACUUAUGUCUAAAAACAUCUCAAGAGAGAGAUUAUAUAUAUUCAUAGCAUAGCCGAUGAAGUGAAUCUAACAUAGAUCCAAUGCCAUAAAAUCCACAAGAUUAGAUUAAACAGUGAAACCUUUAUUGUCAUCGGCUAAAUUCAACUUAUAUGCAAUCCUUAUAAGCCGAUGCAACGUCCAGAUAACUCAUCGGCUGAAACCCCGAUGAAACCCUUAUCGGCAAUCAAAAAGCAGGCUAGAGAUUCAUGAUUCUAAGCACGACUUAGUAGGUCAAACUCAACUGAUGCAGCACUAAGUAUGUAAAGAAACACGGUAUCUAGAUGAUCAAGCCCUUGACUGAUUUUCAGGGUGGUAGAUGCCUAAGCUAAUCUAAUCUAGCAAGACGAUUUAGUCGAUACCGGCAGAAACCCUAAAACGAGAAGCAGCCGACAAAGCUAAAUCGAGAUGCUAAAACUAGAUUAACAGAAGACAUAUGAUAAAUAGCCAGGCAAAUAUAUUAUCCAAACCAGAGCAAUCCAAGAGGUCGAAUGUACUGAUGCAGCCUUGAACGACGCCGAUGUAGAUGAUACGAUUGCCUGAACCGACGGAACAUUGGACUUACCCCUUCGCCGGAGAUCGACAGCCGAUGCAGCCCCGCGUCAGGUGCCAAAUUCCACCGGUUGAUAAAUAAACCGUAACAGAGUAAAAGGUGGCGAUGCGCCGAAUUGUAUUGAUCGAGAGUUGAUCGAUUACAAUAACCCCGGGUGUACAUAUUUAUACCCAUGGGGAGAUACUAGUCCUUGUAGGACAAGAAAGAAACUUUCCUAAAGAUAAAAGAAAAAACAUAAAGUCCUUAAGGGACACUAAACAUACUCUCCUAAAGAUAAAAGGAAACUAACAAAUAUUCUAAUUAAUAGAUACAAUUGCCUUCUUCGGACUCAAUCCGCACGUGGCAAUCCUCAUGAAGCACACCAACCGAACCCGACAAUGAUCCUGCCAUCCCCUUAUCGGAAUCGGCUACAUCGGCUAUCCUUGUCCGAUUCUGUUUCAGCCGACGCACACUGUAGCCGAUUUGGCUUGCAGCCGAUUCAUACUCUGUUUUCUGUAAUCGCUUAUCUCCUCCAAUCGGCUUCGGCUUUAACUCUGAAUCCAAUGCAUGAUUUACCAAAUUUCGUCGUUAACAAGAAGACCCCGGCCCCGUCUCCUUCCCCUCUCUUCCUCGGCCGGUGCCGUGCCGCACCGCCUCGCGCCGUCGGCCUCUUCCCCGGCGAGCUCCCCUCCUCCGCGGUAACCUCCUUCCCCCUCCCCCGUCUCUCCCUUUCUCCUCGGCUUAGGCACCCGGUAUAUCCGUAGAACCCGCCUCCCCGCGCCGCCGUGGCCGUCGCCCUCUCCUCCGGCCCCUCCCCGCGCCACCGUUGCCGCCGCCGCCCCGCACCGUCGUCAGCCGCCGUCGCGCCCCGUGGUUCGAUCCGAGCCAUUGGCUCGCUUCCCCUUCUCCUCCUCUAGCCACCGGUGCUCGCUUUUCCCUCUGUCUCGCCGCCAUUCGCCGGAGCAAGCCCCUCACCGUAGCGCCGCCGAGAGCCGUCCACUCCCGGGCGGGCUCAUCCCUCUUCCCCCUUUUCUUCUACCCGCCGGCCUCCGUGGCAGCCACGUAGGCGCCACACGAGCGCCGACGGCCUCGCCUCCUCCGUGCGCCCGGUUCACGCGCACCGGGUCGCUGCCGGGCGGGUCCCACCCUAGCACCCGCUCGGUGGACCACGGUCCACCGAUCCAGCCGUCCACGUGGGCCGCGGCUUGCAUCGGCCCACUCGGCCGCCUUCCUCUGGUCCAUCGGCCUCCUCCCCCGAUCGGCCUCGGCCUUCGGCCGCUCGGCCCACUCGGCCUCCGUUCCUCCUUGGUCCGGCCUAGUCGGCCCCGAGUCACUCGGGAGGCCGGACCAGGCCGCGCCACUCGGCCAUGGGCCGUUUCACUCGGGCGUCGGCCCAUCCGUUCGGCCAUGCCCGCGCCAAAUCCUUUGGGCCGCACCUAGCCACCCAAAAUAAAAGUCCAAUUCACGUCCCUCCUUUCUUUUUCCUUUUAUUUUUCAAGGGAAUUAAUAAUUCCUUUUCCUUUAGACAGAAAAUCAUUUAAUCUUAGGAAAUUCAUAUCUUCUCAACCGUUCGUCCGAUUGACUCCGUUCAAUUUUCAAAAUUCCUCAAAAAUCGAGAUCUAUCCAAUGGCAUGCUUAGUGGUCUUUAAUAGGGCUUCUUUUUAUCGUUGUUUUAAGUCGCCUCGUUUCACGUGUAGUUUCGGAGCCAGAAGACCCGCAGUGUGCGGAUUUCGAAGAAGAAGCUCAAGAUCUCGAGCAAGGCAAGUCACCUUUGAUCAAUUGAACCUAGAAUUUUGGAUUUAAGUAUUUUGUUUCCGCAAACUAUGCAUUCCUAGGAUUACACUGGACACUUGGCCUCGGUUUGCAAUAUAGCCGGCAGGCCCCACCCAAUUGCUGCAUUCACCUUCCUUGAUUAUUGAACACCCUAAUACCCCCUUGUCACCCUCCGGUGAGGUCUCGGUAUUCGAACCCCGCGUACGAAUACCGAGGCUCCCCUCAAAUUUAAAAAGUGAGCAACUGGGUAAAACUGGAGUUUACAAAAUGCUUGGAAAAAAACCCGACACUUGGGUCGGUGCCUUGAAAAUUUAAGUGAGUUUCCAAAAGUCGCGGUGCGGGAGGCAUACUGGAGGUGCGGUCUUCCCGUUCUUGCUCUAAGGACCGAUUCCUUGGGAAUUAUAUCCGAGCAUAUGUCAAGUACGACCACAUGGGUGAUAUAGGACACCCCUGGCUGAGUAACUAGCAAGGCCAGGGAAAUCUUGAUGCCAAGGGACAAGUGGAUUCGCCGGGGUGGUGUCGGGGAGGACCCCUGGGCUUCCUGGCACAGUAUGGUCUGGGACCUAACCUGGUGUUGGUCCGUGGGACCCCUCCCGUUGGCAUAAGAUGACCCUGAGUCGGCUUUCGAAAUGCCUUGUCAUGAAAGCCUCAAAGUCACCAGACGUGGCUGUUCUGCAUGGGCUGGGUGACCCGGGUUAGUAACGUCUUGUGGGUAAAGUGUACCCCCUCUGCAGAGGUUAUUAACUGUUCGAACAGCUGUGGCCACGGUCAUGGGCGGAUGUGAGGUGAUUCCUUAGCGUAGUCUUACUAAGUACUUGGUGAACUACUGUUGGUGUGAGAUCUCUGAUCAAUGCUUGGCGUGUGGCUAUGGGUACAGCCGGUGCUGGUGAGCGAUUGGCAGGGAGCCUCUCGUGUGUGGCUGUUGGUACAGCCGGUCUCGGCGAACGAUUGGCAGGGAGCCUCUCGUGCCGACAAGAAUCAAUCUAUGCAAAUUCACUGCUCCGACCGGAUGAGACGCACUUUCUCGUCCGUGUCGUUGAGAAGCAUGCACUUAGUUGUUCCUGAAGGUCUUAAACUAAAAUCGAACGCGAAAAAUAAUUGGCUCUCCUUUGAAGCUUGCAUCGAACACUUAAUUCCCUUGACUUGCUGAGUACUUCCGUACUCACCCUUGCUCUAUAUAAAUAACUCCCCCAGUUCUCGAAGACGAGGAGGUGGACCCUUGUUAACGACGAAAUUUGGUAAAUCAUGCAUUGGAUUCAGAGUUAAAGCCGAAGCCGAUUGGAGGAGAUAAGCGAUUACAGAAACAGAGUAUUAAUCGGCUGCAAGCCAAAUCGGCUACGGUGUGCAUCGGCUGAAACAGAAUCGGACAAGGAUAGCCGAUGUAGCCGAUUCCGAUGAGGAGAUGGUAGGAUCAUUGUCGGGUUCGGUUGGUGUGCUUCAUGAGGAUUGCCACGUGCGGAUUGAGUCCGAAGAAGGCAAUUGUAUCUAUUAAUUAGAAUAUUUGUUAGUUUCCUUUUAUCUUUAGGAAAGUGUGUUUAGUGUCCCUUAAGGACUUUAUGUUUUUCUUUUAUCUUUAGGAAAGUUUCUUUCUUGUCCUACAAGGACUAGUAUCUCCCCAUGGGUAUAAAUAUGUACACCCGGGGUUAUUGUAAUCAAUCAACUCUCGAUCAAUUCAAUUCGGCGCAUCGCCACCUUUUACUCUGUUACGGUUUAUUUACCAACCGGCGGAAUUUGGCACCUGAUGUGGGGCUGCAUCAGCUGUCGAUCUCCGGUGAAGGGGUAAGUCCAAUGUUCCGUCGGUUCAGGCAAUUGUAUCAUCUACGUCGGCGUCGUUCAAGGCUGCAUCAGUACAUUCGACCUCUUGGAUUGCUCUGGUUUUGAUAAUAUAUUUGCCUGGCUAUUUAUCAUAUGUCUUCUGUUAAUCUAGUAUUAGCAUCUCGAUUUAGUUUUAUCGGCUGCUUCUCGUUUUAGGGUUUCUGCCGGUAUCGGCUAAAUCGUCUUGCUAGAUUAGAUUAGCUUAGGCAUCUACCACCCUGAAAAUCAAUCAAGGGCUUGAUCAUCUAGAUACUGUGUUUCUUUACAUACUUAGUGCUGCAUCAGUUGAGUUUGACCUACUAAGUCGUGCUUAGAAUCAUGAGUCUCUAGCCUGCUUUUUGAUUGCCGAUAAGGGUUUCAUCGGGGUUUCAGCCGGUGAGUUAUCUGGACGUUGCAUCGGCUUAUAAGGAUUGCAUAUAAGUUGAAUUUAGCCGAUAACAACAAAGGUUUCACUGUUUAAUCUAAUCUUGUGGAUUUUAUGGCAUUGGAUCUAUGUUAGAUUCACUUAAUCGGCUAUGCUAUGAAUAUAUAUAAUCUUUCUCUUGAGAUGUUUUUAGACAUAAGUGAUUUAUACUGUCUCGGCGCCCUGUCCGAUCUAUCCCAAUCACUUGGUUUAAAUAUAUUUUGAGAUUUAGAUUAUGUAUCAUUGAUAUCUACAGCCGAUCGAGUAUGUCUAACUUUCGUUUCACUUUAUCAAGUCAUUGCCGAUCUAAUGCAUAUUAUCAUCAGCCGAUUGUCUCUUUGUCAUUAUUUACAUCAAGUGUCAGUAUCUACAUUGAACAUAUAGCCGAUAGCUCAAAACCCUAUCGCUAUCGGCUGUUAUUAGGAUCGGCUGGAAUUACUACAUCGGCUAUGUUGGCCGAUCGGUUCUUUGAUCUGCUAUUUGUAUAUCUUGUCAGUUGCAGGAUCAAACUGACUGGCACGCCCGCAUCUCACCAAGAUUUGGACCUGCACUGGAGCUAAGCAGAUCUCCCAGGCCAGUGUGUGUUUUUUGCAUCAACAACCCUGCUGAAGAAGAGUUCUUCCAGAAGCAAGCAGACUUCGAGCUGUAGUGGGGUUUCGGCCUUUCCCCAAGGCUUUGCUUGUGGCUUAGGGCUAGUCAGCGCUUUCCGCUUCUGCCUUUUUGUAAUGCUGUUGUGAACUCGGGGUCUGUCCGCAGUUCCAACCUUGGUUGUAAUUCUACUCUUAAUAAAGAGACCGCUGUUGUUGUGAUAUUCUAUCUUCCUGUGGUACCAGCACUGUUUCCUGGGACUGGUACAGGCAUACAGGUUAAUUUGGAUCGCCUUACUCUGGCCGUCGGUUGGGCUAGUUUGGGGUGUGACAGGGAUAGAGCCCGAUUUGAGGCAAUUGUAUCUAUUAAUUAGGAAGUUAAAGUCGGUUUAGAUUUAAUCUAUGGUAAGGGUCCGCCAUGUGGACUUGUUUGUUUAGUUAUAGUUAGAAUCGUGUCCUAUAUGGACAAGGUUGUAAUCUUCAGGUAUAUAUAUCCCGAUAGCUUGUAACAAAUAACUCUCGAAUCAAUCAAACACAAACACAAUACUUUUCAAUUUACUUUCGGUGCAUCGCCACCCUCACAAGAGGUCAUCUCCGGCAAGUUCUUACUUCUUCGAGUAGAGGUAGGAGCUUGUCCCCGACGAUUCACAUCAUCAGGGCUAACGUGUCGCUUUAGACACGUUAGCCCUGUCGAUGUGAUCGUCGUUUAUCAUGUCUUGACUAAUCUAUAAGCAGCAGAUUGAUUUAACGUUGCGGCAAAGAACUCGUUUUAGGGUUCCAAGUUGACAAUUGUUAAACCAUUGAGCUUCGGUAGAUUAGUUAAGGCAUCUACCAUCCCCAAAAGUGAUUGACGACUUGAUUCUCUUUGCUUUGGUUUUCUUCUCACACUUUGCGUUGCGAUAGACCCUAGUCGUGUUUUGAAUCCUAAAGCAAAGCCUGUUCUCAACCAUAAUUAAGGAUAGUGUCGGGUUUCAGUCGGUCUUGUCUAAUAUAUGUAAUUGCUACAUGUUUUUACAUAUAUUCGCCACUUGUAUGGAUAGAUUGGUUUAUUCAAAUACACCAAAUAUGGAUCAAUCUCAGAUUGGUUUAUGGUUGACGUAUUUGCAUCUAUCAAUCUGUUCAUACAAGUCUAUGUUAGGGUAUUAGCUUACACAUUGUUUAUUUCAUCUUGCACCUUAUCGGCCGAUGUUAUUGAAACAAUCAAUCAUAUAUAAAGAUCCACAGAUUAAUGACCGAUGAGGCAUGAUAUAAGGUUUAAAUUACUUUACUCUUAUUAUAGACAGACAAGCCGAUAUAGCUUUGCCCUAUCGGCUGGGCUCAAACAAUACACCAUCGGCCGAUAGGCCGAUAGGCUAUCGUUUUACUAACAUGGUCUGUAUGUUUUUCUUGUUGAUUAUAGAUCAAAUCAACUGGCACGCCCUAACCCCUUAGGCAAGCCAUUGGAUCUGCACUAGCUAAACAGAUCUCCUAGGCUGUCGUGGUGAUCAUGGAACCCGCUUUGGACGUGAGGGCGGGAGUGAUUUCGCAUCAACAGGGACCCAACAUGGAGAUAGACAUAACCUUUGAAGUUAGAGCAGCUCUAGAGCUUGAGAAGAUCACCUUGUCCUUCGACAACAUAAUGUCUAUUUCGGGGGCCAACCACCUUCUAAAGUUUAAGCAUCUUGAGUUGAAUGGCAACAAGUCGCUGCUUCUUUCAUCGCUUGAGAAUGCUAAAAACAUUUCCAAGGUGACUCUGCAUUCUACCUGGCUGGAUCGUGCUAACCUACAAAUUCUCGCCAAGAAACCAAGAAUCCACUGCCUAGUACUCUCACACAACUCUUACGACGAAAGCCAGCUUAUCUUCAACAAAAAUGAGUUUCUCGAGCUCAACAUUCUUAUCGUCGAGUGCUGUACUGUCACCGAUAUCCGCUUCACCGACGGAGCAGCUCCUAAACUCGAGAAGAUCGUCUGGUCUUUCACCAAGAUGAAUUCUCUCUCAGGCAUCAAAAACCUACCGAUGCUAAAGGAGCUCGAGUUCAAUGGUGACCACGUCCCUGAUCAGGUGAGGGAUGAAAUAAAAGCACAUAGAAAGCAACCUAUUCUUACUCUCAAGCAGCCGCAGCAUCAAGACCAAGAAAAUGGAACGGCACAAGAAGAUGAUGAUGACGAUGCAAGGUUUCCAGCAUGCUCCUGGUUGUUGAAGAAAAAGUACUGGCCUGCCGCAAGACAAAACAAAGAUUUCCUUGCACGCAUCCUACAUCCUUCCAUCUAUUCAUAAUCACCUACUCCCAGGAUGAAUUUCAUGCUAUCUUGUGUGUGCUAGCUCGCUCCAUCGCACGACAUGAACCGACCGGUGCGUACAUAUGUGUGGUCUGUCCCUGUGAUUCUGUAAAUUGUACGUAAAUAGGUGUGUAUUCAUGCUUGCUGCCUGUGUGUGCGUGUCUGUGUAUACAUUAAAUAAUUCCUAGUGCUAUCAGCUGCUUGCUGUGUACAUGAGCUGUGCCAUCUGAUCAAUGCACACAAGCUAGCUAGCUAGAUAACGUGAGCAUUGCUGACUGAUGCAGCUAGCUGUGCUCGUGUGUCGAGUUGGAUUUGUGUGGGUUUCAACUGAAACCAUGUGCAAGCAUGUCUGCACAUCUUAUAUUAAUGUAACAUAGUAAAAAUGUCGAAUUUUUACUAUGUUAAAAUAAUAAAAAUAAGUUUUUGAGUUGAUGACCAAAAAUUCUCCCAUUUCAUAUAACCUAAGUGAGGUUUGAUCUAGCUAGUGACCAUCCUAAGUGCACCCAUGUUCAUGUAUCUUGUGAAUUGAGCAUGGUGAACUAAAAGUAAAGCCUUACUCCUUCAUCUCUGGUCAAUUACAAUUCAACAUAUAAUUUAUAAUCAUUUAAAAUGUAUUCUUUUAAUAGGAACAUCUAUUGGUUGAUAAGCUCACUGAAUAUUUAAAAAUAAAUGGUGCAAUAUAAAAUCAUGAGGAAAUUCAUGUAGGUCCUAAUCAAUAUAUAUAUCUCACUAGAAUUUUGGUAUAAUUUAAUAAGUAUAUUUGAUGCAUCAAUUAAUUGGGUCAAAACAGUCAACUAUUGAUUUACUCAAAACCCUAAUCGGCAAAAACAAUACAACUUCCAGAUGUGUAUUUUCUCACAUAAAAAUAUAUAGGGGAAAUAAUUUAUUCAAAUACUACUCUGUUUAUCAUGAAUUAAUAUAAUUGUUCCAGAAUUUAUUUCAUAGGUUUUGACCUUCUAAAAAUUCAAAUCAAUCUCGUCUGAACUAGAUUUCUCUUUUUCCCUGAGAUUAAAAUAUAAAUUAUUUUUGAGUGAAACCAAAGAAAAUGGAAUAUAGGUAUUUUUAUCUACCUCCAUAAAAAUCUACAUUAGUUUAUCAUGCACAGAAAAUAAGUUAUGGAAUUGUAAAGAAGAGAGGAAGAAAAUAAUAGAGAAAAUAUUAAAAACUAUCCUAACACUGUGUUCACCCAGUUUCCUACCCAUCCCUCUCACUCUAUCUCUGUUGCAUCGCCCUGGGACCCACAUGGCAGCCUCAUCAGCUUGCCCUAACCUUGGUCCACCUCGGUGCAGACACACUCCACCACCUAAGCUAUCAGAGAGAGAGAGACAGAGAGAACGGGACGACGUCGCCGGCGUGCUCGACGCGUGUCCGACGUCGUGGCAGCCGCCGAGCUCGCCCAUAUCCACUCCAAUGCGCCGCAUUGUCUCCAUUUCCUCUCCUGCGUCGAUCCAGCCGACGGAGAGAGCCCCCUUUUGCUUCCACUCGCUAUUCUUUCUCUGCCGGCCGUGGAGACGACGACCGCCGCCGCCGCCAUCGAGCCACGGUCGUCACUCUUCCUCUUGCGUUCUGUGGCCUCCCCAUGACGCCGAGCUUUCCCUUCUAACCCCACCGCAUAACGUACAACCGUGACGCCGGAACACCGCCGCGCCCACAGAAGCACCAGAGCGCCGCCGCUCGGACAUCAUCGCUGUCCGGUCAACUCCGACCAAAUCAGACCGAACCACCGCGCCACUGACUUCGUCUCAAUCCCAGGAAGCUGCCGCCCGAAGGAAUCGGACUACGACGCUGUGAACUCGGAGAUCGGCCGUUUCUCCCCCAACUCCGGCCACCGGGCUCCAUCCUCCAAUUCUCCCUCUCCGGUGAGCCCUUGUUCGAUUCCUUGUGCGUGAACCAUCCCAAGAACCCAAGUGACCUCACGGAUAUCUUCUUCUAGCUUCUCAUCGACCCGAGUGGGCUGUCGCCGUGAAGCCACCAUUUUCUGCCGCCGCCGGGGAGUCUUCUCCAUCGCCAUCGCUGUCCGGGAUCCGCCAACCGUCGCGCACCCCUUGGUGAGUCUCCAGGAACUCAGUAGAUGCUUAUGCAUGCAUUCAACCACACGGAUUCGAGCCGUAACUCGAAAUACACUUGCAACCCGAGAACCUCCGCCGCCUGCGCCGUCGCCACCGUCGAUUCCGACCACCGCAGCCUGCGAGAAGACUACCGAUCGCUUCGCCGUGGAACCCUCUACAUUUCCUCUUUUAGUCGCCCACCGAGAUCGGCCGCCAUUUGCCUAUGCCGCCGGCGAGAAGCUCGCCGAGGCGCCACUGCCCUGCCUCCUCAGCGCCAAGCCACUGACGAAUGGACCCCACCUAAUUAGCGCCCGAGGACUUGGCUUAGCUAUAGUUUAAAACUUGCAAGGUUCAAUCUGUAAAACUCUUUUGUAUGGCAUGUGGACUCAGGACCCAUUUGUAAAUAGAGAAAACCCCGAGGACUCUUAAUGGAAAUCGCUUUAGCACGUGCUUUAGGGCUGCGGGUUGAUUCCUGUAAACUCCAGGGACUUUUCUGCAUAAUACCAGUCACUGACCAGUGGACCCAAGGGUUUAUAAUUUGAGCAAAAAUAAAGGAAAUGGAUAAAGUAAUAUCUUUUCAACUGAAAAUUACUUCAAACUUGUAAAAUCCAUAUAAAAUCAAAUAUAGCUCAUUUUGAGGUGAAACCAAUUUCUAUAGGUUCAUAAAAUUGUGAUCUUUAAUAUUGUAGAAUAAAAUCCUACACCCACAGUAUGAUAUUUAUUUCUAAAAUUCCAAAGAAGAAAUAGUUACAUAGAACUUGUACAAUUUGUAGGAAAUUCAUCUUUACUCCAAAUGAAGUGAACCAAAUUUCUGUAGAUUCACAGAAGUAUAUACUUUAUUUUUAAAAACAUAAUAUUUCAUACUUUCUGUACAGGAAACAGUAAUAGUAAUUUAUACCAUAUAAUGACCACCACUUGUACUAUUUGAUUUCUAAAAUUUAUAGGAAAUUCAUAUCAGCUCUAAAAAUUAUGAAACCAAUUGUAUUCAUCUUAGAAAACAAUCCUCUUCAUCCCGGUAAGGUUAACUUGAUGAAAACCAUAUAUUAAAAAUGUUUCACAUCAAUACGUUAAUAAAUACUACUAUAUGUCAAUGCAAAUUUAUGAAAUUCAUAACUCAUAAUUAAAGAGAGAUAAAAUAGGAAUUCUUUACCUAAAUUUAUCUUAGGCCAGAACCUAUCCACUGUGUACAAAUCAUGCAUUUUAGAGUAUUUUGUAUUUUACGCAUAAUUUGGUAUUUAUGUGCAUACCGUGUACUUUGUAUAGAUAUUUCGCAUCAAUGGUGAAAGAGUGAUUUAAGAGAUAUUUACAUUGUUCCAGAUCAAGGCAAGUUUAUUCCUCCUCUUUCCUUUGAUCACCUUGAAACCUAUGAUUUGGGAGAUGAAAAGCAUUUGUUUCCGAAACUGCAUAUGUAUUUAAGUUAAAAUGAUAUUUGAAACUUAUUAAAUGGUAGCUAUGACCUUAUUGCUGCAUAAUCUUCCUUGAUAUGUUGUUACCCUUUCAUUUGUAACCAUAGUAAUAAUGGGAGUACAUUGGUUGUACUCUAAUGGGACUAAUUAAGUUUUUAUAUGCCAAUUGCUUAGCCAUGCCUAGAACUAUGCAAAUGAAUGAUUUUAUAACUUGAUAAAUGGGAUUAUGAUUAUCUGGGUUAAUGCUGGAUUUAUGAUGGAAAUGUUAAGUAUUUGUGAACUAAAAUGGAGUUAAACUUGUUUUUAGACUUGGGCGGCAAGUGGUGUGCAUAUGGUGGUAGUUGUGCACCGAUAGGGGGAGUGUUCGCCCAGGUUGAUUAAGGACCGAACUUGGUGUCGUUCACUAUUGUUUACCGUACAUCCACAUGUGCUAUUAUGGGGUGGCCUUAGCUAAUUAAGUUACUUAAAAUCUAGCCUUACAUAUUGGUAGGCUGGAGUAGAAUGAAUUAGUCUGAGCGAUGAUUCACAGGAACUACCCAUGUGUGUGUGAUGAUUAUAUUGCUAGCCACUAUUACUAGCUGGGUGUGUUCUGUGAGGGGACGGAUGGUCCGCCUCACAGCAUGGGCGUCUAAGUCUAUCCAAUUCAACGGUAUAGUGCCUCGUGGGGGAACGGAUGUGUUCGCUGCCACGGCGUUAGGUUUAAAGCGUGGGCCCGCUACCUAGCGAUUCUGGGUCAUGCCCAGGAUGGAUUCACACUUGCCAUCGCUGAUGCAAGGUUAGGCGUUAAGUAAUGUAAAGGCUACGUUGUGACCUCUAGACUGCAUUCAAUGUGUAGAAUGUGGUGGUAUCGACGGGUACCGAACAAACUAGAGGGAUUCACGUCAUGUGGGUAAAGCUGUACAAACUCUGCAGAGUUCUCUAAAACUAAUCGAUUAGCCUUGCUCACGGUCAUGAGCGACAUAGUGAAUUGUCAUGGGUAUAGACUUAUGUUUUAUAAAUGUGUGUCGAGCACCAAAAAUUCAUAUAGUCCAGUGAUAUUUGUGGUCACCACAUGAUCUUGGCUGAGUGGGAUCCAUACAUGCAUAAAUAGCCACUCAUAUCUCAAUGUGUUCAUGACCACAACAUAACACCAUUCGAUAUGAACUCUGCGAUGCCGAAUAAUGAGCAAAGGAGAUAUUGCUGGGACUCAGCGUGCCAGUCAACUUCAGCCUGAGACAUACCCGUCAAACCAUUCGAAGAUGGCGACCAGAUGUGUUACACAUCUCAGGAGACUUGACUCAAAUUGCUGAGCUCUACAACAUCUCAAUUGCUCAAAAUUCUUACUCAUGCUUAGCUAGCCCCAAGAAGAUGCUAGCUUCGUACUUUCAUCUAAGCCAUGGUAUUAACUCAAAUACAUGUAAGGUGACUUAGACAUAACUAGAGGCAGAUAACACAGUUACUUACAUAUAGCCAUUCGACUAAUUAGAUAAAGUCCUUCGGAAGCAUGUCUACCCAAAUUCCCCACAAGCAACCGACUAGGGUAAACCCCUUGAUAGGACCAAUCCUGAGAGAAACAACUAUUCCCGCAACACUCAAUUACCUGCAAAAAAAAUGGAUAUUCCAGUCUAACAAGUGUUAGUACAUUAAUCGAGUUAAUGUACUGGCAAACGCACAGUCAAACCUACAUACAUGAAGGCUAGAUUCAAAGAGAGGCUUAUAUGUAGUCGGGGUUUUCAGCAUAAAGCUAAUUUUAGUUCACAAUUCAUUUGCAACGCAAUUUGAACAAAACAUUUCAACAAUUAUGUAAAGCAUAAUAUUCAUGGCAUGAUACCAACAUAAAUAGAUAGUAGCAUUUUAUCACAAUCCAAUCCGAAAAUAGGGCAAUCACAUCACAUAUAUCAAUCUCAUUAUCAUUCCAAAACAUUUAGUUUCAAAGGCAUUUAAGAAAACAUAAAAGUAUACCCACAUCACAUCACUAUGCCGCUCAUGACCGUGAGCACGGCUAAUCGAUUAGUUUUUAUAACUCUGCAGAGCUUGUACAACUUUACCCACAUGGUAUGAACUCUCUAGUUUAUCUUGUGCUGGCCCAGCACUACCACACUCUACAUGUUGAAUGCGGUCUAGAGGUCAUAACGAGGCUUUUACAUUAAGUAUUGUCUAACCUUGUAUGAGCACGAUAAGUGUGAAUCCACCCUAGGCUUAAGUCCUAGAGUCGUUAGGUAGCGGGCCCACACCUUAAACCUAACGCCGUGACGGCGAACACAUCCGUUCCCUCAUGAGGCACGUUAUCGUUGUAUUGGACAGACUUAGACGCCCAUGCUGUGAGACAGAACAUUACACUCGUUCCCCCACGGUAAUCACACCCAGCUAGAAUAUUCGCUAGCAAUAAACACAACACAAUCAUUAACACAUACAUGGGUAGUUCCUAUAGAUAGCCCACAGUACACUCGUGGCCACUACCUCUACUACAACGGCCUCCCGAAUGCAAGGUCAGACAAAUGCUUAACUUAAUAGGCCAAGGUUAUCCCCAUACAUAACACAUGUGGAUGUACGGUAAACAUAAGUGGGUGAUAUGUAGUUCAGUCCUUAAACAACUCAGGCGGACACUCCCCCUAUCGAUAUGCAACUACCACCAUAUGCAUAUCACUUGCCGCCUAAGUCUGAAAUUCACAUUCCUUUUAUUUUAGUUCACAAAUAAGCAGAGAACUCCUCUCUGUUCAUAAUUUCUAAAAUGAUUCAAAUAACAUAAUAAGUGAUCCAUAACCAUGAUUUAUUUAUUACUAAGCAAAGCUAAGCACUUGCAUUUUUACAAAAAGCGUAGGGGUUUCCAUUUGAGUACAAAUAGGGUACUCUAAACCAUUCUAAGGUUACAAACAUCAUGAAUAACAAUUGUCAAGGAGGAUUAUGCAACAAAUAGGUCAUAACUACCAUUUCAUCACUUUCAAAUAAUUUUUCCAAAUAUAACUAUCUAACGCAUGCAAUUUUGCAAUAGAAAACGUUUGCCCAAUAAAACAUAGGAUCAAAGUGUUCAAAGGAGGAGGGCAACACUUGCCUUGAUUGAUGUCCUUACUGGAGUCAGCGAAAGGUUAUAUCUUCUCACCAACAACGUAAUCGUCUUCUAAAAGAAAUAUCGAUAAUCGGGUAAAUACCGAAACAUACAAAUAUUCAAAAUGUUCUAAAAUGCAUGAAUUCACUAGUGUGGUUAGAUGCUGUGGGUUUAUAAUUUGUGGUGAAGGAAAUUCUAUUUUAUCAUAUUGCAUUUGUGAGUUAUAAAUUCUUAAAGUCUAAAACUAGAAAUAACUUAAUUAGGCUCUAUUUAGCUCUAAGUGCAUUUUGGGUUCAAGAUUGGCAAAGCCUUAGGUUUCUGCAGCAGAGAGUAAUUUCUCCAAAGCUUAACAAAAUUUAGUUCACAAUAUUUAAAGCUAGCAUGAAUUUAUUAUGAAUUUAACAAUUUAAAUGACAUAUUAUAAGUCUUACUUAUUAUACAACUUUUAAAUAUGUUUUUGGUACUAUAUGUACUACAUUUAAAUUUAUGAAAACUAAGUCUAUGAGAUUUAUAACCCAACCCAUCUGGAAUUAUAUUAUUUGGAGUUAGAAUGAAUUUUGUAUGAAUUUUAUAAAUUAGUGAAUGCUAUAUAUUAAGUAUUCCAUAUAUUAAUUUUUAAAGACAUUUCUUCUACUGUAGGCAACAUGUUUUAUCUUACCAAAUUAAAGUUUACAAUUUUGUGAAUCCAUAGAAAUUUAGUUCACCUCAAAUGGAGUUAAAAUGAAUUUUAUAUGCAUUUUACAAGUUUCACUCAUUUUCCUGUUGAAAAAUUAUUGUUUUGGAUAUUUCCUUUAAUAUUUCCAAUUUUUAAAGAUAAUGGGUCCACUAGUCAGCCUCUGUACUUUUGCAGAAAAGUCCCUGGGUUUCCAAGGAUUCAACCCGAAGUCCCCAGCACAUGUCUAAAUACAUUUUCAUUAAGAGUUCUCAAAUUUCUGAUUAAUUGCUAGUAGGUCCUUGGUCCCACAUGUCAUAGGUUAUACAAUUACACAUUAGUACAGAAGGUUUUGUCUUCCUUACAAAUUAUACCUCGGCUACUUAUAUGCAGUGGGGCCCGCAGGUCAGUGGCUUAGUGAGAGAGAGACCGGAGGCAGCGGCUGAAGGCGGCGACCGACGAGCUUGUCGUCGACGCCGGCGGCAAACAGCGGGUUUUCGCGAGGUGCGACCCAGAGAGAAGAGGUGGAGGAGGGGCUGGCGAUCCCGUCGGUGGUCAUGUUGUUGGCUGUGGUGGUCGGAGUCGACGCCGGCGACGUUGUGAGUGGCGGAGUGCUUCGGCAUGCUAAGGCAUCUCGGUCUCUAGCUCAAUUCAGUGGGGUUUCAUGCAUGCAUUCGCACCUACGGAGAUCGUGGUUGCUUACUUGAGGUCGCGCUGGGCUCGGCGAGGCUUGGACAGCAGUGGUGACGCGAAGACAACUCCGGCGGCGGCGGAAUCGGGCAGGGCGACGGUGACAGCGAAGAGCGGCCAACCUCCUGCCAAAGUGACACAUGCGCAAGGUUAGAGAUGCCCUAGGGAUGCUACCCACGAGAGGAAUUGAGCCGGAACUCACCCGAGGACGAGAAAUCGACGGCGAUGGCCAGCGGCCGGACUUGGAGAAGACGAAAAGGUUCUCUUCAACGGCAGUGACUUAGCUUGAGUUCACUUGGGCGUCUUGCGCCUGGGAUCUAGACGACUGCCCUGGCGCAGUGGCUCAGCUAGGGUUUCACCGGGUCGACGGGAACGGCGAUGCGAACUGUGGCUGCGCUCUGGACACCGAGGACGCCGAUGAGUUUAGCACAUGGUGGAUAGGGGAAAGCUACCGAGGGUUUAGGCGUGGAUAGGGGAUCGUGUUCCCACGGUUGGUCCGCGGUGAAGCUCACCAGAGAAAGAUGGCGACAGUGGUGGAUCCCGACGGCGUCGGAGAAGAUGGAUUCGCUCCCGGAGCUCCCGAGACGAUCUCGCUAGGGUUUUGGGAGGAACGCGGCGAGGAUGAAAGGCUUCGUCGGUGGGCAAAGCAACGCUAUUUAUAGAGGAGAUCGGGAUUGCGGUGGACGGCGAGGUGGCGCACUGGGGUGCUAGCGCGUGUAUGCGACGUGGCAGCCGUUCCUGGCUUGGAGAAGGAGGUGGCAAGCUUGAGUGAUUGACAGGUGGGUCCUACCAAGGCUGAGCCCACAUGGCAGAGAGAGAAAUGGGUAGUUUCUUCGGUGAACUACUGCACAAUUGAUUUUCAAAGAAUUUACAGAUAUAUUUCCUCUCCCUUCUUUUUAAUUCUCUGACUCAAUUUCUGUGCAAGAUAAAUUAAGGUGGAUUUUACUGGUGAUAGAUAAAACUACCUAGAUUCCAUUUUCCUUGGUUGCACGCAAAAAUACUCUAUAUUUUAUUCCCAGGAAAAUAAAGAAAGUAGGCCUAGCUGAAAUUAGAUUGAAUUUUUAGGAGGUCAAAACCUAUUAAAUAAAUUCUGGAAAAAUUAUAUCAAUUCAUGACAAAUAAGGUAGUAUUUGAAUAAAUUAUGUUCCAUGUACAUUUUCAUGUGAUAAAAUACAUUUAUGAGGUGUGUGUCUUUUUUGCCGAUUAGGGUUUAGUAUUAACCUAUGGGUUGACUGUUUUGACCUAAUUAUUUGGGGUAACAAAUGUACAUAUUAAUUUACACCAAAAUUUCAGUGACUUAUAUAUAUUAAAUAGUACCUCCAUGAAUUUCCUCAUGAUUUUAUAUUGCACCAAUUAUUUUUAAAUAUUCAAUGAGUUCACCUACCCUUAAGUAUUCUUAUUUUGAAUAUAUAUUUAAAUGGUAGAAAAAUUAUAUUUUAGUUUAGAAUCAACCAGAAAUGUUAUGUUUAGGCUUUACUUUCAUUUACAUUUCUAUUUUGGACUCAAAAAUAAAUUUUUAUUAUUUAUCUGAAGUAAAAAUUCGAAAUUCGAAUUUUUGGUAUGUUACAAUGUGUUUAUGAAAAUGGGCUAUGGGAAUGGUGAUGGAUAUGGAGUGUGGUGAAGUAUGAUGAUGAUGGUGAUGAUGUUGCCCAGUGUGGGCUGAUAUGAUGGUGCUGGUGAUGACUUGGGUAUCGGAGAUGAGAGUAUGUAUAUGAGGUUGAGAUGGUGAAUAUUAUGGUUUACUUACGUUACUGUUUUAUUAAUUGAAUUGUGAACUCCUUUACAAAUGAUUGUGAACUAAAAUUUGCUUUAUACUAAAAUAAGCUACAAAUAGCCUUUCUUUGAUUUAUGUCAUGCAUGAUGUAGUAUGUUAGGAUUGUCUUGUGCUUGCCGGUACAUUAACUUGUUUAAUGUACUGACUCUUGUACGACUGGAAUAUCCAUUUUGCAGGUUGAUUGCUUAGUCUUCUGAGUGAUUUGUGGAAAUCGUUGCUUCUUCUAGGAUCGGAUCCAAAAGGAGUAUUCUCCUUGUCGGCCGCUUGUGGAUUUGGGUAGCCAAGCUUUCGCGGAUCAGUAAAUAUCUGGCCGUUUGGCCUAACUAUUUAGAUAAGAAUGUAGAGUAAAGUUUACUUAUGUUUACUCCCUAUUUAUUCUGAUUGUCAUCGCUUAGAUGAAAGUGUGGAACUAGAGCUUUUCCUGGGAUCUAGUUCUGCACCGGUAUGAGUUUUGAGCAUUUGGGAUGUCGUAGAGCUUUAGCGAAUUUUGUCGAGUCUCCUGAGAUGUGUAACACAUCUGGUCGCCAUCUUCGUGUGGUUUGACGAGCAUGUCUCAGGCUGAAAUUGACUAGCAUGCUAAAGUCCCAGCAAUAUCCCCUAUGCUCUCUACUCGGCGCUUCAGGUUCUAUAUUAAGUAGGUCAUUUGACUUGAUAGGGGAGCGAUGAGGUUGGAUGGUUACUGUUUUACUUGAUUAUUAUUAGACCCCAUCCAACUAAAUAUUCCGCGCUAUCAUUUUAAAUAACUUACAUAAUAUUUAACCUGGGGGUGCCCCACAAUUAAGCUGUCAAUAAUUAAUGAAGUAGCAGUACCUAGCUCCAGGCUGUUACCUCCCAAUGGUGGCAAAGAAAAAUAAUAUUGUCUUUCAUAAGGCAAUGUCGCAAGCAAGAAUGGAUCUGCAGACAAUCAAAGCAAGAAAAGGAUAAAUAAUAAAGAAGUAAAGUGUUGAAUGUCAGUGAUCCAAAAGAGAAUUAAUCAAAGGAAUAUCAUUAUAGAACAAAAAAGAGAGAAUAUUUCAUAAUUUCUUUAAGACUAAGGCAAGCUGCGAAAAGCGAAAUAUUCCAUAAAUUUCAGCAACAAGCAUGGAAUUUUGCAUGGAACCAGCAGCUCAAGGGGUAGCGUGCAUAUGCAAUAGUGCCGGUCUGCAAGAGGAAUUAACCAAACCAUUUGUUGAUUGGUCAUGCAAGCACCCCACACCCCCAUGCACGCAUGCACUAAGGCCUUAGCUUAGCUUAGCUUGUUCUAGCUAGGUAGGUAUUUGAUCCAGCCGGCCAGCCAGCUUGUUGCCGGCAAGCGGGGGAGCGAUCCGAUGGCUGAGGGUGCGGCGAGUGCCGUGGCGAGGCGCAGUUGCUAGGACGUGUGAAGAAGGACGUGCAGUUCAUCAAGGAGGAGAUGGAGAGCAUGAGGAGCUUCCUGACGCACCUGACCGAGACGGAGCCUCCCGGCGGUGAGCACGACGAGCAGGUCUGGACGUGGAUGAAGCAGGUCCGGGAGCUUGCGCAGGACUGCAGCAACUGCAUCGACACCUACCGGCAGCACGGUGACCUAGCGGUCCGCCACCCCAGCUGGAGCCGCGGUGCCGGCAUCCUCCAGCGCUACAUCUACUGGGCUCCUUGGAUGGUCGAGAAGUUGCUCGCCCAGCACUACGCGGCCAUCUGGCUGCGCGAGCUCAAGGACCGUGCCCACGACGUCGGCCAGCGUCGCUUGAGGUACGGCGUGGAGGUCCCCGGCAAGCCAUCAUCCAAGGCGGCAGGAGGGGCACCGUCGUCGGUGCGGUCUGAAGAAGCUUCUCCGUCAACCACUAGUGCCACCACAGGAGCACAAGCACCAGACGAGGAAGAUGAAGACGAGGAGGAGGAGGAGCAGCAAGACCAAGAAUACGACUCGGCUAGUAGCAUUAUUAUUUCAGCUGAGCGUCGUCGAAGAGCUCUGGAGCCUCGCUCUCUGGAGAACUUCUGUGCUGACGAGCUUACCUGCUAGGUAAAGUCGGUUGGCAUUACGGGACCAUCGUCAUCUUCAUCGCCAUCAUUACCAUCCAUCGCCAUUGUACCACCACCACCACCCAGAGUAGCUCAAGGUGGUGCAACGGAGGUGGUGGUGGCCGCAGGAGCCAAUGCACGCGAUGCUUUGGCUUCCAUGGAGACCACCCAUUUCGACCGCUCUGUGUGGAUCAACCUCCAGGCUUUGCAUCUCCACCGCUCUUGGCACCAAAUCAGCACCGAGGCCAUCCUCUGCUACAUCCUGCGUGAAUGUGAAUCUCUCAAGAAGCGAGGCAAAGAUCAUGGUCAGGUGGACGACCGGGAUGAUCAAUGGGAGGCUUACUAUUAUUACAGAUGGGACAUAUUGUAUGAUAUCCAUAGGGACUUUUAUCGACAGGUUAAUCCUAAGAUGGAAGAAAUCGAGGGUAAUAUUACUAAGAACAGUGCUGCAGAAGAAGAACAAGAAGAGAAAAGUAAAGGAGAAGCUGCAUAUGGAAACCAGACUGAAGACGAAAUCCCCUCAACCCCUGAUGGUAGUAUGUCACGCCCCAAACUAGCCCCGAACGGCGGCCAGAGUAAGGCGAUCCAAAUUAACCUGUAUACUUGUACCAGUCCCAGGAAAUAAUGCUGGUACUACAGGAAGACAGAAUAUCACAACAACAGCGGUCUCUUUAUUAAGAGUAGAAUUACAACCAAGGUUAGAACUGCGGACAGACCCCGAGUUAACAACAGCAAUACAAAAAGGCAGAAGCGGAAAGCGGAGACUAGCCCUAAGCCACAAGCAAAGCCUUGGGGAAAGGCCGAAACCCUACUAUAGCUCGUAGUCUGCUUGCUCCUGGAAGAACUCUUCUUCGGCAGGGUCCACCUCCUCGUCUUCGAGAACUGGAGGGGUUAAUUAUAUAGAGCAAGGGUGCGUGCGGGAGUACUCAGCAAGUCAGGGGAAUUAAGUGUUUGAUGCAAGCUUCAAAGGAGAGCCAGUUAUUUUUCGCAUUCGAUCUUAGUUUAAGACUUUCAGAAACAACUAAGUGAGUGCUUCUCAACGACACGGACGAGAAAGUGCGUCUCAUCCGGUCGGAGCAGUGAAAUUGUAAGGAUUGAUUCUUGUCGGUACGAGAGGCUCCCUGCCAAUCGUUCACCGACACCGGCUGUACCAACAACCACACGCGAGAGGCUCCCUGCCAAUCGCUCACCAACUCCAGCUGUAUCAACAGCCACACGUCAAGCACAUCGGCACGAAAGGCUCCCUGCUAAUCGUUCACCAACACCGGCUGUACCAACAGCCACAAGCCAAACACUGAACAGAAUUCUCACCCAACAGCAGUUCACAAAGUAAUCAGCAAAACUACGCUAAGGAAUCACCUCACAUCCGCCAAUGACCGUGGGCACGGCUGUUCGAAUAGUUGUUCACCUCUGCAGAGGGGGUACACUUUACCUACAAGACGUCACUAACCCGGGUCACCCAGCCCGUGCAGAACGGCCACGUCUGGUGAUUUUGAGGCUUUCACGACAAAGCAUUUCGAAAGCUGACUCAGGGUCAUCUUAUGCCAACGGGAGGGGUCCCACGGACAAACACCAGGUUAGGUCCCAGACCAUAUUGUGCCAGGAAGCCCAGGGGUCCUCCCCGACACCACCCCGGCGAAUCCACUUGUCCCUUGGCAUCAGGAUUUCCUUGGCCUAGCUAAUUACUCAGCUAGGGGUGUCCCAUCUCACCCAUGUAGUCGUACUUGACAUAUGCUCGGAUGUAAUUCCCAAGGAAUCGGUCCUUAAGGCGAGAACGGGAAGACCGCACCUCCAGUACGUCUCCCGCACCGUGAGUUUUGGAAACUCACUUUAUUUUCAAGGCACCGACCCAAGUGUUGGGUUUUCCUAGCAUUUUGUAAACUCAAGUUUUACCCAGUUAAUCAUUUUAAAUUUAAAGGGAGCCUCGAUAUUCGUACGCGGGGUGCGAAUACCGAGACCUCACCUGAAGGGUGACAAGGGGUGUUAGGGUAUUCAAUAAUCAAGGAGGGUGAAUGCAGCAAAUGGGUGGGUCCUGCCUAUUGUAUUGCAAACCGAGGCCAAGUGUCAUGUGUAACCUAAGGAAUGCAUAGUUUGCGGAAUCAAAAUACUUAAUUUCAAAUUAUAGGUUCAAUUGAUCAAAGGUGAUUUGCCUUGCUCCAGAUCUUGAGCUUCUUCUUCGAAAUCUGCGUACUGCGAGUCUUUGGGCUCCGAAACUACACGUGAAACGAGGCGACUCAACACAACGAUAAAAAGAAGCCGUAUUAAUGACCACUAUGCAUGCCAUUGGAUAAAUCUCGAUUUUUGAGGAAUUCUGGAAGUUGAACGGAGUCAAAUGGACGAACGGUUGAGAAGAUAUGAAUUUCCUAAGAUUAAAUGAUUUUCUAUCUAAAGGAAAAGGAAUUAUUAAUUCCUUUGAAAAAGAAAAAGGAAGGAGGGACUUGAAUUGGACUUUUAUUGAAAGGGAUCCGGCCAAAGGCCGAAUCGAACGCGGCCGGGCUACUCGAAACGGCACGCGGGUGGCCGAGUAAGGGAGGCCGAUGGGCCGGUGGCCGAGUGGCACGGCCUAACGGGCCGGCGCGGGCGCAGCCGAGCGAGCGGGCUAGCGCGCGGGAUGGGACGGCCCAAGGCCAGGGAGGAGCGUGAGGCGAAGAGGGAGGCCAAUUGGGCCGAAGGCCGAGUGACUCGGGGCCGACUGGGCCAGAGAGAGGAGAGGGCUGAGAAGGGAGGGAGGCCUAGUGGGCCGAGGUGGUGUAGCCCACGCGGGCGGCCGGACCAGUGGACCGAGGUCCACCGCGUGGCACUAGGGCGGGACCCGCCCGUCAGCGGCGCGGUCCACACGGAUUGGGCGCACGGAGGGAGAGAGGCCGUCGGCGCUCGUGUGGCGCCGACAUGGCUGCCACGGAGGCCGGCGGGCAGCGGCGAAGAGGCUCAGGGCGGCGCGGUGCGAGCCCGGCGAAGGGGGUGACACCGGAGCGGAGAGGGGAGAGAGGGGAAGCGAGCCAACGGCUCGGAUCGGAGCGCGAGGGUGCGACGGCGGCCGGCGACGGCGUGAGGCGGUGGCGGCAAUGGUGGCGCGGGGAGGGAGCGGAGGAGAGGGCGGCGACCACGGCGGCGCCCGGAGGGAGGUCUACGGUGCUACCGAGCUCCCUAAGCCGAGGAGAAAAGAAGGGAGAUGGGGGAAAAGGACGAGUUACCGCAGAAGGGGACGGGCUCGCCGGGGAUCGCGGGGACGACGACGCGCGGGCGGUGCGGCAUGGCUCCGGGCUGAGGGAGAGGGGAAGGAGGCGCCCGGAGUCUCCUUCGGGCGUCCUCAGCGGCGACGGCGAACGGCAAGAGCAACGGCUCGGCUCGGCGGGGCGGUGGCGAACGGCGGACGGAGGGUGUUCGACGGCGGUAGGGCGCGGCCGAGAGGGAGGGGAACACGGGUUUAAAAGGGGCGCAAAGGUGGUUGGGCGGAGAGGCGGUUGGGGGGCGAGGUCGGUGAGGGGACUGGCACGCGCUAGCAGCCGAACGGCAGCUGCCGGGUGACGUCGGCGGCGGUCGGGAAAAAGAAAAAGAGAGAGGGAGAAAGGGGUGCGGCCCCCUUGCCAAAACGGGCAGGGGCACGCGGGGAGAGGGGCAGAGAGCGCGCUCUCCCCCGAGGCGGCACGCGCGCGUGCGAGCGGCGGGGCCGGGAGUAACGCCGGCGCUUGGCGCGGCGCGGGGGCAGCAGUGCAGAGGGGACCCCGGGUGACGGCGGCGGCGGACGUGGGACCAGCGGCGCUGAGGGGCGGGGCGUGGCUGGGCGCAGCUGUCGAAACGAAGUGAGAGAGAAAAAGAAACGGGCGAGGGAGAGAGAGAGCAGGGGGGAUCUCUCCCGCGCGGGGCGUGCGAGCGCGGCGCAGCGGGAGGAGGAAGGGGGGUGGGCCGAGCGAGUGGCCCGAAAGGGAAGGAGGCCGAGGGAAGGAGGGAGAGGCGCGACUGGGACGGGCGGCGGCCCGAGAAGGAGAGGGAAAAAGGGGGCAGGCCGAGUGGGAAGCCGGCCCGGGAGAGGGGGAGGCAAAACAGACUUUUGGCAGAGAGGGAGAGGGAAGGAUUAGGGUUCGGAUUCAAAAUCCGAUUUCGCGAUUUUCUCCGGGAUUGAGCUGAGAGGGGAAACACGAGACCAAGGCACACGACAAGACACGACCGAAGAGCAAAAUUUUUGCAAAUAGAGUUUUUAGGAAUUAGGUUUUCCCGCUAACGCCAUAACAAAACGGGCGUUACAUAGUAUCUCCAAGACCAAGCCAGUGGGCAUACUCUUCAGAGCACUGCAGCCUUAUGCCGUGUCAAAUGUUGCAAUAUUGGGGACUAACCAACCAUUGGACGAACAAAACAUAUUCCCCGAGACGGCCAAUAAGCUUAAGAGGCAUAUCGAAUCAGGCAAAACCGAGUUCCCAAUUCAUCUUGAUCAAGCCAAAUAUGAAUCCAUCCUGCGCGAGGUGUUCCCCCUUGCAACCAGCAAACCCCACAAGGUCCAGGAAGGUACUACUGCUGUCAGUAGUGAUAGUAGUAGCCAUGUUGUUGCUGCUGCUGCCGCUGCAGCCGCCGCCACCGCCGCUGCAGCGACUACUGCUGCUACAUUGGAGAAAGUUCAGAUAGAACAAAUCAUUGACAAGGCUAAACAAGACAUCCUGCAAUGCAUCCUGCAGGAGCUACAGCAGCAGUUACCAGAAGCUGACAAAUCUCUUGAGGAGAACGGAGUAACGAAACCUAAACCUCAGUUUAGGAUGAGCAUGCUACUGCUGCCAUUGAAGCCAAGGAAAACAAGCCGCCAGCAGCCAAGGAUGAAACAAAGGAAAACAAGGCACCAGUAGCUCAGGAUAAACAUGCUGUUGCUGCCAACAAAACCAAGGAAAACAUUGGAAAAAUCAAGUCCAAGAUUAAUAAUGAAGCUACUACUGCGACUCCUCGGCCGCCUACUACUAUUAGUACUACUACUACAACGUUGGGCAAGGAUCAGAUCGAAGAAAUCAUCCACAAGGUUAAGCAACAAGUCCUACAGGGUCUACAUCACCAGCCUCCUCCCCAUCUUCCCAGAGCAGAUAGAUCGUUCAAGGGGGAGCCAGGCAUACAUAAACCAGGUGGGGAUGAAUAUGCCAAUGCUAUCAAAGAAACCAAGCAAAAGAUCAAACAACUCACAGGAAAAAUUAUGGAGCAGGUGACAAUCCAAAGAUCAAAACACUUUUGGGUGGUAAAAAGACCAUGAUUAUCAUUGAAGAUGAUAAAGAUUAUGCAUCCCAGUGGAGGGAGAUCAGAAAUGCUUUGCAUCAGCUGUCAAGCUCCGGCAGUGCAAUGGUUGUGACCACCCCGAACAUUCAGAAGGCCAAAGAAAUUUGCUGUCCACAGCAGGAGCCUAUAACCAAUUCUAUUGCUGGCUUGUACUAUGAUACUUUGCUCAAGCUUACAAGGAAGAGGGUGAAUAAAGAUGUAAACCAGAUUUUCCGCGACAUCUUGGACAAGUGUUAUCCAAGCGAAUUCUGCAUGAAGAUCUUCGCUCAUGCCCUCUACGCCAAUCCCAACAGGAGCAAAGAAGAUCUACGCAAGUUGCUUGAUUCCCUGGAUUCAAAUAAAUCACUGGGCAUCUGUUAGAUCAUAAUCCUUGUAAUCCUUGUAUGUUAUUUUCUUUCGGUUAGUCUGUUUAGUUGGUCAUGGCGCAAGAAUAGCCUGCGCGUGGCCAAAGCAACGGGACGUGCGCGCUGCUGCGGAUCGUGGGGAUGGACGCGAGAAAUUCGCGGGAGUGAUGCGCUUCCUAGGGCAUAGCAUAUUGCAUGGUUGUUUUGCUACAAAUAAGAUAAGAAAACAGAAAAGCUGUAGGCAGAUUACGCAGCGCCAAAACUCUGCUCUCUCUCUCGUGAUCUGAUUACAGUACUCGCGUGUGUUCGUGUGUUGGUUCUUCCUCGCCCGCUCGCCGAUCGUUUGGGUAAAUCCUAACAUUUGGUAUCAGAGCGAGGUUCAGGGUGUGGAAUCAUGAUCGUGCUCUCGAAUCGGUUCUCAUGCCUUGCCGUCGCUCGUCGUCACCGACGCAGCGCACUCCAGGAGAUUCCGGCCGCCGCGCCUCGGGCAGCGGCGGGAAUGUCCGCGGGCUGGUUAUACACCACGUGGUCAAGGAGGCGGGAGGCUCGGCAAACUAUCCGGUGCUCACGAAGACGAACUACAACGAAUGGUCCCUCCUGAUGAAGAUUAAGCUCCAAGCUCGUUUCUUGUGGGGCACCGUCGAUCCAGGAGGGGCCGGGAUCGAGCUCCAUGAAGACAGGAUGGCGUUGGACGCCAUCUGCAGUGCCGUCCCCGCCGAGAUGAUCUCGAUGUUGGCGACCAAGGUGACGGCCAAGACGGCAUGGAAGUGCAUCAGGACUCUACGCGUCGGCAACGACCGCAUUCGCAAGGCGAGCACACAGAAGCUGCGUUCGGAGUACGAGGCGCUGGCGUUCCGCGACGGCGAGUCGGUGCAGGAUUUCGCCAUGCGGUUGAACACCAUCGUCACGCAGCUGGUGACCUUGGGCGACCCCGAGCCGGAUGACAAGGUCGUCAAGAAGUAUCUUCGCGUCACGCGACCCAGGUUCUCCCAACUCAUUCUUUCCAUUGAAACACUACUCGACAUUUCCACCCUGUCGCUGGAAGAGGUCACCGGCCGUCUUAGGGCUGCCGAGGACUCCGGCCAGAGUGCGUCGUCGUCCUCGCCAAGUGCCGGUGGUAAGCUAUUCCUCACUGAGGAGGAAUGGCUGGAACGCCACAAGAAGAAGGAGCAGGAGCGCAGGAACAGUGGUGGUGGCAAUGGCCGCGGCAAGCGUCGCGGCGGACAAGGACGACCGGCGGCGGCGGCAGCGGCGGUACUGGGAACACGGACAACGCUGGCACUGGGCCGGCCCGCAGGACCGACAAGUGCCGCAACUGCGGUAAACUUGGCCAGUGGGCCAAGGACUGCAAGAGCAAGCCCAAGCGGGAGGAGCAGGCCCACGUGGCCCAGGAGGACGACGAGCCCAUGCUCAUGCUCAUGACCUGGGGCUGUGUCGAUGAGGUCGCGCAGGAGCACGCGCCGCCGCCGUACCAAUCCGCGCCAGGCCACGACCACGUCGAGCUGGAGGAGAAGAAGGUGUACGCCGCGCUGGACGACGCAGCGGACCACGACCACACGCGCUGGAUUCUCGACUCCGGCGCGUCCAAUCACAUGACAGGGUUGCGAUCUGCCUUCUCCGACAUCGACUCCAAGAUCACCGGCAACGUGCAGCUCGGGGAUGGCUCGAUCAUGCGCAUCGGCGGCCGAGGGACAGUGAUGUUCGCGUGUAAAAACAGUGAACAUCGCAUGCUCCACAACACGUACUAUCUCCCGCGCCUCGCCGCCAACAUCAUCAGCGUCGGGCAAUUAGACGAGACCGGCUUCAAGGUGCUGGCUGAAGAUGGCGUCAUGCGCAUCUGGGACGAGCAACGACGCCUGCUAGUCCAGAUCAAGCGCAGCCCCGACCGUCUCUACGUCUUGGACAUCGACCUCGCUCGUCCGGUGUGCUUGGUGGCUCGCGCUGGAGAGGACGCAGGGCGGUGGCACGCACGUUUCGGCCACAUCAACUUCACGGCAUUGCGCAAGAUGGGGCGUGAUGAACUGGUACGUGGUUUGCCAGUGCUGUCGCAGGUUCAUCAAGUGUGCGAGGCUUGUCUCGCGGGAAAACAUCGUCGAGCACCUUUCCCGCACCAAGCGCUACACCGCUCCACCGAGCCACUCGCACUGGUCCAUGGCGAUCUUUGUGGGCCGAUCACGCCGGCGACACCGAGCGGGAACCGCUACUUCCUCCUCCUCGUCGACGAUUAUAGCCGCUACAUGUGGCUAGUGCUCCUCGCCACCAAGGAUGGUGCUCCAGCAGCCAUCAAGCGUGUCCAGGCGGCGGCUGAACGGAAGAGCGGCCAUGAAUUGCUAGCUCUCUGCACUGAUCGCGGGGGAGAGUUCACGGCCAAGCACUUUGCCGAGUAUUGUGAAGAACUCGGGGUGCGGCAUGAGCUGACAGCGCCGUACUCGCCGCAACAGAAUGGCGUUGUCGAGCGGCGGAAUCAGUCCGUGGUGGGCAUGGCGCGGAGCAUGUUGAAGGCGAAGGGCCUCCCGGGCAUGUUCUGGGGGGAGGCGGUGAACACCGCCGUGUACCUGCUGAACCGUAGCUCGUCGAAGAGCAUCGGGGGCAAGACCCCGUACGAGCUCUGGAAUGGCGUCCCGCCGGCCGUCCACCACCUGCGCACAUCCUGAUUUUCGUUUCAGGAUUUAUAAAUUAUUUAAUAAAUUAAUAAUAGAAUUUAUAUUAAAUGUUCAUUAAUUUACAAGUGAAGUUAAAUGUGGGAAAUAAAAUUUCCUAAAUAUAAAGCAUGGUUGGAUUUAAUUUUUAUUAAAUUCUCCAUGGUUAAUUAUACUCUCUGGAAUUUUCUCGGAUUUUUCGGAGCUCAAUUCCUAAUUUUAAUCAUACAAAGAGCAUUUCAGUAAUUACCCACAUAUUAAAUUAAUCAUUAAAUGGUCUAAUUGUAAUUUUGUUAAGUACUUUGAGUGUCCAAGUAUUUUCAGGAUUUUUCUUGAAAUUAUUUGAGCAUUGGAAGUAUUUUUAACAAUUCAAAGAUCAUUUAAGUGAUUAUUUUAAUUGGGAAAGUAAUAAAAUCCUCCUCCUCAGCUUGGGCCAUUUUCAGCCCAUUCCUUCCUUUCCUUCCUCUCUCUUCCGCCGGCCCAACCUGAGCCGCCUCCUCUCCUCUCAGCCCAGCCGGAAAAGUCUACUUUUCCUCCCUGCGCUACUGUUCAUCUUCCAACUCAGGCAGAGCCCGAGCCAGCCCUGCCGUGCACAGUGCCGCCGCCUCUUCCUUCCAAAUCUCGCCUCCCCGUUGCUCCUUUUUCCAAUUUUGUUGAGGGGAAAUAUUCCUCUUAUCCUCCUCUAUCUUUACCCCAAAAAUCGGAGCUAAUCGUUGAGUAUCUUAUCCGAAUCGAACUCGUUUUCGAGUUUAUCUCCAAAACCGAGUUUUUGAUUUCCCGGAUCGAUUUCUUGCGGGAGGAGUCCGAUCUCUUCAAUCCAAGGCUAUAAAUAGGACCCCCUAGUCCUCCUCUUUCGUUUGCCCCCUCUCCCGUGGUCUCCCGUGCCUCGUAGCGCCGCCGCCACGUGCUCCGCCCCGCCGUCGUCGCCGGCCGAGCUCCAUCCGCGUCGCGCCGCCGCCUCCGUCGUCGCCGCCGGUCGCCGUCACCGCCGUAAGGUGCGCGGGAGGGUGGAGAAGCCCGGCCGCUCUCUCCCCGCUGUCGCCGGUCACCGGAGUCCCGUCGCCACCGCCGACCGAAGCCGCGCCGCCAAUAGACCUCGUCGCCGGCCGUCGUCGUUCGUCGUUUGGUUCGAGGGUGAGUACCGUUGGGUUCGUCUCGUCGUCCUCUACGUGUUCAUGUCCUCCAAAGUCGCAGCCGACCAUCCAAUCUCCGGCGAGGUCGCCAUCUUGGUCCGGCCAUUGAUGAGGUCAUCAUGACGUCAUCAUCGUUUUUCUUUUUCCUGUUUUUCUAAUAGAUUAAAUCUUCGGAAAUUCAUAACUAAAUCAUCGUAACUCGGUUUUGAGUGGUUCAAGUUGCUAAAUUCAUCUAAAAUCAUGAUCUACAUGUUUGUUUACUUUAUAUGUACUGUUUAUUUGGUUUUUAUUAGUCUUUUUCUUCGUUUUGCGUGUUAGCUUGUCGUUUCCGUCGUUGCGAAGGUUUGUGAGUGCGCCGGAAGUAUUCAAGAAGAUUAAUUGAAGAUCGAUUAUUGCAAGGCAAGUCACACAGAUCCUAAACACAAUCCUUUGAGCAUGUUGAUCCUAUAUUUAAAUUCUCUAUUUAUUUCAACUGUGCAUUUAUUUUCGAAUGUCACCGGGUGGUGUGAACUUAUUCCUUUGUUAUGGCCAAUUUGCAUUGAUUACUUUAUUCCUUGAUACCUUGGGUUAUUAUAACUUGACUAGUUGGGCUUUAUAUAUUGGUUCAGCUAGAUAUUAGUUAUGAUUGCUUAGCCAUGCUUAGAAACAUUAGCACACUAUUGGGAUAACUUAUGACUCACUAUUAUUUAAGGAUGGCUUAAUGAUAGUUCACGAUGGUCAAUCGUGAUUGGUUAAUUAAUUACUUGCCAACUAAAACUUGAUAAUGGUGGGUUGUGAGCACAUGGUUUUGAGAGUCGUGCUCAUGACAAUUAAGGACCGGUUCGCGAGCUACUGUUGUGAAACAUUUAUCGUGCCAACCACAAGCCAGCGUGGGCAACGGCUUUAUCUUUUGUGUAGCGUGAUUCAUUAUAGUGCGCCAGACUGAGAAGUGGCGAGAAGUCCACGGGGGUCGCUGGGGAGUCCAUGCCUUGUUUAUAAGGGGGUGAUUAUGAUCCAGGAAAGGUGCGCUGUAAUGGAUUAUGUUGUGCAAGGGGUAUUGUCACAACUCCUUUCCGAGGUACCGUGGUGGUAUUGAGGCACAUGGUGACAUGAUGUGGGGUUGUGUCUUGUGGGUACAGUGGUACACCUCUGGCCAAAGUAAAACUAUUCGAAUAGCCGUGCCCGCGGUUAUGGGCGGGUUGAGCAAUGUUUUUCGUGAUUAGUCUCACAUUUCUCACAAUAAUUUGGAUGUAAUAAUUGGUAAUAAUUUGCUUAGCUCCUGGUUUGGAGUUAGAUCUGUUCAGCCGGGUAUGGUUGUUCAGGAUGGUUGGGCCUGUACAGCAUGGGUGUGCUGUUCAGUGUUGAUUAAAACUUCUGAUUAAUUAAUCUACUGUUUUACUACUCUUAACUCUUUGCUAAAUGCUGCUUUCGCAAAUGAGCCUAUAUUAUGCCAUCCUUUGGUAUCCUUGUGCACUUGCAUAUUUGCUGUGUGGCUUGUUGAGUAUGUCAUAUGCUCACCUUGCAAUAAUCAAUCAACCUCAGUUGAAGAAAAAGGAUCCAGAAGGAGAAGACGUUUGGCUUAUACCCCAGUUGAGCUGCCUGUGGGAGUGGAGCCGGAGCUUCGCUAGAUUUUAUUUUCCGCUGCUGUUUUCUUUUCUUUUGUAAGUGUGUAACGUUAUUAUUAUGAUGGAUUUGUAUAUUAAAUUGUCAGUUUGUGUACCUCGGCUGAUUCCUGGACGAGGAUUUUAUGCACAAAUAAGUUCGGAAAUUACUAGUGAAUUUCCGGGCGUGACAUUGCACACGUGAAGGUAAUGACCCUGAACGUGAAAAAGCUGGAUGAUCGCAGCCGGCCGAUGAUCUUCGUCGGAUAUGAGCCUGGGUCGAAAGCUUACCGCGUCUACGACCCGACGACGCGACGCGUCCAUGUCUCCCGCGAUGUGGUGUUGGACGAGGAGGCGCAGUGGAACUGGAGCGGCGAGGACGUCACUGACGCAGACAUCGACAUCGACUUCACCGUCGAGUACACCGUCGUGCGUUAUCCGCAGGUGGAGAACGCCACGCGCCAAGAGCCGGUGAACACCAGCCACCCGCCGGUGUCACCCGCGUCCCUGCACACGCCUGCGUCAGCUCCGUCCUCGCGCACACCCACGUCGAGUUCACCUUCGUCCGCGACUUCGCGGGUCAGGUUCGUGUCUCCACCGCCGUUCAACGAGAAGGACAUGGACGCUGAACACGACAAUGACGCGCCACUACGGUUUCGGCUCAUCGACGACAUCUUGUGCCCGUCAUCACCACCAGGGUUGACCACUCGCGAGAUGUCAGAAGAACUGCUCGUGGCCACUGCCGACGAGCCAGCGUCGUUCGCCGACGCAGAGCAGCAGGCGUGCUGGCGUCAGGCGAUGAACGAGGAGAUGGCGUCGAUCGAGGCGAACAAGACGUGGCGGCUCGUUGAUCCUCCUCCCCGGCAACGUCCGAUCGGCCUCAAGUGGGUCUUCAAGACUAAGAAGGACGCCGCCGGCAACAUCACCAAGCACAAGGCACGCCUCGUCGCCAAGGGAUAUGUGCAGCGCUAGGGCAUCGACUUCGACGAAGUUUUUGCUCCGGUGGCGCGGUUGGAGUCCGUGCGCUUGCUGCUGGCACAUGCUGCGUGCGAGGGCUGGGCCGUGCACCACAUGGACGUGAAAUCCGCGUUCUUGAAUGGUAAGCUCCUCGAGGAGGUGUAUGUCGUGCAGCCGCCGGGAUUCGUCAUCGACGGCCAGGAGCACAAGGUGUUGCGCCUCGACAAGGCGCUCUACGGUCUUCGACAAGCGCCGCGGGCUUGGUACUCCAAGCUCGACGCGUCCUUGCUGACGCUCGGUUUCCACCGCAGCAGUUCUGAACAUGCUGUGUACAUGCGGGGCACGGGCAUGGACCGACUGGUGGUCGGCGUGUACGUUGACGAUCUCAUCAUCACGGGUGGCAACACCGGCGAACUCAAGCAGUUCAAGGAGGAAAUGAAGAACACUUUUCAGAUGAGCGACCUCGGGCUGUUGAAGUAUUAUCUCGGCCUGGAGGUGAAUCAAACUGAAGAAGGGAUCACGGUGUGCCAGAGCGCCUAUGCAUAGAAGAUACUCAAGGUGGCUGGCAUGAUCGGCUGUAAUCCAAGCUUUACUCCCAUGGAGACGCGACUGAAGUUGAGUAAAUCAAGUACUGCUCCUUCGGUUGAUGCCACGGAUUAUCGCCGAAUCAUGGGAUCGUUGUGUUACCUUGUGAACUCAAGGCCGGAUUUGGCAUAUGCAGUGGGCUACGUGAGCAGAUUCAUGGAGAAGCCCACUGUCGAACACUUGGCGACCAUGAAGCGCGUGCUGCGUUAUAUCACCGGCACCAUCAACUACGGCUGCUGCUACAAGAGGAAGAAGGAAGCUGCUCAUCUCGUCGGCUACAGCAACAGCGACCUCGCCGGCGAUCUCGACACCCGCAAGAGCACGUCUGGUGUCUUCUUCUUCCUCGAUGAGAACCUGAUCACUUGGCAGUCCCAAAAACAGAAGGUGGUGGCACUAUCGUCUUGUGAGGCGGAGUACAUAGCGGCCACGACGGCGGCCUGCCAAGGUGUGUGGCUAGCGCGCCUUCUUGCCGAGCUCCGGGGAGAGGAGGCAGACGCCGUCAUGCUGAAGAUUGACAACCAAUCCGCAAUCAUGCUCAGUAAGAAUCUUGUCUUCCACGAUCGCAGUAAACAUAUAGACACCCGAUACCAUUACAUCAGAAAAUGCAUCGAGGAGGGCAGGGUGAAGGUCGAGUUUAUCGGCACUGACGGGCAAUUGGCGGACAUGCUGAUGAAGGCUCUCGGACGAGACAGGUUCAUUGAGCUGCGUUCUCGAAUUGGCCUUGUCGAAGUACAAGCUCCAUGCAGGGCUUAAGGGGAGAUUUGUUAGAUAAUAAUUCUUGUAAUCCUUGUAUGUUAUUUUCUUUCGGUUAGUCUGUUUAGCUGGUCAUGGCGCAAGAAUAGCCUGCGCGUGGCCAAAGCAACGGGACGUGUGCGCUGCUGCGGAUCGUGGGGAUGGACGCGAGAAAUUCGCGGGAGUGAUGCGCUUCCUAGGGCGUAGCAUAUUGCAUGGUUGUUUUGCUACAAAUAAGAUAAGAAAACAGAAAAGAUAUAGGCAGAUUACGCAGCGCCAAAACUCUGCUCUCUCUCUCGUGUUGUCUGAUUACAGUACUCGCGUGUGUUCGUGUGUUGGUUCUUCCUCGCCCGCUCGCCGAUCGUUUGGGUAAAUCCUAACAGCAUCAAUGCUAAGAAGAUGAUAAAGUUCUCCUACACUGAUCUCCGUAAAGAAUACAAGUCAUGCUUCCUGUACCUAGCAAUCUUCCCUCCAGGUUACCCUGUCAGACGGUCAACCAUAGUAGGGCGCUGGGUUGUAGAAGGGCUGAUAACUAAGGAAGACUGGCCUAGUGCAGUGCAUCAUGCUGAACGAUGUUUUGAUACACUCAUUGAUAUGUGGCUUGUCUAUCCAAGUGAUAUUGGUGGUGCAGGAAAGGUAAAGAACGGCAUUGUAGGCGAUCUUGUUCAUGAGUUUAUUACCAGAAUUGCCAAGAAACAACACAUUGUGGAGGCACGUCUGUCACGUCAUUUGGCUCGCCAUUUCUCAAUUUUCAAUGACAUCCGACUCCGUGGCUCUGAUAGAAUAGACAAGUUCUUGAGAAAGCUCCCUGAAACAUCUCAAAUGUCAAUGCUUAAGGUGUUAGAUCUAGAAGGUUGUCAAUGCUUCCAGAGGAACCAGCACUACCUCAAGGACAUUUGCAACAAUAUUUUACUGCUCAAGUAUUUGAGCCUAAGGAGAACAGAUGUUACACAGCUACCUAGUGAAAUCAACAACCUCUAUGAGCUGGAGGUACUGGAUAUUUCGCAAACUGAGGUGCCUGAGUAUGCAACAAAACAUAUCCUGCUCCUUAAGCUAAAGCGUCUGCUGGCUGGCUGUAUUGAUUCAAACAGUUCAAGUAAUGCUAAAAACAACAUUUCAUUCAGGAAUCAGGCACCAUCAUCCUCCAGCGUCCAAAUUCCUCACAAGAUAAAAAAAAUGUCUAGCAUGGAGGUACUUUCCAAUGUCAAGGCUUCAUGGACUAGCAGAGAGUUGAAAGACAUUGGGAAGCUAUGGCAGCUGAGGAAGCUUGGUGUGGUUAUCGACGACAAGGACAGCAUACUCAAAAAUUUGCUUACAGCAAUCAGCGACCUAUGUGAGUGCCUCCGGUCUCUGUCUAUCACUAUUUUUCCCAGUACAAAAGGAGAGGGCACUCCAUCCAAUGGAGACUUACCACAGUAUAUUUCCCAUUGCCUGAAAUACCGUCCUAAGCUUCUUGAGAGCCUGUGCCUCCAGGGUACCACGCAAAAGGGCCAGCUUCUUAUAUUAUUUGUUGAACGUUUUACUAAGCUUGCCAAGGUAACUUUGAGUUGCACCUCAUUGAAACAGAAAAAUCUGGAGGGUCUCGGUGAUCUGCCCAACUUAUGCUAUGUUAGGUUGAGACACAAGGGAUACACAGAUGGCAAACUCACCUUCAAUGAGCACAAAUUCAAAAAUCUCAAGUACUUUCUUGUCGAGGGCAACAACAUGAGAGGCAUCAAAUUUCAGAAAGGAGCAGCUCCAAGGCUCGAGAAGAUUGUAUUGUCCUUCACUAACAUAGAGUCUCUUCAUGGGGUCGGGGACCUACCAAAACUGGAAGAGCUCGAAUUGAAGAGAAACAAGUUCCUUCUUUCAUUAUCUGAAGAGGGAGAAACUCUUGAGAAAUACAUGCUCACCUUCAAGAAGGAUGAAUUCCAACAUCUCAAGUACUUACUUGCUGAGGGCUUCAGCAAGAGCUUUGAGACAAACAUAACCUUUGAAGAUGGAGCAACUCCAAAGCUUGAGAAGAUCAUCUUGUACUCCUUCGCCAACAUAAUGUCUCAUCCUGGGGUCAGUAGCCUUCCAAAAUUUAAGGAGCUCGAGUUGAAGGGAAACAAGCCACUUCUUUCAUCAUUUGAAAAUGCCAAUAAAAUUUCCAAGGUGACUCUUCGCUCUACCUUGAUGCAGCAUGCUGACCUACAAAUCUUCGCUAAAAGACCAAGCAUAUGCUGUCUAAUUCUCUUGGGCAAUUCUUAUGAUGAUAGCCUGCUUACCUUCAACAAAGGUGAGUUUCCCAAGCUCGACCUUCUUAUUGUUGAGUGCCCUACCAUCACCGACAUCAGCUUCACCGAAGGAGCAGCUCCUAUGCUUGAGAAGAUCAUCUGGUCCUUCACCAAGAUGAAUUCUCUCUCAGGCAUCGACAAUCUCUCCAAACUGAAGGAGCUCGAGUUCAUUGGUGACCUUGUCCCUGACCAGGUGAAGAUAGAUAUUAACACACAUAGAAAGCAUCCUGUUCUUAACCACAAGCUGCCACAGCACCAAGACCAAGAAAAUGGAAGUGAACAAGGAGAAGAGGAGGAUCUAAAGUUUCCAGCAUGCUCCUGGUUGUCGUUGAAAAACAAGUAUUGGUCCGUUAACUGACGAAACAAAAUGUUUCCAUGCCAGCAUCCUCCAUCCUUCCAUCUAAUUAGUGAUCACUUGCAUGCUAGCAUGUGUUGUCCUUCUGCAAAUCUGUAAUACUUGUGUGUGUGUGUGUGUGUGUGUCUGUUUAUUCAUCAAUUAAUUCCUAGCUAGCUACCAGCUGCUAGCUAGCCGCAUGCAUGAUCUGUGCCAUCUGAUCAGUUCAAACAUGUAGCUGGAUAGCUUGGGCAUUGCAGCUGUGCCGACCGAUGCAGCUAGCCGCGCUCGUGUAUCGAGUUGGAUGUGUGGGUUUCAUCUGAAAUUAACCAUCUGAAGGUGUGCCUUGAGGUAAUCACUAAUCAGUGUGUGUGAUUUGAGCAUAUGGGUGUGCGUAUGCUCAUGGUGGAUUGGAUUUGUGCAUAUAUGUAUGUAAUGCAUCUCUGUCGAACCAUCAGUGUGGAGAAAAUUGCAUAUCUACCAUCGUAUAAAAUUGGCUUCGCUAGAAUACCAUCACUCAAAUGGGCUUCGCUGGAAUACCAUCUUCAACUGAGUGUAGUUUGAUACUUUGCCAUUUUCAUCACUUUUAGUAAAUGAAAAAGAUUUUGCUCUCUUUUUAGAUUUAUUGUGCCCAAAUUGCCCUCGGGCUUUUUUUUUCCUCCUCUCUCAAUUCAACCUUUUUUUCCUCCUCUCCAUGCUUGAGAGGUCGUCACCGGCGUGCCAAUCGCCGGCGGAGGCGAGGCGUCGAGGUGAGGUCGUCGUCGGUCGGUGAGUCGGGGUGGGCCGGCGGAGCUCGAGGCCGAGAUGACGCGAGCAACGGCGAUGCGGGAUGGCGGCCGAUACGAUGCCCCUGGGCCGAUACGAUGCGGGAUGGCUGUGCCCGCCGUACCGCCUCUCCCACAACUGCGCGCGUGGGGACGUCGUGCUCGCCGUGUGCAGGCUAGGACUCGCGCGGCUCGAGGACUACCGCGUGCUCCUCGACGCCGGUGGGUCCGAGCCACUCGCGGGCGGCCACGAGCACCGCGGGCUCCUCCGCGCCGCCGUGUGGCUGCUCGACCGAGAGGGCACCGCGAUCCGGCGGAUGGUGGCAGAGGUCGGGCUGGCGGGGUGCAGGCUCGUGUUCGUCGGCCACUCGCUCGGCGCGUGGGUCGGCGAGGAGAGGCGGCGCGGCGGCUAGCUCGGCACCGGUCGGCGACACUGGCGUCGCCGCUUCACCUCUUCUGAAGCGAAACAAGUUGAACUAGGGGCAUAACAGUCUACGAAAAUGUGUAAUCGCCGAAAAAUAAUUUUCAAAUGCAAGAAACCAUGAAAAUGGCAUUGCAGCGAAUACCCAUGGUUUGGGAGUGGUAUUCCAGCGAAGCCCAUUUGAGCGAUGGUAGUCUAGCGAAGCCAAUUUUAUGCGAUGGUAGAUAUGCAAUUUUCUCAUCAGUGUGUGGUUUAAUGUAAUAAUUGUGCGACAGCAUUUCGCUCUCGUUAAUUUGUUAGCUAAUUUGUGCUUUAAAUAAAUUUGUGCUCUGAUUGUGUUUCACGCAGGGAUUAAGCUAUCUGAAAGGGGGGAUUUUUUGGGGUAACAGAAAAACAAAAUUUCCGGUUUCUAUCUCAGAUUUCAAACCAAAUGUUCAAACUAAAUUUGAAGUUGAACCAAAAAAAAAUUACGCUCAGAUUCGAGGGGAAAGAGCCUAACCAAGGAAAUCAGCCAUGUGCGCCACCGGCGAGGACGCAUUGCCGCCGCCGCGGCGGAUGUGGAGGCGCUGCGCCACCAUUCACGCCGCCAGAAAGGGUCGGAUUGGCGCCGGCGACCGGCGUCAGCGGCGGAGGAGGAGGCAACCAUGGCCAUGCCCCCUCUCGCGCCACCGGAGGGGAGGCCAAUGCGCCCCCAUGUGCGCUGCCGUGGACAGCAGGGGACGACGGCGAGGCCACCGCCGGGGAGGUCGCCACCAUGCCUUUCAUCGCGCUAUUUGGGAGAAGGGUUCGAGCAGCAUAUCAACAGCAAACCACAUGUUCACCUCCAAAAAUAAUCUUUCGAAAACAAAAAAAAACAAAAGACAUCCAGUUUCACUCUUGAAUGGAAUAUAUUGUAUAAAUCGUGGCAAAAUUUUCAGCACCAUUUCUUGCUAAAUUACAGAGGCUAUAUACAGCCACGCUAUGUACACAUCAGGUAACUGUCAUGCCCCAAACUAGCCCCGAACGGCGGCCAGAGUAAGGCGAUUCAAAUUAACCUGUAUGCCUGUACCAGUCCCAGAAAACAGAGCUGGUACAACAGGAAGAUAGAAUAUCACGACAACAGCGGUCUCUUUAUUAAGAGUAGAAUUACAAUCAAGGUUGGAACUGCGGACAGACCCCGAGUUCACAACAACAUUACAAAAGGCGGAAGCGGAAAGCGGAGACUAGCCUUAAGCCACAAGAAAAGCCUUGGGGAAAGGCCGAAACCCUACUACAGCUCGAAGUCUGCUUGCUCCUGGAAGAACUCUUCUUCAGCAGGGUCCACCUCCUCGUCUUCAAGAACUGGGGGGGUUAUUUAUAUAGAGCAAGGGUGAGUACGGAAGUACUCAGCAAGUCAAGGGAAUUAAGUGUUUGAUGCAAGCUUCGAAGGAGAGCCAGUUAUUUUUCGCGUUCGAUUUUAGUUUGAGACUUUCAGAAACCACUAAGUGAGUGCUUCUCAACGACACGGACGAGAGAGUGCGUCUCAUCCGGUCGGAGCAGUGAAAUUGCAUAGAUUGAUUCUUGCCGGCACGAGAGGCUCCCUGCCAAUCGUUCACCAACACCGGCUGUACCAACAGCCACACGCGAGAGGCUCCCUGCCAAUCGCUCACCAACACCGGCUGUACCAACAGCCACACGCGAGAGGCUCCCUGCCAAUCGCUCACCAACACCGGCUGUACCAACAGCCACACGCCAAACACUGAACAGCGAUCUCACACCAACAGCAGUUCACCAAGUAAUUAGUAAAACUACGCUAAGGAAUCACCUCACAUCCGCCCAUGACCGUGGGCACGGCUGUUUGAACAGUUAAUAACCUCUGCAGAGGGGGUACACUUUACCCACAAGACGUUACUAACCCGGGUCACCCAGCCCGUGCAGAACAGCCACGACUGGUGACCUUGAGGCUUUCACGACAAGGCAUUUCGAAAGCCAACUCAGGGUCAUCUUAUGCCAACGGGAGGGGUCCCACGGACAAACACCAGGUUAGGUCCCAGACCAAAUUGUGCCAGGAAGCCCAGGGGUCCUCCCCGACACUACCCCGGCAAAUCCACUUGUCCCUUGGCAUCAAGAUUUCUCUGGCCUAGCUAGUUACUCAGCCAGGGGUGUCCCAUAUCACCCAUGUGGUCGUACUUGACAUAUGCUCGGAUGUAAUUCCCAAGGAAUCGGUUCUUAGAGCGAGAAUGGGAAGACCGCACCUCCAGCACGUCUCCCGCACCGCGAGUUUUGGAAACUCACUUAAAUUUUCAAGGCACCGACCCAAGUGUCGGGUUUUCCAACCAUUUUGUAAACUCCAGUUUUACCCAGUUGAUCACUUUUAAAUUUGAGGGGAGCCUCGGUAUUCGUGUUCAAUAAUCAAAGAAGGUAAAUGCAGCAAUUGGGUAAGGCCUGCCAGCUAUAUUGCAAACCGAGGCCAAGUGUCCAGUGUACUCCUAGGAAGGCAUAGUUGCAGAAUCAAAAUACUUAAUUUCAAAAUUAUAGGUUCAAUUGAUCAAAGGUGACUUGCCUUGCUCGAGAUCUUGAGCUUCUUCUUCAAAAUCCGCGCACUGCGGGUCUUCAGGCUCUGAAACUACACGCGAAACGAGGUGACUCAAAACAACGAUAAAAAGAAGCCCUAUUAAGGACCACUAAGCGUGCCAUUGGAUAGAUCUCGAUUUCUGAGGAAUUUUGGAAGUUAAACGAAGUCAAUCGGACGAACGGUUGAGAAGAUAUGAAUUUUCGAAGAUUAAAUGAUUUUCUGUCUAAAGGAAAAGGAAUUAUUAAUUCCCUUGAAAAAGAAAAAGAAGGGAGGGACGUGAAUUGGACUUUUUUUUGGGCGGCUAGGCGUGGCCCAACGGAUUAACGUGGGGCGACCGAACUAAUGGGCCGGCGCGCGAAGGAAUGGCCCAAGGCCGAGCGAGGGAGGCCGAUGGGCCGAGCGGCCGAUGGGUGGGGAGGCCGAUGGGCCGAGCGGCCGAAGGCCGAGGCCGAUCGGGGGAGGGAGGCCGAUGGGCCGGAGGAAGGCGGCCGAGUGGGCCUAAGCAAGCCGCGGCCCAUGUGGACGGCUGGAUCGGUGGACCGUGGUCCACCGAGCGGGUGCUAGGGCGAGACCCGCCCGGCAGUAACCCGGUGCGCGUGAACCGGGCGCACGAAAGAGGCGAGGCCGUCGGCGCUCGCGUGGGGCCUAUGUGGCUGCCACGGAGGCCGGUGGGGAGGAGAAAGGGGAGAGAGGGACGAGCCCGCCCGGGAGCGGACGGCUCUCGGCGGCGCUACGGCGAGCGGCUUAUCCUGGCGAACGGCGGCGAGAAGGAGGGGAAUGCGGGCACCGGUGGCUAGAGGAGGAGGAGGGGAAGCGAGCCAAUGGCUCGGAUCGGACCGCAGGGGCGUGAUGGCGGCCGGCGACAGCGCGAGGCGGCGGCGGCAACGGCGGCGCAGGGAGGGGGCAGAGGAGAGGGCAGCGUCCACGGCAGCGCGGGGAGACGGGUUCUUCGGAGCUACCGGGUGCCUAAGCCGAGGAGAAAGGGGAGACGGGGGGAGAAGGAGGUUACCGCGGAGGAGGGGGAGCUCGCCGGGGAAGGCCGACGGCGUGGGGAGUGGUAUCGGCGUGGCUCCGGGCCGAGGGAGAGGAGGAGGAGGCGGGGCCGGGGUCCUCUCCUCGCGUCCUUGGCUGCAGCGGCGGAUGGCAAGAGCGGAGGUGGCACGGCGCGGCGGGUUGGAGGGGAUGGAGCUCGGCGGCGGACGGCAAUGGCGGCCGAGGGGGAGGGUUUAAAAAGAAAAGGCGAGGUCGGUACGAGCGGAGGCGGUUCACAGAGAGGGGCAGAGGUGGUGGAGAGCGGGGGAGGGGGGCCGGCGCGCUAGCGGCCGAGCGGCGGCAGCACGGUGACGUCGGCCGGUCAGGGGAAAGGAGAAAAAGGGGAGGGGAAAGGGGCGCGGCCCUCUUGCCGAUUCGGGCAGGGUGCGCAGGGAGAGAAAGGAGGGCGCGCGCUCUCCCUUCCUUGGCGGCACGCGUGCAGGGCGGCGGGGCUGGGAGCGGCGGACGCUGGCGAAACGGGAUGGAGGGAGAGAGAGAGAGGAAGAAAUGGCGACGGAGAACGACGCGGGGAAGAGAGAGAGAGCGCCCGCUCUCUCGAGCGGGCGUGCGGAGCACGUGCACGGCGCGCCCCGCACUCGGGCCACGCGGACCGGGCCGAGCUGCGCGGCCCAGCGGGAGGAAGGAGGCCAAGCGAGCAGCUGGGCCGUGCGGCGGCCCGAGAGGGAGGAGAAGAAGGGACAGCAGGCCGAAGGAGAGGGGAGAGGGGACUGGGCCGGGAGCGGCCCGGGAGAAAAAAGGGGCCGGUGAGAAAGGAGGGGGCGACUAGGCCAGACGGCGGCCCGAGAAGGAAGAAAGGGGGAGGGAAGUAGGCCGAGAGGGAAACGGCCCGAGGAGGAGGGGGGUAAAGCAGACUUUCUCUGAAAAUUUGGAUUGGAAGGAUUAGGGUUCGGAUUUGAAUUCCGAUUUCGCGAUUUUCUCCGGGAUUGAGACAAGAAGGGAAACACGAGAUCCAGGCACACAACAAGACUCAACUGAAGAACAAAAUUUUCGCAAAUAGAGUUUUUAGAAAUUAUUUUUCCCGCUAACGCCACGACAAAACGGGCGUUACAGUAACUACCCUGCCACUAGCGAAGAAACGAUUUUUAACACCGGCUGAAAACCCUCUUUAGUACCGGUUAUAGAACCGUGAUUAGCAAAUCAGGACUAAAGAUCUCGAUCUUUAGUAGAUCUUUAGUUAACCGUGAUUAGCAAAUUGGGACUGAAGAUCUCAAUCUUUAGUAGAUCUUUAGUACCGUAAAGAUCAAAAAAGAUGUAUACGAUAUGGGAUUCAAACUCAAAAUAUCUCCCCUCAACCCUCACACACAUUACCAUCCCACCUACCACACAUACAUCUGACUUGAAUAAAGAUGUUUUCUUUUUGAAUUAACCCUGGAGACAUUUUUAGUCCCGGUUGGUAACACCAACCUGGACUAAAAAUCCUCAAUCUUUAGUCUCGGUUGGUGUUACCAACCGGGACUAAAAAUGUUUCGAGGGACUUAGACUUUUAGAACCGGUACUAAAGCAUCUUUAGCACCGGUUCGUUAAACACCCGAGAUAUUUGUUAUUUUUGCCGAUCGAGCAAAGAUCAGUUGUCCAGUAGAGUACAUAACACAUCAAGCAUGUACUAGCUACCAAGAACACUGCUACCUUGGAUUAAUUUACAGAAGUUGUGCUCAUUGAUUGUUCUGCUACCUCAGAUUUACAACAAAUGUGUUUACAUGAUCAUUGCUGCAUCAUCUAGUGUUGUAGUUUUCUAGUUCUCAUUUCCCUGGAGUAAUGUCACUCCUUUGUUAAAAUUUUCUACUUCUCAUUUCCCUACAGUAAUGGCACACACCUUUCAGUUGGAGUGCUGGGGAUGAAUUGGAUGAACCCUCGGCCGCAAACACCGGCCUCACAAAGGCGUUGUUGAACUUGUGCCAGUAAUGGUUGGAGGGAAGUGGCCCACUGUGCUCUCCACAUAAACUGACUGACCAUUCAUGUUACAUCCCAAUCUGGCACCAUCGUAUAACGGCACCUGAUAGGAGCGUGUCGUAGGAAAACAACGUGAACCGCUUCCUAUGAAACUGCGAUAUUGGUAUCAGUCCCAGGACAUAGCGCUGGUACCCACGGUGACAAUUAUGAUUCAUUGCAAUCCUUAAAAUUAAAUAGAGGACUUAUUUACCUUGACUUAGGUUGCAACUCUCGAGAGAAGCUCGAGAACGCAACAGACGACGUAGAAGCAGCAACAGCAGAAGCAGAGGCAGCGAAAACCAACGAACUGACACCCAACACCAUAGGCAACACUGGGAACCAGGACGAAACCCUAAUCUUCACUUCACUUCGACUUCACCUUCAGAGCUGACAGGCUAUAUAGAGCAAGGGUAAGUACUUCCGUACUCAGCAAGCCAGGGGAAUUUAGGUGGUUAAGGCAAGCUGCAAGGGAAGGCUGUUUAUUUUGCAAUCGGUUUUGUUUUCAAAUUUUGAACAAUCUAAGUAUGUGCUUUCCCGCAAUCAGAGCGAGACAAGUCUCAGCUUGGUCCGGAAGUGAGAAGUAACAAAUUUUAUUUUCAAGUUUGCACAACUCCCAGAGUUGGCCUCAAAGCUGGUAUCCCAAACCAAACCAAUUUUCCAACCUUUCAGAUAAAUGCGGUCCCCAAACAACCAAUUACUUCCAGGGACUCCGUGUCCCACUGUCUCCCUGACAGCCACUUGCUUCCCAAGCAUCAGGUUUUCCAAACCAGAUCACCUCAUAUCCACCCAUGACCAUGGGCAUAGUUGUUCAAACAGUUUGUUAACCUCUGCAGAGGGGGUACACUUUACCCACACGACGUUACUAACCCGGGUCACACAACCCGUGCAGCGCAACCACGUCUGGUGACUUCGAGGUUUUCAUGACAAGACAUUUCAAAAGCCGACUCAGGGUCACCUUAUGCCAAUGGGAGGAGUCUCACAGACCAACACCAGGUUAGGUCCCAGAUCAUACUGUGCCUAGAAGCCCAGGGGUCCUCCCCGACACCACCCCAACGAAUCCACUUGUCUCUUAGCAUCAAAAUUUCCCUGGCCUAGCUAAUUACUCAGCUAGGGGUGUCCCAUUCACCUAUGUGGUCGCACUUGCUAUAUGCUCGGAUGUAAUUCCCAAGGAAUUGGUCCUUAAAAGCGACCACACAAGCAUUUUUCUUUCAUAAGGCACCGACCCAGGCGUCGGGUUUUCCAAAGCUUUCAUAAAUCAGGUUUUACCCAAAAUAUUCUUAGAUUUUAAGUUUGAAGGCGACCUUCGAUAUUCGCACAAGAUGCAUGAAUACCGAGGUGCCACACAAGUUGUUACACGAGAACAUGAGAUAACAAUUAAGAAAGGAAGGAUCAAAUGCAACAAGUUAGGUAGGCCCACCGAUCUGCCUUGCAGAUGAGGCAAACAGUUCCAGUGCAAUCCUAACAAUGCAUAAAUAUUUUGCAAGAAACAUAAUCAAGUUCAAAUAUAGGCUCAAUAUUUUCAAAGGUGACUUGCCUUGCUCAAGGUCUUGAGAUUCAUGAAUCUUCCAGAAAUCCACGCUUGGACGAAAAUCCGAGAAUCGCAACUAGGCGCAAACAAACAAAACCCAAACAAAGGACCAAAGAAAAGCUCCUAUUUAUACUAAUUAAUAGUGCCAUUAGAUAGAUCACAAUUUUACGGAAUUACUGGAACUGGAACGGGGUCAAACGGAGGUACGGAACAAGAGAUAUGAAUUUUGAAAGAUUUAGUUGAAUUUUCUGGAAUAACGGGAAAGAUUUAUUGAAUUUAUAGAAAAGAAUAUUCUCACAAUCACUGACAUGCGGGGUCCACAUGUCAAUGGGCUAGAGGCCGGGGGGCACCAUGGACUUGGUCCAUGGACAACUAGCGCGGGUGAGGGAGUGAAAGAGGACUCUGUUCACGGGCCUCAACAGAAAUAGCCACAGAUUAAGAGGGGGAUGGGAAGUAGACUUUGGCCCAAUGGUCCAAGAGAGUGAGCCAUGGCCCAAUCGGCCAGUGCGAGGGCGCAGCCGAGCUGGGAGCAGGGAGUUGGGGCGAUGCACGCAGGCAAGGGAGGCAUGGGCCGACGCGGCUACAUGGCCCAGCGGGAUAGCGUGUGCGCGUGAGCGAGGGCGAAGUGGAGCGGCCGACGAGGGCAAUGAGACGGUUGACCGGUUGUGUGCGGGUCCCACCAGGCCGAGCUGGCGCCGACGUGGUAGCCAUGCUGGCAGAGGCGAGAGGGGAGAGGGUCGGACCGAAGAUCGAACGGCCCACGGCGAUGCAACAGCGCCGGCGAACAGCAGUGAACCAAAGGUAGCGACUGGCUCGUGCGGCUAGAGGAGACCAAGGAUAGUUGAUUCAACGGCUCAGAUUUACUGGGAGAGGAAUGACGGCGACCGAAGGCGGUGGCAGAGCUCACCAGAGCGGGUCGCGUGACGGCGCUAUGCGGUGGUGAAAAAAGGCAGCGCGGCACAGAGACAACACAAAGGGGAAACGACCUCGGCGGCUCUCUAGGAUGCUUCAAUUUGAUGGGUGGCCACGCAUGGAAUCAAUACUACUGCUGAUAGUCUCAACCGGAAUUGGGGCUGAUUGGAGAUCAGAAGCGGUGAUGUUGCUAGCGACUGCCAUAGGUUGACGAACAGGUUGGAGGGGUGUCCUUUGAUCUUCCUUGGUCUUAGCUGGGACCACAUUCAAUUGGCAGUUCUUAGGCACAUGAUCUGUUCCCUCGCACAAGAAACAUGUGAUGUUCCUCGUAGGGCAUUCAUCUGGCGGGUGGGUGUCUUCACCACAGGGGCAAGUGUAAGAGCAUGUGUGAGUAGUAUGUCCAAUUUCUCCGCAUCUGGUACAUGCUUUGAACUUUAUUUCUUUUUCACCUUUAAGGAUCUCACCAUCAUCUUCAUCGUCAUCAUCAGAGGACACUUCUUCGAAUCCAUCCUUAUCGGGCUUAGGCGGACCAUACAGCCUAAGUUGUUGAGUUAGCUGAUGGGCACCAUGGGAGGUGUUUCCUCUCAGACGCCUAGGUAUCUCUGCCGCAUCUUCUGGAGUAAAUUCGGAACCAGUGAUGGUUAGGUUCCUACCAUCGUCCAUCUUCCAUACUAAUGUCUUCCUCUUCUUAGAGUUUGAUGGUGGCGUACCAUAGUUUCUGUAGGUAAGUUGACUUGGACGUUUCUCUUCUCUUGGGCAUUGUGCCUUACCGUCAGUUGGUGUCCUGGUAUACACGUUCCAGGGACAAUUUGUCGCACGAUGACCUUGUUCCUCACAAUCCUCACAGAUAACAUUUGCUUCUUUCCGGUAUGAGAGUGAUGGAGAUGCAUUCGUCUGGUGGGAUCUUAGCAGUAUAUCGGUAGGAGGCGUAGGUGCUUGUAUUGGAACACACUGACUUUGGCUCUGAUUCAGACUCUGGGCUUGUAUCUGAGCUUGCAUCUGUUGUUGCUGAUACUAUCGUUGCAUCUGUUGCAUUAUCAUAGCCAGUAUUUGCGUCUGGUUAGCCACCACUUGUGCUAGGGUUGGGUCCCCGAAUGGUGGAGGCGAAAUGUCCACGGGGUUGCUUGGGAUUACUCCAUGAAACUGUUACGAUCCUGAUCCACUGCCAUUGUCCCUGACGUUGACCAUCUGUUGCAGGUAGAGGAGGAAAAUGAGAUUGGUUGAACUAAAGGCCAGACCUUAACCCACUUAGCUACUGAUCUGAUGUGAGUACACUCUUACUGUUCAAGUUGAUUAGGCAGACAACCUACUAUGGUCACAUCCCCACCACUGAUGUAAACCAUACACCUGCACACAGCAAACAACACACGAUCUAACGACUACCGAUACUACUCUUCUGGGAAGGAUUGGGUUUAGGUAAGCCCUAGAAAAACUUCGCUCGAACCUCAAGAACGCUGACUCUGGACUGCUCAUCUUGAUCCUUGCUUGAAGCUUGGCUCUUAGCUUGUCCUUUAUGGGGUUUUCAGUUUGUGCUCCGGGCUUUAGAAGCUAGAGAGCUGGAGGGGAAAGAACAGAAAUUUGAUAAACUGUUUUGCAAAGACUCCUGAGGGAGGGAAGAGACAUUUUCGCAGAUAAGGUUUUCGCAAAACUUGUCCUUAGGGGUUUGACCGUUUGGCUUGACCUACAGUCAAGAUGGCUCUGAUACCAACUUGUCAGGCUCGGAAAUUUUCCCAAAUUUCCAGACCAUAUUGUGUAUUAAGUCCCUGUCCAGGCAUCAACCAGGGUACACAAAACGACAAAUCAAUAAACAGACCCAUAUGUAAAUAAAGUGAUAAAUACAUAUGGGAGAGGCACUUAGUCCUCACACCGAAAAGAAAACAGUAGUGGAAAGAGGCGAUCCUAGCGGGGCUUCAGCUACACUCCACAGGCAAACUCAACUGGGGUCUGAGCCUUGGUCCUCUAACUUCAACUUCAACUCAGAAGUACUAAACUUCUGAAAAGGGGGAAAAAUAGCAAGAUUGAGUACAACCACCGUACUCAACAAGCCACACCAAAGAUGCAAACGUGCAAAGGGGAGACAGAGGGAGGCUUGUGGCUUUUUGCAGAAAAGCGGUUGCAAAUCUUUAUGUUUUAAAACAGUAAACAGUUGUUUAAUUAUGAUAGGAUUAAAUCUCCACUAGACAAUGCUACAACCACGUUGCACAGGCCCAACCAUUCCACCUAAACUACAACAGUUUAUUAAGUCAAAUUAAUUAAGCAUGUGGGACUAAUCACGGUGAAUCUGGUUGAUCGCCCAUAACCGCGGGCACGGCUAUUUGAAUAGUUUUACUCUGAUCAGAGAUGCGCAACUGUACCCACAAGACACGAUUCCACACAUGUUACCAUGCCCCGAAGUAUCACCACGAUACUGCAAAGGGGGAAAUCGUGACAAGACCUUUCGCAUAACUCCUCCUAACCAAGCGCACCAGACCGUAGGUUUCGCCCCCGCUCCUUUACCAGCAGCGGGCAGCCCCCCCUUGUGCCAUGGUGAAUCCGGCAGCCGAUCAACCGGUAUAUCCCCAGCUGACCCAACUCCAUCACGCACACCCUUGCCGGGGAGCGUCAGCUAGGAAAGAGCUAUGUUACAAAUCCAGCAGUUGCCCAUUCUUGCUUGUGGUAAGCACUGUUAUUCUUCCAGGGUUUCCCAUGAACCGGUCCUUAAUUGCCAUGGGUGCGACCAGCAAAACCAUGCACCCACAGCCCACCAUUAAGUCAUAUUUUAGUUGGAUAAUUACGACCAAUAAAACAUGGUCGGGUGUCUCGAGCGAACAGCUCGUUAGAGGCUAAGGUGAACAGUGUAAUUGUUCCAUUAAAUGAGCUAGUGGUAAUUAAGCAUAGCUAAGCAUAUAUAAUUCUAGCAAAGUCAACAUAAGUGACUUACGCUAGUCAAAUUAUCACCCACAGUUAACAAAGGACGGUUUAACAAGUAAACAUAGCACAAGCGGAUGGAUAGGUAAACCCUAUUCCCAUGUAAUUAGCAAAACAUGCACUUUAUUUGCAAACGUAAAACAUUUCGUAAAAUAGGUACAACAUGCUCAAGAGGGAAAUGUGUGACUUGCCUUGCUUCUCCAAACAAUCUUCCGGACCUCUUUCCUCGCGAGCGCGAACUUCGAAACGGCGGAAUCUACACGCUGACACGCACAAAGAGGAAAAACUCUAAUAAAAACCAAAUAAACAGUACAUAAAAAGUAAACAAACAUGUAGAUCUCAAUUUUAGAUGAAUGUUGCAAGUUGAAUGGCUCAAUUUGGAGUUCGUAUGAAUUAGAUAUGAAUUUUAGAAGUUUUGAGCCAUUUAAAUGAAUUUCUAGAAAUUAAAUCGAUUUAUUGCGCAAUUAUUAAUUAAUUUUAUGAAGGAAAGGACUACGCUGACAUCAUCAAAGGGAAUCGGCGCCGGAACGGUGGGUCCCACGUGUCAAUGGGUCAAGGGGCGGCUGAUCCACGGUGGACCAAGUCCACGCACGCACAGGUGCGGACGCACCACGUGGCACUGACGUGGCGGCCACAGCGGAUGGACGGCAGAAGGUAGCGCCGACGUGGACGCCAACGCGGCGAAGCAGCGGGCGGCCACGUGGUCUGGGCGUGGACCGGAUUAAACAAAAGGGGGCCCACGCGUCGGCGACACGAGCAUCGGCGAACCGAAGAGAAAAAGGAGGUGAAAAGGACUUUGCAGGGGAAAGGGGAAAAAUUGGGUUGAGAGGGAGGUAAACUAGACUUGUGCAAAAAGGGAAAUGGAAAUGAGCCAAGGGAGGUAAUUUGGACUUGGGAAGAGGCCGAGGAGGUGAACUGGACUUCCUCGGGAAAAGAUAAUGGGCCGAUGGUCCAACGAGGAAAUGGACGAGGGACGUGAAAUGGACUUCUCGCGAUGGGCGGCGCCAAUCGGGCCGGUGACCCAAAAGGAGGAGGGACGCAAAAUAGACUUUCGCCAGGAGUAAGGUCAAUGGGCCCAACGGCUGCUGGGCCGGAGGGAGUGGUGGGCUGUCCCGGGUGCGGCCUCUACGGCCGAGGCGGGCGGCUAGGGUUCGACCGAACCCUGUGCGGGAUGCGGCGGAAGGAGGAGGGGAAGAGAGGGGGAACGGGGUGCUCAGCGAGGGCGCGGUGACACGGAAGCGUCGGUGGCGGCCGGGAAAGAGUGUCGGCGGCGACGCCUCGGGACGGCGGUGUGCGGCGGCGGCGCACGGGGCAGGGCGGCGCUCCAAGGCGGCGGCUCGAGGCGGCGCUAGGGUUUGGGAGAAGGCGGCGCAAGGGGGAAACGAGAGAGGCGGUGGCGCUUGGGGAAAAUAAAUAGGGGGGCCGAUUAGGGUUGACCGCGCGGGCGGAAAACCCGCCGGAAAACGCGGCGGCGCGGGCACGGCGGUCAUCGGAAAUGGCGCGGUUGACCCGGCGGAGGUUGAAGAAGGGAGUAUAUCCAGACUUCGCGUGGGCUGGGCCGGAAAGGGGGAGAGGGGAGCCGAACGGGCCAAGGCGGCCUUGGGCCGAGGGAGAGAGGAAGGAGGGAGGGACAUGGCCCGUGGGCCGCGCGGGAGGGAGAGGGGAGAAGGCCGCGUGGGUCGCAGGAGAGAGAGAGAGAAUUUUGGGCCGAAAAUGGCCUAAAACAAAAGGGACCCUUUUUAAUUUGUUUUUCAAUUAAUUUAAUCAAUUAAAUGAACUUUGUGACUUUAAAAUUAUUUCUUUAGCUCCAAAAAUUCACGAAAAAUUUUGGAGAGUACUUUAGGCCACAGGGAAUAUUACAAAAAUAUUUCCGGCCAUAAUUUUUAAAGGAAAAUUUUGAUUUCCUUGCUAAUUUCACUUGUUUAAAUUGCUUUUAAUUUCUAUUUAAUUUCUGGAAAAUGUAUUAUUAGGCAAUUUUUACUCCCGAUCGAAAAUCGAGACGUGACAGUGGCACUGGACGGAAUCGUGGAGAGGCUGUCGCGACGGUGGGGGUGGCACGACGCCAAGACGGCGCGCCGGAGACAAAGGUGAUGGCACACGGGAUGGAUCAUGGUCACCAGCACCGAGGUUGAUGAGUGGCGAUGACUGGUUGCGAGGAAGAAGGCGGCAGGGCUUCGCCUCUUUGAAGCACGAAGCAAGAGGAGGAGAAAGAAGUCCCCGGGUCGUAUUUAUAGGCGAGGAGGGCGCACGCGAGCUUUUGCUCGGCUGGCGAUGGUGGACGGUGUCGGCGUUUUCGCGAGCGGCGCAAAAACGGGCGACAGCGCGGAUGUGAGGGACGGUGGGGGUCGGUGGAUCAAGCAGCCGAAAUUGAACGUGGGAGGCGGGAGGAGUAGCGCGGCAAGCUGGCGCUUGGUCAAGGUGGGGCGCUGGGUGGCAAAGGCGGCGUCAGCAGCUUUGUGUCCACGGCGCAAGAAGCCAAGCGACGACAGGGAAAGGGUGCUCCGCUGGAAGAAGAACAAGGAAAAAGGUGAAGGAUAAAGGGAGCUCGGUCCUUGCCGCUUUGGAAGGAAGGAGAGGCACGGACACGGGAAACGGCGAGCGGCACAACCAAAAUCAAAUGGCGGCGGCGCAGUUGUUUUGGCGAGAGAAAAAGAGAGAGAAAAGUGAGCGUGCGGCGGCGUGAGGGAGGAGGCGCUCCUGCUCUUGGCACAUGUGGUGCACGUGGCUGGGGAGAUGGACCGGAGCGGACUAGGCUGGGGACAGCGCGGCUUGAUGGAGAAGGAGAGCGGCGCGAGGGAGAUGGGCGGGCGGGGUGAUGGGUCGAGGACGACGCGGUUUGAUUGGGCCGAGAGAGUGAAGGCGAGCCAGGCGGGAAAAAGGAGGAAUAGAGGGAAUGGGCUAGCCGAGGAGAGAACGGCGGCCCAAGAGGAAGGAGAUGAUAUAGACUUUUGCUGAAAGUUUUCUUUAAGGAAUUUGAGGGGUAAUUGAAGUGGGAUUUGAAUUUAAAUUUCAUAUUUGAACUCAGGAGGAAUAGGGAGGAUUGACAUCUUGGAGUUGGAACGAAUAUCUGGGAAGGGAUUCAAAGGGGAGAUGAAAAAGGGGACCUUGGGAAGGUGGGUUCAAUGGUGGAGCAAUAUUCGAAUUGGAUCAAAUAUUCGGAUAGGUUUCAAAGGGAAAAUAAUAUUCGAGAAGGAAUUUAAGAUAGAUAAAUAGAUAGAUAGAUAGAGAGUGAGAGAGAGAAAGAUGAAACUUAAGAGUUUGGAUUCAAACUCGAGAAUUGAUUUUAGAGAUGUUUAUUUUGUAGCAAGGAUUUGAAGAUGACUUGAACAUCGGUUCAAAUAUUCGGAGAGAUUAUUGAACUUGGAUGAUUUUGGAAAAAAUGUCAAAUGAGAUUUAAGAGAGAAAUUCAAUUGCAGAGAUUCGAAUUCGAGAAUCAUUUUUAGUGAACCAAGGGAAGAGUUUAGGAUUUACGAGGUUGAUGCUUGGACUAUAUUGAAUUCAAGGAUAUUCAACGGAACUUGCAGUUCAAGUUUCAGGAGCGAAAUCCGAAUACAAAGGUUCGAAAUUCGAGACUAGUUUUGAAUGAAAACUUUGAGAGGUCGGGUUAGAAGUUCGGAUUUGUCAAAUUUGAGAUUUGCAAUCAUGGAACAUUCGCAAGUACAAAUCGGGAAUGAUUUGAGCGUGGACUCAAAUAUGAAUUGGAAUUAUUUGAAGGGAGAUUUCUUGAUAGAGGUUUAGGAAGGAGAUUUUCAUACGAAGAUUCAAAUUCUCAAAUUAUUUUGGAACGAAAAAUUUAAGGAGGCAAUUUUGACAACAGGGAAUGGAGACAAAAGAGGGAUUUAAAUUGAGAUCUACGGCACAAGUUAGACUCGACACUCAAAGAACAAAAUUUUCACAUAUAGGAUUAUCUUAAAUUAACUUUUUAACGCCACACGAAAAUCGGGGUGUUACAAUUCAAUUCACAAACCAAACUUACCUUACCAAACUUAAAACUCAAAUCAAAUUAUGGUAAGGACUUCAAACAAAACUCAACACUCAAAAUUGGACAUGCCAAAAUUUAGUUGGGUUGGUUUGGGCAACAACCAAACAAGCCCUUUGUCCAUGGGUUUGGUUGCUUGGUUGUUCCUUUACUUGCAUGCAUGGUGUGAGAGGAUGGAGAGAUAGGCGGAGAUAUAUAGUAAUAAAGAGAAUAAAAGAAAAGGAGGUGUCGAAAACAUUUUGAUCCCUUCAGGUUCAUCCGAUGCAUCACAUUCAAAUAGUUAUGAACAAAAAACUAUUUGACAACAUUCAUAUAGCGCCGUACAUAUACCAUAGCACGUACAUAUACCAUACCACAAGAUUUCAAGUAACAAAUAAACUCACAUGUCAGACAAAAAAUAUGCAAAUCUAGUAUAUAACAGUAGUUGUACUUUUCAGACUCAAAUUAGUACAUUUAUUUAUUACAUGCCUCCCUUGUAUUCAUGAUUUUCUGAUACCUCCCAAAUAAGACAGUACAAAAAAAUCAUCAUGCAUAUGUACGUCAUGUUCAUUAGUCAUAGUAUAGCAAAAUUCUGCAUCAAAUUAAAUCCUAUAUAUGUGGAUUAUCAUAAUUUGUCCUAGAUUAAUAUUUUAAUAUGAUAGUCCAGCGACAGAACAUGACCUAGACAAAAUUUUAUUAUAGUAGACCUUUCUUAUGGUUCUUGAGGUAAAGACCAUCACAAGUUUUAAUGUUAGUUUAUCGUAUCUUUUAUAGAUAUCUCCUCCGAACAAUAAAAAGCUAUAAUUAAAUCUUAAUUUCCAAGGAGUUAUUGUCACGCCCCAAACUUGCCCCGGACAGAAACCAGAUUGAGAUGAUCCAAAUUAACCUGUAAACCUGUACCAGUCCCAGGAAAUAGUGCUGGUACAACUGGAAGAAUGAAUAUCACAGCGUCAGAGGUCUUUUUAUUAAGAGUAGAGAUACAGUCAUUGUUGGAACCUCGGACAGACCCUGAGUUCGCAACUACAUUACAAAAAGGCAGAAGCAGAAACUAGCCCAAAACCACAAGCAUGACUUGGGAACUAAGCCGAAACCCUACUACAGCUCGAAGUCUGCUUGCUCCUGGAAAAACUCCUCAUCAGCUGGAUCCAUCUCCUGUUCUUUGAGUACUGGGGGAGGGGUUAUUUAUAUAGAAAAAGGGUGAGUACGAGGGUACUCAUAAAGCCAGGGGAACUUAUGUAUUAAAUGCAAGUUUCAAAGGAAGGCUGGUUAUUUUGGCAUUCAGUGAGUGCUUCUCAAUGACACGAAUGAGAAAGUGCGUCUCAUCCGGCCGGAGUAGUGAAAUAUAUUUGUUGCUUUCAUCUGCAUGAGUGUAACGUCCCGCCUCCACGAGGCCGGGCCCGCUUACAUCUAGCAGCUUACAUAGGACAUAAACUGCCCUCACAAACCAACACCACCCAUCCCUAGAUUUCUCCAGGCCAAGCACGCUUAACUUUAGAGUUCUUUGGAGAUGGGCUUCCAGAAAAGAAGUUGCAACUUGUUAACAUGAGUAUCCUAUCAAUCUUAUUAUGCCUUGGGCCGGGGUGUUACAUACUCACCCCCUUAAGAGAUCGACGUCCUCGUCGAUCAACCCCAAGCCAGGAACUCCCUCUCUUGGCCACGUCAGUGUGUCCAGUGCCAGCGCAUGUGCCAUGCUGUGUGACCACACCGGGUCCACACCAGCCAUGCGCACCAUGCCUGCGCAACUGCGACACACGCGCCCGUGAAACCGCGAGAGUCGGCUCUGAUACCAUACUGUAACGUCCUGCCUCCACGAGGCCGGGCCCGCUUACAUCUAGCAGCUUACAUAGGACAUAGACUGCCCUCACAAACCAACACCAGUCUUUUCUGCGCACUUCCCUAGAUUUCUCCAGGCCAGACACGCUUAACUUUAGAGUUCUUUGGAGAUGGGCUUCCGGAAAAGAAGUUGCAACUUGUUAGCAUGAGUAUCCUAUCAAUCCUAUUAUGCCUUGGGCCGGGGUGUUACAAUGAGUGGCUCCCUGCCAACAAGUACACAGACUUUCCGAGUCUUGCUGUUCUCGACAGCCACAAGACAAGCAUUGAAAGGAUUCCCUUACACCAACAUCAGUUCACAAAGCAGUAGUCAAGCAAAACUACGCUAAGGAAUCACCUCACAUUCGCCCAUGAUCGUGGGCAUGGCUGUUCGAACAGUUUUUUAACCUCUGCAGAAGGGGUACACUUUACCACAUGACGUUACUAACACGGGUCAUCCAGCCUGGGCAGCGCAGCCACGGCUGGUGACUUUGAGGUUUUCACGACAAGGCAUUUCGAAAGCUGACUUAGGGUCACUUUAUGCCAACGAGAAGGGUCCCACGGACCAACACCAGGUUAGGUCCUAGAUCAUACUGUGCCACGAAGCCCAGGGGUCCUCCCCGACGAAUCCACUUGUCGCUUGGCAUCAAGAUUUCCAUGGCCUAGCUAAUUACUCAGCCAGGGGUGUCCCAUUUUACCCAUGUGGUCGCACAUGUUAUGUUUGGAUGAAGUUCUGAAGGAAUCGGUCCUUAAGGCGAGAACGGGAAAACCAUACCUCCAGUAUGUCUCCCACACCGCGAGUUUUGGAAACACAUUUUAUUUUCAAGGCAUUGACCCAGGUGUUGGGAUUUCCAAAGAUUUUGCAAACCCAGGUUUUACCCAGUUGAUCAUUUUAAAUUUGAGGAGAGCCAACGACACUCAUACCUGAGGGUAGGAAUACUGAGGCUUAACAUAAUAGGCGACAAGGGAAGUUUAGGUCAUUCAAUAACCAAGGAGGUCAAUUCCAAUAAGUAGGUAAGGCCUGCCGGCUAUAUCGCAAACCGUGGCCAAUAAGUCAAGUGUAACCUAAAGAUGCAUAAUUUGAGAAAUGACUUACUUAAUUUUAAAUUAUGGGCUCACUUGAUCAAAGGUGACUUGCCUUGCUCGAGAUCUUGAGCUUCCUCCUCGAAAUCCAUGCACUGCGAGUCUUCGGGCUUUGAAGCUACACGCUAAACAGGGCGACUCAACAAAACAGUUAAAGAAAGCCCUAUUAAUGACCACUAAGCGUGCCAUUAGCUAGAUCUUGAUUUUUUAGGGAUUUUGAAAGUUGAAAGGAAUCAAUCGGAUGGACAGUUGAAAAGAUAUGAAUUUCCUAAGAUUAAAUUAUUUUCUAUCUAAAGGAAAAGAAAUUAUUAAAUCCCUUGGAAAAAGGAAAAGAAAGAGGGACGCAAUUUGGACUUUUCAGCCGGGCACAAGGCGUGGCCCACUGCAAAGCACAAACGCGCCCAAGCGAAGCGGGCCAACGCGCGAGGAAGGCAGCUCGUGGACGACGCGGCGCAGAGAGAGGCCGAACGGGCCGGAGGGGAGAUGAGGCUGAGUGGGCCGGAUCGUGGCGCUACCCACGCGGGCGUGGCGCACACGAGGUGGAUUGGUGGACCACGGUCUAUCGCGCGGGGUCCUGAGUUGGGGCCCACCUAUCAACGACGUGGGUUCACGAGAACCGGGAGCACGGAGGGGGUAACGCUAGGGCUAGGUGGACUCGGUCCGGAGUUGGUGCACCGGGUGGAUAGGGGAUGGUGGGUCCACGCACAGCCUCUCGGCUCCCGUGGACCACGCGCACUGAGUAAGGGAGAGGGAGGCGACGUGGCGCCAACGUGGCCGCCACGGUGGAGGGCGAGAGGAAGAAGACGAUGGCGACGACAUACAACGGCGUGCGGCAGCAGCAAGCUCCGGGACGACGUGGCGUGAGUCUGACGAGGGGGAGGGCACUGGAGCGAAGGGCGACACAAGAGGAAGCGAGCCAACUGCUCGGAUUUGCUGGAGGAUGAUCGACGACGACAAAUCGCGGCGCACGUCGCUGGCAGCAGAAGAAGGGAUCCUCGCCGGAGUGGUUAGAGGCCGAUUCAGCGAUGGGGGAUCAUCUACACGAGUCCACGGUCUCGUUCUGAGCGAUGGGACGGGCGGCGCCACACCGGAGAGCGAGGGCGGCGGCGCGCGAAGUUCGGCACCGAACGGCGGCGAAGCAGCAAGCGAAGGCGAGCAAACGGCGGUGUUAAUGUCUUCUACGAGCACGGGUAAACGGCGGCGAGCUAGUCUACGGCCUAGGGGAGGAAAGCGACGAAGGGAGAGGGACGGAGGGAGUACUGCGACGGGGAGGCGCCGUGAAGAGCGGCCGAUGGCGCAGGACGUGAUCAUCUCGGCCUCGGGCUGAGGGAGAGGAGGAAGAUGGCGCCCGGAGUCCACGUCUCGCGUCCACAGGCGCUGGCGAUGAAUGAUGACAGCAAUGGCAAUGGUGUAGCGGUGGAUCGGGUGCUUAUGGCAGUGGAGGAGGAGGAGGCCGAAAAGGGGGGGUGACGAUGGAAUUUAAAGGGGCUCCGGCUUGGCUUCGAGGAGUAGGGACUCGGGCGCGGUCUCGCGAGGAAACACGCGGUCGCCGGCGCUACGCUCGAGCGGCGGCAGUGGCGCCGGUCACAUUCUUUGGCUCUACCUAUCCAUUAUAGAGUAAAUAGCUCUUUUCACAAUAAGAGUUAUCCAUACAGUGAUGGCAUUUAAUUAUUAAAGUUGGCUAAGUAGCUGAGAAAGGAAAAAGGAGAGAAGAGAGGGAGAAAGAGGGAGUGGACUUUGUCAUCUUGGGCGGAGCGGGAGAGAGAGGGCAAGCUCCGCCUCUCCAGCUUGGACGCUAGCGGCUUGGAGUGGCGUGAGCAUAAGGUCCCAUGGCAGCGGUGGCACUGGAGAGAGAGGGAGAAGAGAAUGCGGUGCGUGAGGGAGAGAGAAGGAGACGCGCACGGGCUGGGUCGGCGCUCUACCGCGGCAAGUGCGGCGCACGUGCCCGAGAGCAGGCCAACGCGGAUCGGGCCAGCGCGGCCCAAAAGGGAGGGAAAGGCUGAGGGGAGAGGCGGCGAAGAUGGGCCAGCCGAGAAGAGGCGGCUCGAGAAAAACAGAGGGAGGAAAACUAGACUUUUUCUGAGAAUUUGAUUUGGAAGGACUUGGAGUUUGAAUUUGAAUUUUGAGUUGGAACUUUUUCAGCGGGAUUUGAGCAAGGAGCAGUGAGAGAGAGACAAGACCUUAGCACACACGAAGCAUGACCGAAGAACAAAUUUCAUAAUUAGGGUUUUUAAUAAAUCGGUUUUCUCGCUAACGCCACGACGGAACGGGUGUUACAGUUAUACACCGGUGCAUUCGAUGGAAGUAGAUCCUCUGAUGUGAACUUGCCCCUGACAUCACUCACACGUGGGCCAAUGAGCGGUGGGGCCCACAUGGUCAGCGACCAUGCCCCUUUGACAUAAAGUUAGAGGAUCUCAAUCCGCAUUGGUUCUUGUAAUAAGCUGUCAAAAAUUAAUGAAGUAGCAGUACCUCCUAGACUCAGCUAGCUCCAGCUACCUCUCAGUAAUAUGGGUAAUGUAAGGAAAAAGAAUACUGUCCUUCAUAAGACAAAGUUGCAAGCAAGAAUUGAUCUGCAGACAACCAAAGCAAUAAAAGGAUAAAAAAUAAAGAAGUAAAGAGCCGGAUGACAGUGCUCCAAAGAGAGAAGUAAUCAAAGGAAUAUCAUUCCUUGAAAGAAAGAAGUAAAGAGAAUUAAAUAUAAUGUGCGUGCAUUGCAGGCCAAAUAAAGCAUUGGGAUCCAAUGCCAUCAGUUUCCUCAAGGCUAGGACAAGGGAAAUAUUCCCUUAGUUAUCUUGUCAUGCAGCAACAAGCAGCAUGGAAUCAAGUAUGGGUUUCUGCAGCAGAAAUUACUCAACCGUUGUCCAUUGAUCGAUUAGCCAAACAAGCAUCCACGACAUCCAAUUCAUGAAUGCAUGCCCUAGCUAGCUUGCGGCCACAGAAGUAAUGAAGAAUUCAAGCCUUAGCCUAGCCUAGCUAGCUUGAUCGAUCCAGCCGGCCAGCCAGCAAGCUUGUUGAUCGCCGGCGACGGCUAGGGUGGGGCGGGGAUGGCUGAGGUUGCGGUGGCUGCCGUUACCUCGCUGCUGGGGCAGAUCCGCAACGAGGGACUAUUUCUGGGGCGCGUGAAGAGCGACGUCCGGUUCAUCAAGCAUGAGAUGGAGAGCAUGAGGACCUUCCUGGAGCACCUGGCCGAGACCGGCGGCCACCACGACCCGCAGGUCCGGACGUGGAUGGAGCAGGUUCGGGAGCUCGCCCGCGACUGCAGGAGCUGCGUCGACAUCUACCUGCAGCGCGGGAACCCAGCGGCGGCACCCUCCGGCGAUACCUCUGCUGGGCCCCUUGGUUUGUGCAGAGCAUGGUGCACCAGCACUACGCUGGCAUCGAGCUGAGCGAGCUCAAAGAGCGGGCGUACGACGUUGCUCAGCGUCGCAAGAGGUACGGCGUGGUGGUCGCCCCCAAGCUGGAAGCCAUGCCCCCGGCAUCGUCGUCAGAAGCUGAAGACUACGAUGCAACACGCGACAAGUUAGCUGGUGGCAGCAGCAAUUCUGAUCUCGGUCGAACAAGUGUUCUGGAGGGUCGCUUUCUGGAGAACUACUGUGGCGAGGAGCUUGCCCACUGGGUGAUGAGCACGGCGACAAUGGGAUCGUCAGCUUCGACGACAUCAAUACCAUCCAUCGCCAUUGUAUCGCCACCGAUACAAGAAGCUGAUGAUACAGCAGAGAUGGUUGCAAUACAUGAUACUUUGGCUUCUGUGGCGGCCACCCAUUUUGAGCACUCACUCUUGGUCUACCUCCCGGCAGUGCAUCACAACCCCUCCCAUAUCCGGAUCAAACUCAGGGUCAUCCUCUGCUACAUCCUGUAUCAAUGCGACAUGGAGAAGGAGAGCUGGCACUCCCGAUGGGGCCGCGAAUAUUUAAGCAUGGUGGACGAAUAUCGAACAUCGAAUCCGGUGUAUGCCAUGAAAUGUUACAUUUACAAAUUGAAGAUCGCUGACAUCUGUAAGGGUGACACUUUCAAGAGACUUGUCCAAAAUAUUAUACAAAUAGGCAGGAUGGUUACUAGACUCAACGGUGAGCUUGAAAGAAGUGUAGAUGCUAUGCUCCGAUUGACGAACAAGAAACCCUUGUGCAUACUCUUGAAAGCGCUGGAUUACCUUGAAUGCGGCGCUGAUUUCUCUGACGUGGAAAAGUACCACCAGCUUCGAGUUGAGAGGAUGCCAUUUCAAUUUAAAAUGCUACAAUUGGACGAAGAAAAAUUACUAGUGGCAACGGCCCAGAAGCUUAAAGGGCAUUUUGAAACUAACAUCCCGAUUCAUCUCAGUCAAGCCACAUAUGAAUCCAUCCUGCGUGAAGUGUUCCAAGCCAGCAACAAAACCCUACAGGCCCAGGAAGGUACCACUGCUCCCAGCCCAGGCGUUGGUACUAGUCAUGAUGUUGCAACAGCUACAACUACUACUACAUUCGACAAGGAUCAAAUCGAAGAAAUGAUAUACAUCCACAUGGUAGUUAAGUAAAUGCUCCUACAGGAGCUACAGGAUAUGCAGCCUCCACAAGUGCCAGAAGCAGGCAAAUCUUUGUUGAAGGCCGAGCUAGCCACACCUAAACCAGCCGAUCAGGACGACCAUGAAUUUACAAGUGCUAUCGAAGAAACCAAGCGAAAGAUCGCACAAGUCGGGUCAGAGAUUGGGGAACAGUUUCUUAUCGAAUGCUUAGUUGACGAGAUUAAAGAACUUUUGGGAGGUAAAAGGACCUUGAUUAUCAUUGAAGAUGAUAAGAACUAUGUAUCCCAGUGGUAUGGGCUCAGAAAUUCUUUGAAGCAGCUAUCAUGCUCAGGCAGCGCAAUGAUUGUGACCACCCAGGACACUCAAAGGGCCAAAGAAAUUUGCUAUCCACCAAGGGAGCCUAUAACCAAUUCUAUUGUUGGCAUGUACCAUGAUAUUUUGCUCAAGGUUACAAGCCAGCGAGUGAAUGGAGAUGCCAGUCAGAUUUUCCGUGACAUCCUGAACAAGUGUUGUCCAAGUGAGUUCUGCAUGAAGACCUUUGCUCAUGCCCUGUACACUAAUCCCAAUAGGAGCAAUGAAGAUAUGUGCAAGUUGCUUGGCUCCCUUCAUUCACAGCAAUCAUCGGGCAUCAAUGCUGAGAAGAUGAUCAAGUUCUCCUACGAUGAUCUCCGUAAAGAAUACAAGUCUUGCUUGCUGUACCUAUCAAUCUUCCCUCAUGGUUACUCCAUUAGGCGGUCAACCUUAGUAGAAUGUUGGGUUGUAGAAGGGCUCAUAACUAAGGAAGACUGGCCUAGUGCAAUCCAUCAUGCUGAGCGAUGUUUCGACACACUCAUUGAUCGAUGGCUUAUCUAUCCCAAUGAUAUUGGAGCUGCAGGAAAGAUAAAGAGUUGCAUUGUAGGUAAUCUUGUUCAUGAGUUCAUCACCAAGAUUGCAAAGAAACAACAUAUUGUGGAACCACGCCUGUCACAUCAUUUGGCUCGUCAUUUCUCCAUCUUCAAUGAGCUCCAACUCCGCGGCUCGGAUAGAAUCGACAGGUUCUUCAAGAAUCUCUCUAAAUCAUCCCAAUUGUCAAUGCUUAAAGUGCUAGAUCUAGAAGGCUGUUGUUGCUUCAAGGGGAAGGAGCACUACCUCAAGGACAUUUGCAGCAAUAUAUUACUACUCAAGUAUCUGAACCUAAGGGGAACGGAUAUUACCAAGCUACCUCAUCAAAUCAACAACCUCUAUGACCUGGAGGUAUUGGAUAUCCGGCAAACUAAGGUGCCUGCGUUUGCAACAAAGCAUGUCCUGCUCCUGAAGCUAAAACGUCUGCUGGCUGGUUCAAGUAUUAGUGAGACCACCAUGUCUAUCAGGGACAAGGAGCCAUUAUCCUCCUAUGUCCGAAUUCCUCUUGGGAUAAAAAAAAUGGCAAACGUGGAGGUAUUAUUCAAUGUCAAGGUCUGGACUGGCCAAGAGUUGAAAGACAUUGGGAAGCUAUGGCAACUGAGGAAGCUCGGUGUGGUUAUCGACGACAAGGACAAUCUACUCAAGAAUUUGCUUACAGCAAUUAGUGACUUAUGUGAGUGCCUCCGGUCUCUGUCCAUCACUAUUGUUCCCUGCAGUACCAAAAGAGAGGGCACUCCAUCCAUUGGAGACUUACCAGAGUAUAUUUCCCGUUGCCUGAAAUACCGUCCCAAGCUUCUUGAGAGCCUGUGCCUCCAGGGUACCACGCAAAAGGGCGAGCUUCUUACAUUAUUGGCUGAACGUUUUACUAAGCUUGUCAAGGUAACAUUGAGUUGGACCUCAUUGAAACAGAAAAAUCUGGAGGGUCUUGGUGAUCUGCCCAACUUAUGCUAUGUUAGGUUCAGAAACAAGGGAUACACAGAUGGCAAGCUCACCUUCAUUCAGCAAAAAUUCAAAAAUCUCAAGUACUUUCUUGUCGAGGGCAAAAACAUGAGAGGCAUCAAAUUUCAGAAAGGAGCAGCUCCAAGGCUCGAGAAGAUUGUAUUGUCCUUCACCAACAUAGAGUCUCUUGAUGGAGUCGGGGACCUUCCAAGACUGGAAGAGCUCGAGUUGAAGAGAAACAGGUUCCUUCUUUCAUUAUCUGAAGUGGGAGAAACUCUCGAGAAAUACAUGCUCACCUUCAAGAAGGAUGAAUUCCAACAUCUCAAGUACUUACUUGCUGAGGGUUUCAGCAAGAGCUUUGAGACAAACAUAACCUUUGAAGAUGGAGCAACUCCAAAGCUUGAGAAGAUCAUCUUGAACUCCUUCGCCAACAUAAUGUCUCAUCCUGGGGUUAGUAGCCUUCCAAAAUUUAAGGAGCUCGAGUUGAAGUGCAACAAGCCACUUCUUUCAUCAUUUGGAAAUGCCAAUAAAAUUUCCAAGGUGACUCUUCACUCUACCUUGCUGAAGAAUGCUGAUCUACAAAUUCUCGCAAAAAUACCAAGCAUAUGCUGUCUAAUUCUCUUGGGCAAUUCUUACGAUGAUACCCUGCUUACCUUCAACAAAGGAGAGUUUCCCAAGCUCGACCUUCUUAUUGUUGAGUGCCCUACCAUCACCAACAUCAGCUUCACCGAAGGGGCAGCUCCUAUGCUUGAGAAGAUCAUCUGGUCCUUCACCAAGAUGAAUUCUCUCUCAGGCAUCAACAAUCUCUCCAAACUGAAGGAGCUCGAGUUGAUUGGUGACCUUGUCCCUGACCAGGUGAGGAUAGAUAUUAACACACAUAGAAAGCAUCCUGUUCUUAACCACAAGCAGCCACAGCCCCAAGACCAAGAAAAUGGAAGUGAACAAGGAGAAGAGGAGGAUCUAAAGUUUCCAGCAUGCUCCUGGUUGUCGUUGAAGAACAAGUAUUGGUCCUGUAACUGACGAAACAAAAUGUUUCCAUGCCAGCAUCCUCCAUCCUUCCAUCUAAUUCAUGACCGCCUGCUCCGGGAAUCACUUGCAUGCUAAGCAUGUGUUGUCCUUCUGUAAAUCUGUAAUACUUGUGUGUGUGUGUGUGUGUGUGUUUAUUCAUCAAGUUCCUAGCUAGCUACCAGCUGCUAGCCGCAUGCAUGAUCUGUGCCGUCUGAUCAGUGCACAGAUGCAGCUGGAUAGCUUGAGCAUUGCAGCUGCGCGGACCGAUGCAGCUAGCUGCGCUCGUAUAUCGAGUUGGGAAAAGUGUGGGUUUCAUCUGAAAUUAACCAUCUGCCACACCUUGAGGUAAUCACUAAUCAGUGUGCGUGAUUUGUGCAUAUAUGUAUGUAAUUCAUCUCUGUCGAACCAUCAGUGUGUGGCUUCAUUCUCUAAUAAGUGUGCGACAGCAUUUCGCUCUCGUUAAUUUGUUAGCCAAUUUGUGCUCUGAUUGUGUUUCGCGCAGGGUUUAAGCUAUCUGAACGGGAGGAUUUUUCAGGGUAACAGAAAAACAAAAAUUUCCGGUUUCUAUCUCAGAUUUUGAACUAAAUUUGAAGUUGAACCAAAAAAAAAAAAAGGAGAAAUUACGCUCAGAUUCGAGGGGGAAGAGCCUAACCAAGGAAACCAGCCACGCGCACCACCGACGAGGACGCCUUGCCGCCGCCGCCGCCGCGGCAGAUGGGGAGGCGCUGCGCCGCCGGAAAGGGUCGCCGGCGAGCCGCCCAACCGCGCCGCCGGAGAAGUUGGGGGAAGCCAUUAGUAAGGGGGGAGGA
rnacentral:lncRNA from 1 species